CUGUUUGUAGGCACUGGUAUAAGGUUUCAAUGGAAAUGCUCCUAGUCUUGUAAUCAACAGGUGGUGCUAUACCCCUUAAGAGUACUAUGGGGUCCAAUUUGUUCUUUACUUUUAUCAAUCAGACCACCACUGUGGCAGGAAUCCGAAAUCAUUGUGAAGCUUGAUCCACUUGGUAGUUGCUGAAUCAAUUGCCCCAAGUCCACGUCUGCACAACCAUGGCAACCACCAUAUGAUAUAAAUAAUAGUUUGCUUAGAUUGAGAGUAUUUUAAAAUUUUAAUUUACCGAGUUGAUUACGUACCAAAAAUGGGAUUGAGAUCACAAGGCACAAUUGCUUCACCCUCGUUGGGAGGCUGGUGGGGGUCAAUGCGGUGCACAAUUCCAUGUCCACUAAAGUGGAAAAGCAGGACAUCUCCUUCUUUAGCGGCGACCACCAUCUUCUUGAGUUCAGCCAUAAUGUUUGCACGCGUAGGCUUAUACGUGGACUCUGGUUCAUCAGUUAGGAGCUCAACAUUUUCGGAAUCAAAGCCAAACCUGCUCACGAUCAUUUCUCUCAUGGCUUUCACAUCAUUUACGCAUCCGCUCAACUCGUUGAUGGUGUUGGGGUAGUUGCAUCCAACCAGAACGGCUCUCUUCUUACAUUCGGUGGCCAUCUUGCUUCUAUUUUGGGUCGCUUGUCUUGUCUUGUGCUUCGGACGUUGCACUAAACACCUAUAUAUAUACACACAUACACACUGUAGUUUACACUAUGCUCACUGACCAUACUCUAAUAAAUAAGACAUCAUGUUGGUAGGUACAACUGUUUUAUUUUAUUUUUUUGUUUAUAAAAAUGCAUGGCAAAUCCAUAUACAUGCAAUCAGAUGUCUGUAUAAAAGUACCACUGUUAGAGUGUAUUUGGACUAAAAAAUUUAGAAUUAAUUUAAAAUAUUAAAAUUUGUAAUUGUUUUAUUUAGAUAAAUAAUUGAUUUAGGACAAAUUAAGUUAUUAGAAUUUUACAAAUUAAAAAUAAUUGUAAAAUAAAAAAUUAUAUUACAAAAAAAUAAAAAUAAAAAUAAAAAUAAAAAUAAAAAUAAAAUAAUUAUAAAAUAAUUUAUACACAAAAAUGAAUAAUUUGAAAAGCUUUCCAUAUUAUUAAGUCCAAAUUUGAUACGAUACUUUUCCAAUUAAGCAAUUUUGAUAUAUUUGGCCUCUAAUAAGAAAUCAACAUAUGGAAUGGGUGAUUAAUCCGACUUGGGAGGAGGACAGGUGUUGUGAUGGACAAAGAGGAAGAUAAGGUAGGUAUUCCCUUUUUCAGACAAAUAAGAUAGAAGAUAGAAGAUAGAAAAUAUAGAGUGGUGGUCGAAGAUAGAGGAUUAUAACAACACUGAUAUGAUCUGCUUCACCUUCGUCCACCACCUCAUCUUUAAUUAUGUUUUUAUCUUGGUUGUGACUCACGUUGGCCUUCGUCUGCAAGUGCCGUCGGUCCUACUAUCCUGAUUUCUAUGGCCUUAUUUGGCAAUUGGCUCAUAAUGGACAAAUAAUAAUUGUAUAAUGUUUAAGUUAUAAUUUUAUAGAUUUAAGAGAGAUCAAAAUAAUAAUUUUUCAUUUUAUGGGGUAUAAAGUGUAAUUUUCAUUUUUAGGGGGUCAUGGUUAGAUGUGAUUAUGCCACAUGAAGGUAUGCCGGAAAAGUGGGAGAGCUUAAGUAAAAAUAUAGGCAUGAAAAAUGGGUUUAGAUAAAAAAAAUGCCCGUUUUCGAAACGGGUCAAGCCUUGUGUAAGAAUUUUUUGUCCGGGCCCGGCCCAGCCUGACUCAAAUUUGAUUAAAAAAAAUUCUUGGUGUUGUUUAAUGUUGUUUUGCUACCAUUUUACUAUUAUAUUGCUGCUAUUUUGUUAUUAUUGAUUGGAUAUUUUAUAACUUUGUUUUAUUAUUAAUUUUGCUACUAUUUUAGAAGCAUUUGCUUGUUAAGUUGCAACUAUCUUAGUGUUAUUUAAAUAAAAAGACUUUUUUUAAUGUAUUUUCAAUUUGUUGGGAAAUAUUUAUUUUAAUGUUUUUAGUUUAUUUGAUGUAUUAUAUAUUUAAAUAAAAAAGUUUAAUACGGGUAGACUGGGUCAAGCUCAGGUUUUGCAUUUUUUUUAUUUGGUUCAGGCUUGGACAAAAUUUUAGACCUAUUUUUCGGGUCGAUUUAGCCCAUGAUCAAGUUUAGCCACGACCCUUGCCUGCUCUGGUCACUGCCUCUGGCAAUAAGAUUAAUUCCAGUGAGAUUGAAAAUAGCAAUGGUGGUGAGAUUAGUUACUAUAGUGAUGAGAUUAAAAUCAAUAGUGAGAUGUGUGUUAGAAUUCAAACACAACUGUGGUUUAUAGAUUUAUAGUAAGAAAGUAGAAUGACCAUUAUGGACAUUAAACUAAAGUAGUUUACACUCUUCAAUAUAUUUUUGUACAAUUAAUAUUUUAAUAAUAAAAAUUCAUAUUUCAUUUAUAUAACUCAUGCGUAUUGUGAAAAAUAUAAUGUCGGUAAUGACAAUAUAUCGCAAAGAAAAAUAAAAAAAGAAAAAUAAAGAACACACAGAUUUUACGUGGAAACCCAUUCGGGAAAAAAAACCACAGGCAGAGGAGAAGAAAAUUCACUAUGUCGAAUUCGAACUAAUUACAAGAGGAGUAGACUAUACCUAUUUAUAGGCUUGUAAAACCAUAUUCUAAUAGGAGUAAAACACCUUAUUCUAAUCAAUAUCAAAUAGAUAGAGUUUAAUAAGGUUUAAAAAACCUUAUUCUAAAAUAAAAUAAAAGAAGUAUAAUUCUAUAGGGAUUUUACUUUUAUUUUAUUUUACCACAGUAUUUUAUUAAAUAAUGAUUCGGGUCACUUAAUUCUAACAAUCUCCACCUUGAAACGAAUUCUUAAUGAACAAGUUCUUCAUCGCGAACUUUCAACGAACAAGUUUUUCAUCGCGAACUUUCAACUUAAGGGUUUAUCUUCAACAAUGAACACCAACCAAGUCUAUGCAAUGCUCAAACUUGGUUAUAGGAAGUGACUUAGUCAUCAUAUCUGCAGGAUUUUCAUGAGUACUAAUUUUGCUCACAACAAAAUCACCACGAGCAAUAAUAUCACGAACAAAAUGAUACCGAACAUCAAUAUGUUUUGUUCUCUCAUGAAACAUUUGAUCUUUUGUAAGGAAGAUGUCACUUUGACUGUCACAAAAUACUGUAUUGAUUUGAAGGUCUUCAUUGAGUUCAUUAAAGAGUCCCUUCAACAAAAUAGCUUCUUUACAAGCCUCAGUAAUCACCAUGUACUCAGCUUCAGUGGUGGACAAAGCGACUGUAGUUUGCAAAGUGGCUUUCCAACUGAUUGCACAACCUCCGAUUGUAAAGACAUAACCUGUGAGAGAUCUUCUUCUAUCGAGGUAUCUAGCAAAAUCAGCAUUAACAUACCCAAUGACUCCAUCUCUAGUUCUUCCAAACUGUAAGCAAACAUCGGUAGUACCUCGUAAGUAUCUUAAAACCCACUGAACUGCUUUCCAAUGUUCUUUACCGGGAUUCACCAUGUAUCUGCUAACUGCAUUAACUGCAUAUGAUAAAUCUGGACGUGAACAAACCAUAGCAUACAUGAGAGAUCCCACUGCACUAGAGUAUAGAACAUGUGACAUAUACUCAAUCUCAUCAUCUGAUUGUGGAGACAAAGCCGAUGAAAGUCUUAAAUGGGCUGCUAAAGGAGUACUGACAGACUUAGCAUUCUGCAUAUUGAAUCUACAAAGAACUUUCUCAAUGUACCCCUUUUGACUUAGGUACAAUUUACUUGCUUUUCUAUCUCUGAGAAUCUCCAUACCAAGUAUCUUCUUCGCUGGUCCCAAAUCUUUCAUCUCAAAUUCUUUACUUAGUUGGGCUUUGACCUUUCUUAUCUCUCCUUUAUCUUUUGCUGCUAUCAACAUGUCAUCAACAUAAAAGAGUAGAUACACAAAAGAACCAUCACUGUUUUUCUUAAAGUAAACACAACUGUCAAAGCUACUUCUUUUAAAAUUAUGAGAAGUCAUAAAGGAAUCAAACCUCUUAUACCACUGUAUUGGUGACUGUUUCAAACCGUAAAGGGACUUUUUCAGCAAGCAAACAUAGUCCUCUUUUUCUGAGAUUGUAAAACACUCUGGUUGUUGCAUGUAAAUAUCCUCCUCAAGUUCUCCAUGCAAAAAUACAGUUUUUACAUCUAACUGCUCAAGCUCCAAAUCAUGCAUGGCUACAAUACCAAGCAAAGCUUGAAUCAAACUAUGCUUCAGAACUGGAGAGAACAUAUCUGUGAAGUCCACUCUUGGAAUUUGACUGUAACCCUUUCCAACAAGCCUUGCUUUAUAUCUGGGUUCUUCAACUCUUGAAGUCCCCUCUUUCUUCUUAAACACCAAUUUACAACGAACAACCUUUUUACCUUUAGGAAGUUUCACAAGAUCCCAUGUUUUAUUUUUGUGUAGUGAUUCCAUCUCCUCUUGCAUAGCAAACAUCCACUUUUCUAAGUCUUCACAACUAACCGCCUCAGAAUAAUUAGAUGGCUCUUGGUUUGCAUCUAUAUCUUCAGCCACAUUUAAAGCAUAAGACACUAGAUCAGCCUCGGCAUACUUCUUUGGAGGUUUAAUUUCUUUUCUAGUUCUAUUUUUGCCGAUAGAGUAUUAUGGUGAAGAAGCAACUCUAUUUUGAAUUUUUGUACUGGCUUCAGUAGUCGACUCUGUUGUAGAUUCUGAAUUAAUCUAAUGCUCCACCUUCUUUUGAUUUUCUUUAUCGGAAGAGUCUUUAAGAGAUAAGUUAGGUAGCAUAGCAGUUUCAUUAAAAACAACAUCUCUGCUAAUCACCACUUUUCUAUUUUCAGGACACCAUAACUUAUACUCUUUUACACCAGCUUUAUAACCAAGAAAAACACAUUUAAUAGAUCUCGGUUCCAAUUUUCCAUUAUCAACAUGAGCAUACGCAGGACAACCAAAAAUCUUUAAAUUAGAAUAGUCAGCAGGAUUACCAGACCAUACCUCUUGUGGAGUCUUUUUCUCAAUGGCAACAGAUGGAGAUCGGUUGAUCAAAAAAAUACAGUAGAGGCUACUUUGGCCCAAAAUGACUUUGGUAAGCUGGCAUUUGACAACAUACAUCGAACCUUCUCCAUAAUCGUUCUAUUCAUUCGUUCUGCAACACCGUUUUACUGUGGAGUAUGACGAACUAUCAAGUGUCUCACGAUCCCUUCUGACUUGCAUAGUUUAUUGAAUUCAUCAGAAUAGAACUCUAAGCCAUUAUCUGUGCGAAGGUGUUUUAUUUGCAUUCCCGUCUGUUUUUCAAUCAUGGUUUUCCAAGACUUAAAUGCGGAAAACACAUCGCUUUUCUGCUUCAGAAAGAACGCCCACACUUUUCUACAAAAAUCAUCAAUAAAAGUUAGCAUAUAAUUAGCUCCACCUCUCGAAGAUACUCUGGAUGGACCCCACAGAUCAUAAUGAAUAUACUCUAAUGUUCCCUUCGUGUUAUAGAUUCCUCUGGUGAAUCGAACUCUUUUUUGCUUCCCAAAAACGCAGUGCUCACAGAACUGUAGUUUGCAAAUUCCUUGCCCAUCAAGAAGUCCUCUUUUGCUCAAUUCUGCCAUGCCAAUCUCACUCAUAUGCCCUAGGCGCAUAUGCCAAUGUUUAGUAAUAUCAUCAUUUGACAAGGAAGAGGAUGUGACAGUUGCAUCACCAGUAACAGUAGAACCCUGCAAAACAUAUAACUUGGCAGUCUUUCUCUGCCCUUUCAUUACAAUGAGGGAACCUUUAGAAAUCUUCAAAACCCCACUUUCAGCUGUGUAUUUGUACCUUUUUGAAUCAAGAGUACUCAAUAAAAUUAAAUUUCUCUUCAAUUCUGGAACAUGUCGUACGUCGCUAAGUGUUCUGACAACUCUAUCAAACAUCUUAACUUUAAUUGUUCCAACACCUGUAAUUCUACAUGAAGCAUUAUUUCCCAUCAAAACAACACCUUCAGACACUGUUUCGUAAGUUGUAAACCAAUCCCGAUUGGGACUCAUGUGGAAGGUGCAGCCCGAAUCAAGAAUCCACUCCUCGCUCACUUUAAAAUUGUUGACAGAAGCGACUAGAAGUUCACCAUCGCUAUAGUCUUCUACAACAUCAGCCUUACCAAAAUUUUCUGGUUGCUUUCCAUUUUGAUUCACAGCUUCCCUUUUGAUCUUAUUCUGCAGUUUAUAGCACUCAGAUUUAGCGUGCCCAUUCUUGUUGACGCCAUUUUCUGGAUGAAAAAAGGGUCAACUUGGAUUUUGAAAAUGAAAACGGGAGUCGCCACCAAUCCUUUUUUGUGAGGUGUGAUUGGAUCACCUCCAAAAGUGGUUGUUUUUAAUAAACGGUUUGAUUUUAUUAAAACAACAAGUUUGGUCCACGAAAUUCAGAAAAAUGGGUUCGGGAGUCGGUUACGCACGAGGAAGGAUUAGCACCGUCGAUACGCCCAAAAUUGGUACCUAGUUGAUUAGUUAAUGUCUUAAUGUCGAAAAUUGAAAACUUUGAAGAAUUUUAAAAAUACGAUCCUUAUAUUAUAAUGUUGAAAAUUUUCGGGAAAAUGAGGCAUAUUUCACGUUAAUCGAGGAAAAGAAUCAUAUCCAGUAAGUUAGGACACAAUUUCUCGAAUUUUCGAUGCGCGAAUGAAUGCCGAAAAUUUAAAAGAUGUCUGACUAUCUCGAAUUUAAAAAAGGGAUCAAGUCCAGUAAGUUAGGACUCGAUCUUUUCUUAAUUUCCGAGAUCAUUUAAAACUUCGGUUAAAAAACUCUCGUAUUUAGAUUUAUCGUGAAAAUCGAAACCUAGUAAGUUAGGGUACGACUUUCUCGAGUCUAAACAUGAAAUUUUAUUUAUUCAAAAGUCAUAAUUUAUACAUUGAAUGAAAAAUAAUUUAACGCGUAAUAGUAGAAAUAAAACAUGAUGUUAAUGCUUGUAACAAAACAAUAAUGAAUUCGAUAAUGUAAUUAUGAAUAAUACGAGUAACAACAAAUAAAAGAUAAAUAAAUAAAAAACGAAUUAAACAUGCAAAAGAAUAAGCAAAUAAACUACUCGAAUGAAAGUGGGCAUAAAUAAAUAAAAGAAAAUAAACACCGCGCUAAAUAACGAAACCAUAAAAGAAAUAAAAAUAUAUAAAUACAUGUAUAUAUAUAUUUUAGAAUUAUGAAAAUAUAGAAAAUAUUUAAAAAUAUGUAUACGUAUAUCUAUGUGUAAUAAAAUACGUAGAAAUAGAUAUAGGUAUGUGUAAGUAUGAAAAAUGAAAUAUAAAAAUAUAUUUAUAAUAACUUUAAAAUGUAUGUGUAUAUGGAUUAGGAAAAUGUAUAUAUUUACACACAAUAAAAUAAAAUAAAAUAAAAUAUGUACAUAUAUAUUAUAAAAAGUAUGCGUUUGUAUAUGUAAAAUAUAUAACAAGAAUUUUAAAAUUAAAAGAGUAUAAACAUAAUAAUAAUAAUAAUAAUAAUAAUAAUAAUAAUUUGAAAACAUGAAAAGCUAGAAGUAAAUAAUAAAUAAUAAAAGAUACAGUAAGAUAAAUAUAUAUAUAUAAAAACUAAAAAACUAAAAAAGAAAUAUAUAAUAUAUAAUAUAAUAUAAUAUAUAAAAAGGUAAUGCAAAACUAUUUUAUAUAAUAAUGAUGAAUAAAUAAAUAAAUAUAAGGGAAAAUAAAAACUAAUAAUAAAUAACAAUAAUAAUAAUAACAUCUCAUUUAUUGAUUUAAUAAUAAAACAAACAAAAUAACACAAAAAAAGGCUAAAUUAGAUAUUAAAACAAAAUUCGGGGCCAAAUCUAUAAAUAAAUAAAAGAGGAAGGACAAAGUUGAACGCGCGAACAACAAGAAGGGAUCAAGAGAGCAAUUUUUCCUUCUUUCCCAAAACGCACAGCAUCAUAAGACCAAAUUGUAAAGAAAAAUAAACUAAUGUGCGAAUUUUAAAAAAAACAAAAGGGCCUUGAUUGUAAAAUUAUUUAAAAGCGGAAGGGCUGAAAACGCAAUUAGCCCUUCCGCUCAAAAACACGCGGAUCUUGGCUUGGAGCGGGUCGGGCGAAUUGGGUUAAAGCCAAAACGACGCCGUUUUGGCGUUUUAGAGGGCUGAGCAAAACGACGCCGUUUUGCUUCCCUAUUUAAACCAAUUUUUUUCCAGAAACUUUCAUUUUUCUUUCUUCUUCAAACAAAACUCCCUCAUUCUCUCUCAACCCCCUUUCUUCUCCCCCAAAAUCCGGCCAAGCUUCCGGCGAGCCACCGCCGUAGCCCACCGCGCCGGCCACCGUACACGGUGGCUGAAAAAAUAAAAAAAAAGGUAAUUUUUUUAUUUUGCUAAUAUAAACUGUUUUUAUAUGUAUAUAUAUGUUUGAAAAUAGGAAAUGAACGGAUAUAUAAAAAAAAGAAAAAAAGAAUCCGAAAUGAAAAAGGAGAGAUCACCUUUUAGUGUAUCUUUUUUUUUCUAUUGAUCUUUCUUCCCUUUUUUGUUACAAAAGUCCCUCAAAAAACCCCCGUUACAUUUUUUGAAUGGCCUUUAAAUAGCCAUUUUUUACAUCUUUUUAAUCUGUUCUUGCGCUCUUGUCACUUCUUUCUUUCUGUUUGCAGGCGCAAGUGGGUGAGCAAGUGGGCUGCGGCGUCAGAAGCAAGUGGCGACCAGGAGCAGGUGGUGGCAGUUGGGGUUGGUGGCUGUGGCGGCUGAAGCUAGGGUUAGGGGCUAGGGUUUCUUUUCUUUUGUUUUUUUUGUUAUUGUUUUCUGAUUUGGGCUGAAAAGUUUUUUUAUUGGGUUUAGGUUGGUUAUUUGUUAUUGGGCUAAUUGUUUUGGUUUAAUUGUUUUGGUUCCUUGGGCCCGGGUCAAAAAUUGGGCUUGUAUUGCUUGUUGGAGGGAUCCAAUCGCGAUAUGAUUAGUUGGCCCUAGGAAAAUGGUUAAAAGCUAUUCAUCAGGGUCGGAUGUACCAUAAAUAAAUGAUAUGAGCCCAUAAUAAAUAGGCUCGUCUCAGAGAAUUCCACGAGAAGGCUGGAUGUUGAAAAGAUUCUUCCUUAACGAAAGGAUUCUAAAGGGAAAUGAAUGCCAAACCAGGAAUGUCCCUAUGUUGUAAAGAAGAUCAUUUUCAGAGGAGCACUGAUCCUGAGUGAGAUUGCCAAUCCUAUAAACUCGGAUCCAGUUAAGAAACAUUUCGUUUAAAGAAAAAGGAAGGACCAAGGUGAAAACUUGCAAAGGGCACUUUGAGUCAAGAAAAAAAUGUAAAAAAAAAAAUGAAUGAAAAUGAAAAAAAAUUGAAAAAUGAAAAAAUGAAAAGUAAAAAUGGAGAGGCUAAGGGGAAAACCCGCAAAGGGCAUCUUAGGCCAAAGGGGAUUUGAGUUGAAAACCCGAAGGAGGGAUCAAAUAUUGAUCAGAAUGGGGCAUGAAGUGAUCAGAUUGGGGCAUGCGGUGAUCUUGCUAUACCUGAAAGGGUAAGGCGACAUCUUGGGGCAUCGACGGAGUCCUGUAGAUCUUCUAAACACCUGUCAAACUCAGGAAGGUCUUCAGAAAGUUUGUACAGAGAAGUUCAAGUUGCGAUAUCUAGGGCACCUGCCAUUCGUAUUAUUUGAAGUUGUUAUUCUUGGAAUACUUCUUUCUUUUUCAAGAUACAUGUUCCAAUCAAUUCCUUUUUUUGCUAUCCUUGAUAAUUUAUUCAUUUCGAGCUAUGCUCUCAAAUCAAUUCUAUUUUAUCCAUCGUUAUAUUCUUCUUGCAAGCAUGUUGCAUUGGAAUGAUGAUACUUUCACAAUGGAAGUUUUACAUAUUACUCUAGAAGUUUCUAAAUAAUAUAGGAACCUGAAACAGGACUAUUGUUUAGAAAACACCAAGUUUAAAGGGUGAAAUAUCUAAGAAGGAAAAGUCUAAGUUAAGGCUAUCCCUUCGGAUUUUGUUGUCCAAACAUUGACUGAACAAAAUGACAAGAUGCCGUGUUGGUGACAAAGCUUCAAUGAACAAACAAGCAAUGAUCACUGAGUGAUAAGAAAAGGUUUUCUCAGAGAAGAAAAUUUUGCAAUUGUGCAUGAGCAUUUGGUAUGACACCUGGGGAAUGGGGUAAAAAAAACCAAAAAGCUUCACAUUCUGUAUCCUUGAAUUACGAUAGAAGAAGAUUGAGAAAAGCCAUAUCUUUCUACCCUUGGGUUACAGUGGGAGAAUGAUGGUACAUUUUUACGUCCCAAUGGAUUGAACUUUGACGUUCACAGUGGGGGGCAAUCAGAUUAAGUGUUUCUUUGGAUAUGCCAGACGAGCAAGAAGGCGUUGUAGUACGUCAGUGAUAAAACCUUAAUAAGCUUUUGCGUGAUGAUAACCUAAGCAUUAAGGAACCAUUUUCAUGACAUUUUGCAUUCAUUCAAAUGUCAUUCAUACACAUCUAGUUAGGAGCAUUUGAUUUGUUCUGAUCAUGUCAUCCUAAUCACUAGGCACAAUUAGGUUCAUAAAAUAGAACAUACAGGUCAGGUUCCCCAAAGAACAGAUCAACGAAGAUAGCAGAUCUUGUCUUCCUGUAUUUGGCAGCGGAGGAAAUCGAAGAUAGUAGAUCUUGUCUUCCUGUAUUUGGCAACGAAGGAGAUCGAAGAUAGCAGAUCUUAUCUUCCUGUAUUCGGCAGCGGAGGAGAUCAAAGAUAUAGCAGAUCUUGUCUUCCUGUAUUAGGCAGCGGAGUAGAUCGAAGAAAGCAGAUCUUGUCUUCCUGUAUUAGGCAGUGGAGUAGAUCAAAGAAAGCAGAUCUUUUCUUCCUGUAUUAGGCAGUGGAGUAGAUCAAAGAAAGCAGAUCUUGUCUUCCUGUAUUAGGCAGCAGAGUAGAUCGAAGAAAGCAGAUCUUGUCUUCCUAUAUUAGGCAGCGAAGUAGAUCGAAGAAAGCAGAUCUUGUCUUCUUGUAUUAGGCAGCGGAGUAGAUCGAAGAAAGCAGAUCUUGUCUUCCUGUAUUAGGUAGCGGAGUAGAUCGAAGAAAGCAGAUCUUGUCUUCCUGUAUUAGGCAUCAGAGUAGAUCGAAGGAAGCAGAUCUUGUCUUCUUGUAUUAGGCAGUGGAGUAGAUCGAAGAUAUAACAGAUCUUGUCUUCCUGUAUUAGAGCGGAGUAGAUCGAAGAAAGCAGAUCUUGUCUUCCUAUAUUAGGCAGCGGAGUAGAUCGAAGAAAGUAGAUCUUGUCUUCCUGUAUUAGGUAGUGAAGUAGAUCGAAGAUAGUAGAUCUUGCCUUCCUGCCUUGACAGCGAAGCAGAUCGAAGACACAAACCUUGCCUCUCUCGGUUGUAGUGGAGCUGGUUGAAGACAACAGAUCUUGCCUUCCUGCAUUGACAGCGAAGCAGAUCGAAGACACAAACCUUGCCUCUCUCGGUUGUAGUGGAGCUGGUUGAAGACAACAGAUCUUGCCUUCAUGCAUUGACAGCGAAGCAGAUCAAAGACACAAACCUUGCCUCUCUCGGUAGUAACGGAGCUAGUUGAAGAUAACAAAUCUUGCCUUCCUGCAUUGACAGCGAAGCAUAUCGAAGACACAAACCUUAUCUCCCUAACGUUGUAGUGGAGCAGACUAAAACCACAAAUCUCGUCCCCCUAAAGUUAUAACAGAGUGGAUUGAAGCUACAAGUCUUGUCUUUUUGAAGUUGCAGCGGAAUGGAUCGAAGCAACAAGACAUACUGGACUGGAAUGAAACUACUUGGAAAGAGAGGUGUUAGAGAAGUCAAGACUCAGUGAGACCGGGCAAAAAUUGGUCUUUCUUAGUCUUUGCUCUGUUAUCGUUACAUGACAACAAGCAAAGAGGGGCAGCUGUACAAGCCCAAUUUUUGACCCGGGCCCAAGGAACCAAAACAAUUAAACCAAAACAAUUAGCCCAAUAACAAAUAACAACCCAAACCCAAUAAAAAACUUUUCAACCCAAAUCAGAAAACAAUAACAAAAAAAAAAACAAAAGAAAAGAAACCCUAGCCCCUAACCCUAGCUUCAGCUGCCGCAGCCACCAACCCCAACUGCCACCACCUGCUCCUAGCCGCCACUUGCUUCUGACGCCACAGCCCACUUGCUCACCCGUUUGCGCCUGCAAACAGAAAGAAAGAAGUGACAAGAGCGCAAGAACAGAUUAAAAAGAUGUAAAAAAUGGCUAUUUAAAGGCCAUUCAAAAAAUGUAACGGGGGUUUUUUGAGGGACUUUUGUAACAAAAAAGGGAAGAAAGAUCAAUAGAAAAAAAAGAGACACUAAAAGGUGAUCUCUCCUUUUUCAUUUCGGAUUCUUUUUUUUCUUUUUUUUAUAUAUCCGUUCAUUUCCUAUUUUCAAACAUAUAUAUAUACAUAUAAAAAUAGUUUAUAUUAGCAAAAUAAAAAAAUUACCUUUUUUUUAUUUUUCCGGCCACCGUACACUGUGGCCGGCGCGGUGGCGCUACGGCGGUGGCUCGCCGGAAGCUUGGCCAGAUUUUGAGGGAGAAGAAAGGGGGUUGAGAGAGAAUGAGGGAGUUUUUUUGAAGAAGAAAGAAAAAUGAAAGUUUCUGGAAAAAAGUUUGUUUAAAUAGGGAAGCAAAACGGCGUCGUUUUGCUCAGCCCUCUAAAACGCCAAAACGGCGUCAUUUUGGCUUUGACCCGAUCCACCCGACCCGCUCCAGGCCAAGAUCCGCGUAUUUUUGAGCGGAAGGGCUAAUUGCGUUUUCAGCCUUUCCGCUUUUAAAUAAUUUUACAAUCAAGGCCCUUUUGUUUUUUUUAAAUUCGCACAUUAGUUUAUUUUUCUUUACAAUUUGGUCCUAUGAUGCUGUGCGUUUUGGGAAAGAAGGAAAAAUUGCUCUCUUGAUCCCUUCUUGUUGUUCGCGCGUUCAACUUUGUCCUUCCUCUUUUAUUUAUUUAUAGAUUUGGCCCCGAAUUUUGCUUUAAUAUCUAGUUUAGCCUUUUUUUGUGUUAUUUUGUUUGUUUUAUUAUUAAAUCAAUAAAUGAGAUGUUAUUAUUAUUAUUGUUAUUUAUUAUUAGUUUUUAUUUUCCCUUAUAUUUAUUUAUUUAUUCAUCAUUAUUAUAUAAAUUAGUUUUGCAUUACCUUUUUAUAUAUUAUAUUAUAUUAUAUAUUAUAUAUUUCUUUUUUAGUUUUUUAGUUUUUAUAUAUAUAUUUUUAUCUUACUGUAUCUUUUAUUAUUUAUUAUUUACUUCUAGCUUUUCAUGAUUUCAAAUUAUUAUUAUUAUUAUUAUUAUUAUUAUUAUUAUUAUUAUUAUUAUGUUUAUACUCUUUUAAUUUUAAAAUUCUUGUUAUAUAUUUUACAUAUACAAACGCAUACUUUUUAUAAUAUAUAUGUACAUAUUUUAUUUUAUUUUAUUUUAUUGUGUGUAAAUAUAUACAUUUUCCUAAUCCAUAUACACAUACAUUUUAAAGUUAUUAUAAAUAUAUUUUUAUAUUUCAUUUUUCAUACUUACACAUACCUAUAUCUAUUUCUACGUAUUUUAUUACACAUAGAUAUACGUAUACAUAUUUUUAAAUAUUUUCUAUAUUUUCAUAAUUCUAAAAUAUAUAUAAACAUGUAUUUAUAUAUUUUUAUUUCUUUUAUGGUUUCGUUAUUUAGCGCGGUGUUUAUUUUCUUUUAUUUAUUUAUGCCCACUUUCAUUCGAGUAGUUUAUUUGCUUAUUCUUUUGCAUGUUUAAUUCGUUUUUUAUUUAUUUAUCUUUUAUUUGUUGUUACUCGUAUUAUUCAUACUUACAUUAUCGAAUUCAUUAUUGUUUUGUUACAAGCAUUAACAUCAUGUUUUAUUUCUACUAUUAGGCGUUAAAUUAUUUUUCAUUCAAUGUAUAAAUUAUGACUUUUGAAUAAAUAAAAUUUCAUGUUUAGACUCGAGAAAGUCGUACCCUAACUUACUGGGUUUCGAUUUUCACGAUAAAUCUAAAUACGCGAGUUUUUUAACCGAAUUUUUAAAUGAUCUUGGAAAUUAAGAAAAGAUCGAGUCCAAACUUACUGGACUUGAUCCCUUUUUUAAAUUCGAGAUAGUCAGACAUCUUUUAAAUUUUCGGCAUUCAUUCGCGCAUCGAAAAUUCGAGAAAUUGUGUCCUAACUUACUGGAUAUGAUUCUUUUCCUCGAUUAACGUGAAAUAUGCCUCAUUUUCCCAAAAAUUUUCAACAUUAUAAUAUAAGGAUCGUAUUUUUAAAAUUCUUCAAAGUUUUCAAUUUUCGACAUUAAGACAUUAACUAAUCAACUAGGUACCAAUUUUGGGCGUAUCGAGGGUGCUAAUCCUUCCUCGUGCGUAACCGACUCCCGAACCCGUUUUUCUGAAUUUCGUGGACCGAACUUGUUGUUUUAAUAAAAUCAAACCGUUUAUUCAAAACAACCACUUUUCGAGGUGAUCCAAUCACACCUCACAAAAAAGGAUUGGUGGCGACUCCCGUUUUCAUUUUCAAAAUCCAAGUUGACCCUUUUUUCAUCCAAAAAAUGGUGUCAACAAUUCUUCUUGCAGAAGUUACAAGUUUUACCUCUGUUUGAAGACUUCGAUCUACCUUUAGAUUUACAGCGAGGAUUCCGUUCCUGUGUCCUUCCACGAUCAUCAUCAAAAUUCCGAUCUUGUCUCCCACGAACAAUGAGACCCUUUCCUUGAGAGUCAAUUUUAACCACAAGAUACUUCAUCUUAUCAUACGAGGUUAAAGAAUCAUAAACCUCAUCAACUGUGAGAGACUCGCGGCUAUAUAAAAUUGUAUCUCUAAAGGUUGAAUAAGACGGGGGCAACGAACAAAGUAGAAUCAACCCUAGAUCUUCCUUAUCAUACUCAACCUCCAUGGCCUCUAAAUUUGAGAGAAUUUUUUUAAACAUUGUCAAGUGUUCGUGCACAGACGCACCUUCCUCUAAACGAUGAUCAUAAAGACGCUGCUUCAUAUGCAGUUUACUAGUUAGAGUUUUCGACAUACAUAUUUGUUCCAACCUUUUCCAUAAUCCAGCGGCGGUCUUCUCCUUCAUCACAUCCUGCAAAAUUUCGUUAGACAAAUGCAGAUGUAACUGUGUUAACGCCUUUCGAUCCUUGCGCUUCUUCUCUUCCUCCGUCAAUGUUGAAGGCACCUUAUCUACCCCUAGUAGGGCUUCCUCUAAGUCUAUCUAUGCAAGAACUACUUGCAUCUUUAUUUGCCGCAAUGCGAAUCUGGUGUUGCGAUCCAACAGCGAAAUUUCAUACUUCAAAGACGUCAUUAUCGUGAUUGAGAUGAAUAACCCGAAAGCUCUGAUACCAAUUUGUGAAAAAUAUAAUGUCGGUAAUGACAAUAUAUCGCAAAGAAAAAUAAAAAAUAAAAAUAAAAAUAAAAAACACACAGAUUUUACGUGGAAACCCUUUUGGGAAAAAAAACCACGGGCAAAGGAGAAGAAAAUUCACUAUGUCGAAUUCGAAUUAAUUACAAGAGGAGUAGACUAUACCUAUUUAUAGGCUUGUAAAACCAUAAUCUAAUAGGAGUAAAACACCUUAUUCUAAUCAAUAUCAAAUAGAUAGAGUUUAAUAAGGUUUAAAAAACCUUAUUCUAAAAUAAAAUAAAAGAAGUAUAAUUCUAUAGGGAUUUUACUUUUAUUUUAUUUUACCACAGUAUUUUAUUUAAAUAAUGAUUUGGGUCACUUAAUUCUAACAAUCUCCACCUAUUUAAUGUAAAUUAAAAAUGUUCAAACUAAUUGUUUUAUGUAAGAUAUGAAUGACAGUCUUCUAUAGAACUUCCUAAAUAUAGUCAGUUUUAAAAUUCAAAACUAAUCAUUUUUAAAAGCUUAUUUUUAUGGAGAUAUUUGGCUUGGAUGAUGAGAGAAAUCAAGAGAAUUAAGGUUGAAGAUCAAAAAGUGGAAGAAAAGCAUGAAGAUGGAGAAGACUAACGUGAAACUUAUAGGUGGGGAUGAUUUUAGGUUGAUUUUUAAAAUUUGUUUUAAUUGCCUCUUAAAAACUCACAAUUUUAAUUUUUUUACAAAUCAAUACUACCUUCAAAAUUAAAGGUAUUUAAAACUCAUUUUCAGAAAUUGAUUUAAUUUUAAUCAUAGUAAAAAAUAUUAUCGAUAAACCAUUUCGUAAAAUUUCGAACACUCUAAGGCUAAAAUUCCUAAAUUACCUCUAAAACUCCUAGGUCCUAUUUUGGGAUGUUACAAUAAAUUGGUGUAAAUACACAUUUGGUCCCUAUCGAUUUUAAAAUUGAGCAAAUAGAUCUUUCUCUCAAAAAAAAUUACAAAAAAAUUUCAAAAUAUUUAUAAAAAUUUAAGAAUUUAAAUAUUUUAAAAAUAUAUAUUAAAAACUCAAAAGAAUAUAUAUAAAAAUUAGAAAACUCUAAAAUUAUCAUUUUUGGGACCUAAAUAAGUUAAUUAAUAAUUCAAUUUUAUAAUACUAUUUUUACUCUUUUUUUUAAUGAAUUAAAAAAAAUAAAUGAUUUCAAAGUUAUGUGUUUUAAUAUAGAAUUAGUUAAAUUGUAAAAAUAUUUUAAUUUUUUCACUCGAUCCGAUCGAACGCUCACUCCUAGUGGUCGAUGUUCAUCCGCAUAUAUCUUUUGUCUCUAACCAGAAAAGAUCUCUUCCAAAAUGAAACUCUUAAAUUGGAGCGUGUCAUAUUUACUACAGGCCGUUUAUGAUAGAAUCGGACCAUUUAACUUUGAAAUCACUCACGUAAUGCAUGUUAUUCGGAAGGUUAUCGAUAAAUAUCGUUGCAACACCUUGAAGUUCGCCACUCCAUUUUUCUAUUGUGCGCUCUCCUUUGAUUAUAACAAUCCAGAACCUUCCUUACUCUAACUUAUAAAAUUAAAAAGACUCUGUAGGACAAAAUAAGACUUUAUUUAUUUAUUUAUUAUUACACUAGAAUUUCACACAUAGCAAACGCACACUAUAUAGGAGAUGCAUAAGAAAACAGCGGUAGGUAGAUAUAAGUCAACAGGCUGUCAAAUUUAUUCUAGUAGUAGUGCAAAACAUAAGCACAUUACUGACAGCCUGAGCACCAGCAUUUUGAUCAGAAAUUUAAGCAAAGCCACCCAAGAAAAGUGUGUUUGUAUUCUCAUCACUGCAAUAAAGGCAAGGGUUCUGCUCGAAUCCAUUGUUCUUCAAAAUCUUGGCAGCCUCAGCCACGAGGUGUCUGUUGCUUAUUCCAACACCCAAGUUCUGAUUGAUUACGUUAACCACAGCAUCGGUGAACGCCCCAAAGGCUUUAUUUUCCAAGACCAGGUCAUAUGAUGUCUCAUUGGCUUCACAUCCACUUAAUAAAAUCCCUUCAUCCUCCUCCAGUGGAUCCAACACCAUUAACCCCUCUACGUAGUGAGGAUGGAAUUUGAGACUCACAUCUUUCCCGAAGAUUCCGAAAAUCUUUUGGCCAACAUUUGCUGCGUCGUGUAGGAUGCCUGCUGCUGUAUCUAUCGCACUAUGUAUGAUAUCAAAAGUAAGACUCUUAGCCUUAGCCUUAGACGGUUUAGGCUUGUCGGUAUUUACUGUUGUCGUCAUAUGCUGACCACCAAAUUGUUCUUUCUCUUUUUCAAUGAGACCCCCACUGUGGCACGAAUCUGAUAGGAUUGUGAAGCUUGCUCCUUCUGGUAGCCGAUUAACUAAACGUCUGAAGUCCACAUCUGCAGAAACCAAGUAUAUAUAGGGUAUGAAUAUAUGUUGCUAAAAUAAAUAUAUAAAUUCAAACAAAAACCUACCGGUGACAAGAUUUAAAUCACAAGCCACGAUUGCUUCAUCUUGCUUGAAAGGCUGGCCAGGUUGAAAGAUUGGAACGCGUGUUCCAUGUCCACUGAAGUAGAAAAAUAGAAUAUCUCCUGCUUUAGCCUUGUUCACCAUUCUAUUGAGUGCAUCCUUAAUGUUUACACCCGUAGGCAGAACCGGCGACCCUGGCGCAUCGGUGAGGACAUUAACAUCGCUUUCCUUAAACCCAAUGUCCAGGAUCACACCUCUUAUGGCUUUCACAUCAUUGAUGCAUCCAUGCAAGCUGAAUUGGGUCUUGGGGUAGUUGCAUCCCACCAGAACUGCUCUCUUCGUACCCUUACUCAUCUUGCUCGCUAAUUUGACUAUUUUGUGUUGCUUGUACUGUUGGAAUAAUGUGCUUCCACUGCCUCACUAAGAACAUAUAUAUAUAUACACACUAAUUUACAGCAUGUGUACUGACCAUAAAGAUGACGACAUGUAGGUAGGUAGAUAGGUAGGUAGGCUGUAAUAGAAACUCUCACAUGAAACGAAUGAAUGAAUGAAUUAUUAUUCAUGAAAAAGAUGAUCAGCUGAACCAUCAGCUUCCUGUAUUUAAAGAGUUUUACAAGUCUAACUAACACUUGUAAAUGCUAACUGCUAAAUGCUAAUUGCUAACAACAACCUGCACUGCUAUUUACUAUUUUAACUACUAUUUUACAACUGAAUAGGCAGGUACUGUAGAAGUUUGAUUAAUAUUUGGAGAAAUAAAACAAAGAAAGUGAUAAAAAAUAUAAUGGAGAAGAGAAAUAAAUUUUGUAUGGAAGAGAAAAAAAAUUCUUUCUAAUAAACUUUUUAUUUCACUCACACUAUAUAUUCUUCAUCACAUACAACUCUUUAUAUAGGAGUUGUAAGUGACUAUUCAUCUAUAUCACUAAAUCACUAAAUGCUAGGAGUUGUGACUAUUCAUUUACAUAACUUAAAUACUAUAGGAGUUGUGACUAUUCAUGCAUGUGUGUAACUUUUCAUCUUCAAGUCUCUUCGCAUUUUUAACUCUUCAUAUUCAAGUCUUUUCGCAUUCAUAACUUUUCAUAAUUUAAUUUAUGCAAGAUUAAUUUAAUUAUGUGCCAACAAUGCCUCCCUUAAAUUAAACUUGCUUCGAACUCCCAACCUUUCAACAUUUUUCUUGAAGACUUGUCCACUAAGCGGCUUUGUGAAGAUAUCAGCCAUCUGAUAUUCUAUCUUUCAAUAUUCAACUUGAACAUCACCAUUAUUCACUAGUUCCCUCAAGAAGUGAUACUGAAUGCGAAUGUAUUUUGUUCUUCUAUGAAGAACUGGAUCUUUUGUGACUGAAAUAGUAGAACUAUUGUCACAAAACAAAAUCGUUGACUUGCUCUGCUUCUGCUUAAGACUCUCCAAAAUUCCACGUAACCAAAUCAAUUGACAUCCUACAUAAGAUGCAGCGAUAUAUUCAGCUUCUGUAGUCGAAAGCGCCACAACUGAUUGUUUCUUUGAGCUCCAUGAAACUGCACCACUACCAAGGUGGAAAACAUAACCAGAAGUGCUUCUACUAUCAUCAAUGUUAUCCGUAAAACCAAUGAAAUCAACUAAUGUCUUGGCUUUAUAGAAAAUUCCAUAAUCAAUACUUCCCUUCACAUAUCUCAAUAUUCUCUUGGCAGCCUCCCAGUGAUUGGAGUAAGGUUUCUCCACGAAUCUACUCACCAAGCUAACAGCAUACACGAUGUCAGGCCUUGUCGAAGUCAGAUACAUCAACUUUCCAACCAAACUUCUGAAUAUGGUGGAAUUGACAAGCUUUCCUUCAUCCUCUUUAGAUAACUUCAGACCUGUAAUGCAUGGAGUAGAGACUGGAUUCGCAUUGUCCAUCUUGAAUCUUUUUAGAACUUCCUUUGCAUAGCUCUCUUGUGAAAUAAAAAUUCAUUUCUCGGAUUGAUGAACUUCAAUGCCAAGAAAAUGAUGAAGUUCUCCCAAAUCUGUCAUAUGCCAUCAUUGAGUGCUGAAAUUCUUUCAACAUCUUCACAUCAUUUCCUGUGAAAAUAAGAUCAUCAACGUAGAGACUUACAACCAUGAAUCUUCCUUGAGAAUUGCCUUUGAUGUAGAGAGUAUGCUCAUAUGGACAUUUCUGGAAUCCACACUUCUAAAAAUAAGAAUCGAUGAGGCUGUACCAAGCUCGGGGUGAUUGCUUCAACCCGUGCAAAGCUUUCUUCAACUUGUAAACAUUUUCUUCUUCUCCUUUUUUGACAAACCCUGGUGGUUGAUCAACAUAGACUUCUUCUUUGAGAACACCAUUUAAAAACGCAGAUUUUAUGUCCAUUUGGAACAUUUUCCAAUUGUUUUAGGCAGCAAGAGAAAUAAGUAACCGAAAUAUUUCAAGUCUUGAAACUGGAGCAAAUACCUCUGUAAAAUCUUCUCCUUCCUUUUGCUUGUAUCCUUUUGCAACCAGUAUUGCCUUGUACUUGUUGAUAGAUCCAUUUGGAUUCAUCUUUGUCUUGUACACCCAUUUGACUCCAAUUGAAUUCUUGUGUGGUGACAAAUCUGUAAGGUCCCAUGUAUCAUUAUUUUCAAUUGAGAAAAUCUCUUCUGUCAUGGCUUUCCUCCAUAUUUCUUCUUGAUAUGCAUCAUCAAAAGAAAUUGGAUCUUCUCCUACAAAAAACGACAAAUAAUACAACAUCAUUUUGCACAACUUCAUCAGUUACAUUAUAUAACUCUUGGAUGCUUCUCGUUUUUCGAAUCGGGCUGGAUGAAGAAGAAUUUGAUGAAGAACAUGAGGAAGUAGGAGGAUUUUCUGCUUCAGCAUAAUCUUCAGCAUUCUCAAUUACUGCCUCUUCUUCUUCUUCAAGUUCAAAAGGAAAAAUUGGCAAAUUUUUUUUUCAACUUCCAUAUAUUCAAACAUAGAAUUUUCAUCAAACCGAACAUCUCGGCUUAUCACAAUCUUUUUUGUCACCGGAUUGUACAACUUGUAUGCCAUACUUCUUUCACUAUAGCCAAUGAAAAUGCAUUUCUCUGACUUGUUAUCCAACUUGCUUCUCAUUGCAUCUGGAAUAUGAGAGUAAGCAACACUCCCAAAUACUCUAAGAUGACGAACACUAGGCUUUGUACCAUACCACGCCUCAUGUGGUGUGCAAUUCUCCAAGCUUCUUGUUGGUGAUCUAUUGAUAAGAUAAACUGCACAAGAAACAACUUCAACCCAAAAUCUUCUUGAUAACCUCUUCUUCUUAAGAAGACAUCUAGCCAUUUCCAUAAUUGUUCUAUUCUUUCUUUCACACACACCAUUUUGCUGAGGUGUAUGGCGGACUGUCAUUUCAUGCCGGAUGCCACUAUCUCGACAGUAUUUCUCAAAUUCUUUUGAAAAAUAUUCACUUCCAUGAUCUGUCCGCAAGGUGUUAAUUUUCAACCCAGUAAUUAAAUUUCAUCCCAGUAAAGCUUUCCACUUCUGCCUUGAAAUCUUUGAAUCUCUGAAAAGCCUCUGAUUUUUCUUUGACACAAUAUACCCAUAACUUUCUUGAUUAAUCAUCAAUGAAAGAGAUAAAGUAACGAUUACCUCCCAAAGAUGAAACUGUCAUAGGACCAAAAAGAUCCGAGUGAAUAAGUUGCAAUGGUCUUCUUGCUUUCCACGAGGAUUGAGAAGGAAAAGCAAUUUAGUGUUGAUUUCCAAGUUGACAUGCUUCACAAAUGUAACAGCCUGAAUUUGGGUCUAGUCGGAAUAGUGGUUUCGGGACCACAAAUGUAAUAUUUUAAAAAUUUCUACAGUAAGAUAUUAUCCUUGGUACAGUAAAAUAAGGAAAUGAAGUGAUAAAAUAAUAAAAAAAUAAAAAGGGAGAAUUUUGAGUUAUGGCAACAUUGGGAAAUAUAUUAUAACAUGAUAAUUCAAGAAAGGAUUAAAUUGCAAAAGUGCGAAAAGUUUUGUUGCCCAAGAGUAAAUACUUAAAAUUUGAGGGGUUAAAGUGUAAAUACAAAAAAGUUGAAGGACCAAAGGUGUAAGUAUUUUAAGGGUGGAAUGAUCUAGAAACUAAGAAAAAUGGAUGGAUUAGGAUCAAAUUAAAAAAUGUGAAGAAUUUUGAGGGACUAAAUACAAUUUUACCAAAUUGAGUGAUGACUCAAGAAUGGAAUUUUAAAAGAUCAUAAAGAGCAAAAUGGUCAAUUAAUAAGAGAGAGAAAUCUAGAAGAUAAUGAUGAUGUUGGAGAUAUUUUAGAUUAAUUAAAUAAAUAUUAGUUUAUUAAUAUUUUAAUUUAAUUUUUAAAUGUUAUUUUAUUAUUUUAUUAUUAUUUUAUUUAGUAUAUAUAUAUAUAUAUAAUAAAAGGAAGAUGAAGAAUCAUCAUCUUCCCCCAUGCAUUCCAACGUAUGAAGAGAAAAGAAAGAAAGAAACUUUCUUUUCUUUACAAUUUGGUCCUCUAACCAAAAAUCCUCCAUUUUCACUUUGAAAUCAAACAAAUUUCCAUAACCACCAAGAAAGAAAAUUCAUAAAGAGAAUAUGGGGAGCUAGAAUAUCAAGUUAGAUUCAAGAAAUAGAAGCUGGAGGAGAGAGAAAAUCAAGUUAAAGAUUGAAAUCAAUAGCACAAGGUAAGAACAUCAAGAUGUCAAUUUAUUUUUAAGUUUAAUAUUAUUGAAAAAAGCAUGGAAAUAAUGUUAUAGUAGAGUUUUCUUAUAUAUGGUCUUAUGUUCUUGAUAUAUUAGUGAAGAAAAAUAAGUGAAAGUGAUGGGAAAUAUUAUAGAGAAAUGGAGUUAUACACCUAGUAAUCAACAUUUUGAACUAAAAUAGUUUUGGACAGCAACAGUAGGUUAACUUUGAAAAAUCACCAUAAAUUGUGGAAAUCGAAUUAGAAUAUGAACAAGAUGUGUAAUUAAAUAUUAAUGAGUCUACUUUCAUAUAAAAGAAACAUAGAAAGCAAAAGAAUUGUGUAUUUUGAGAUAUUUAAAUUUUAGUGAGAAAGGGUCGGAAUGAUUUUGGAAUCCCCUGUUCUGACUUUGGAAAAUCAUCAAAACUUUGAGAAAAAUAAUUAGAGGCUUAAAUUUAUAUUUUUAAAUCCUUAAUGAGUAUAUUUUCAAUAAAAACAAACGGUAACAUCAUUUGAAUUCUGUAUGAGGAGAUAAUUAAGUUUUAGUGAAGAAGGGUCGGAACUGUCAGACAGCAGAACAGAGAUGAAUUUAGAGAAUAAACUGUACAUAUUGGCUAAACCAAAAAUUCUAAAAAUUUUAUGGUAAGAGGAUAUGUGAGUCUAGUUUCAGAUAAAAUUAACUGAUCUCAAUUUGGAGUUCUUUAGCUCAAGAUAUAAAUAAUUUAGUGACUAUGACUCAAGUGGACAGCUUUAAAAGAAUAUAAAUAAAUAUGAAAUUAUAGAUAAUGUUACAUAUAAGUAUGUUAUAUAUAUAUUAAGGAUGCGGAAUGGAGAGGAGGAGGAGGAAAAUAUGUGAUUAUUCAACUAGCAUGAGUUUUUAUUAAAAAUGAUCAAUUUAUAUGUUUCAGGGACUAAAUUGAACAAAUAUGAAAAUUUAAGAGUAAAUUUGUAAAAAUGUCAAAAAGUGACCAAAUUGCAUGAAAUGAAUUGUUUUAUCAUUUAAAUUAGUAAAUUGAAUGAAAUAUUAAUUUAGAUCAAGAUUGGGUGGAAAUUCGAGAAAAAUAGAAAAUUUCCAAAAUGUCCCUAUAUUUUGGUAUUUCUGCAAUUUAGCCUGGUAAGUUCGUAUGAACUAUAUUUUGUUUAAUUUCAAUUGAAGUGAAUGCUAUUCGGUAAUGAAUAUUAUACAUAUAUGUGUGUUUUAUAUUGGAACUGAAUUAUUAUUGGUAAUAUACAUAAUUAUUAGAUGCUUUGAAAUGAUUAUCGGAAGCUUGUUGGAGAUAUAUCACAUUACCUAUUGGUUUUAUCGGUAGUUUUGGAUGACUUGAUUCUGGUUAUAAAUGUAUAAGUUAAAUUGGUUAACGUUAGCUCAUAAAUGUUUUGAUUUUGAUCGGUUAUAAAUAUGAAUGUUAGAUAAAAAUGAAAUGCUUGAAAAUUAAUGAGUAAACUCCGGUAAUACCUCGUACCCUAUUUCGGUGUCGAAUACGGGUAAGGGGUGUUACAACAAUCAUCAUCAAGCCGAUCGAUUUUUGGUAAACCUUUGACCAUCAUCUUUCUUGAAAGCAUCUCGAAAUUUUCAUAGUUCAGAUGUCCAUAUCUAUCAUGCCAUAACUUUGAAACUCCUUUAUGAGCACCAAUAAAGCAAGACAUAUUCUGAUUUUGAAGGGUGAGAGAGAAAAAAUUAUUUGAUGCCACUACAACUCUAGCAACAACUUGAUUUUUCCUUGACAAAUAGCAAGCCAUGUCACGGAAAUAAAUAUCAUAUCCCUUCUUCAAAAGAUGCCCAACGCUAAGCAGGUUAUUUUUAAGACCAGGAACAAAAUAAACUUCAGACAUUUUCUCUACCCUUCAUUGCUUUGGUUUGAACUCCAACUCACCAACACCGCUAACUUUGUAAGCUUUGCCAUCUCCUACUUUUACUUCUCCACAAUUAGAUUCAAAGAACUUCGAAAAUAAAUUUUUGUUACUUGUCAUAUGCUUGCUAGCACCACUGUCUAUGUACCAGACAUCACCAAUCUCUCCACUAUGAGACACGAGCAACAAAGUUUCUUGCUUUUGUUCUUGAUUAUUUUGUACUGUAUUAGCUUUAUUUUUCUCUUCUUUCUUGUACCAGCAUUCACUUGCCAAAUGACGAGGUUUGCGACAAUGAUAACAUUCAAAAUAGCCACGACCUCUUCCUCUUUAAUUUCCACGUCCACGUCCUCUUUGUGAUCCUCUAAAAUUCUGACUUUGGUUGGCUUAUUUCCAUCCAUUUUCCAUGCUUGCAUCUUCACCUCUUUCACGAGCAUUUGAGCCUCUUCCCCUAAAAAUUAUUCCUCUUCCACGAGCACGAUCUCUCCCUCUUUGAUUUUUAAAAUCUCCCUUCUUCUCAUUUAGAGACAACUUUGACUGGAGUGCUUGAUCUAGAUCUACUUUCUUCUUGUUGUUGUUUAAUCUUUCUUCAUGGGCUUGCAACGAACCUGUGAGUUCAUCAAUAGUCAUUGUACUCAAAUCCUUUGAUUCUUCAAUGGCUACUACAAUGUGGUCAAAUCUGGAAUCUAAAGAACGGAGGAUUUUCUCAACACCACGAAUAUCAUCCAUAGUUUCACCAUUUCUUUUUAAUUGGUUGACUAUGGACAAAACCCGUGAACAGUAAUCAGAAAUUGAUUCCGACUCUAUUUUUUGCAAUCUUUCAAACUCCCCUCGAAGAGUUUGCAACUGAACUCUUUUCACCUUUUCAUCUCAUUUGAAUGAAUUUUGUAAAAACUCCCAUGCUUGUUUUGCCGUAGUGGCACAAGCAAUUUUUUCCCAAGCCGCUUCAUAUGAUUGAACUCCUUGAUAUAUCCAAAAUAAGGCUUGCUGAUUUUUUUUCUUUGAUUUUCUUAGACUCUCUUUUUGAACUUGUAUUAAUCAUUCUUCCUCUUCAGCCUCAACUUCAUUAUAACAUUUUUCAACAAUCUCCCAAACUUCUAGAGAUCCAAGAAGAGCCUUCAUUUGGAUACUCCAUUUGCCAUAAUUUUCUGUGGUUAAUUGGGGAACAGAAGAAAGAGGAAUAAAAUUAUUCAUUUCAAUGAACAAGGCUCUGAUACCAAUUUGUAGAAGUUUGAUUAAUAUUUGGAGAAAUAAAACAAAGAAAGUGAUAAAGAAUAUAAUGGAGAAGAGAAACAAAUUUUGUAUGGAAGAGAAGAAAAAUUUUUUCUAAUAAACUUUUUAUUUCACUCACACUAUGUAUUCUUCAUCACAUAUAACUCUUUAUAUAGGAGUUGUAAGUGACUAUUCAUCUAUAUCACUAAAUGCUAAGAGUUGUAACUAUUCAUUUACAUAACUUAAAUACUAUAGAAGUUAUGACUAUUCAUGCAUGUGUGUAACUUUUCAUCUUCAAGUCUCUUCGCAUUAUUAACUCUUCAUAUUCAAGUCUUUUCACAUUCAUAACUUCUCAUAAUUUAAUUUAUGCAAGAUUAAUUUAAUUAUUUGCCAACAGGUACAAUACUUUUGUUUGUCUUUUGUGUUUUGGAAAAUGCAUGCGAAAUCCAUGCAUAUGCAAACAUUUUGUACAAGAAAUUUGCAUAUCAGUACUGCAUAAAAGAGUGACUCUGGAGUUAUGGAAUUAUUUGAUAAUAUUGAAUACGAAAUAAAUAAAAAAUAAAAGAGUGGGUGAUUAAUCCGAAUUGGGAGGAGGACAGGUGUUGUGAUGGACAAGGGCAGCUAGGUAUUCCUUUUCAAACGAAGAAGAUAAAAGAUAAAACAUAUAGUGUGGUGGUCGAAGAUAAAUGAUUACAAUAACACUAAUAUGAUCUGCUUUGCCUUCGUCCACCACCUCAUCUUUAUGUUUUUAUCUUGGUUGUGACUCACGUUGGCCUUAGUCUGAAAGUGCUGUCAGUCCUACUAUCGUGGUUCUGUUGCCUACCUUUUGAUUUCUAUAUCUCAGGGUCUAUUUGAAUGUGCCGUGGGGAUAAAGUUAGAAAAUUGCUUUUAAGGGUUGAAGUUAAAUUAUGUAUCUUUAUAGUUUUUAGAGGUGUUGAAUCAAAAUUUUAUUAUUUUUUGAAUAAACUGUAAAUUUACAAUGUUUAACUUAUAAUUUUAUUGAUUUAGAGAGAUUUAAAUAAUAGUUUUCCAUUUUAGGGGUGUAAGGAGUAAUAUUCAUUUUAAGGGUCUAAAGAGUAAUUUUCAUUUUAAGGGGACUACGAUUAGAUUUGAUUAUGAGUUAGGUCACCUGUCCAAGCUCGAUGGCCCUAUUGAAAAGUGAGGGAGUUUGGAAAAUAACAUAGGCCUGAAAAAUAAGCUUGGACAAAAAAUAAUACCCAUUUUCUAAAUGGGCCGAGCCUCGAGUAAGAUAUUUUUGCUUGGGCCCAACUCGACCAAAUUUGCUUAAAAUUUUUUCCUUACUACUGUUAACUGUUUUUUUGCUAUUAUAUUAUUACUAUUUUAUUGUUAUGUUUGGAUAUUGUAUAAUUAUUGUUUAUUGUUAAUUUUGCUACUAUUUUAGAUGCAUUUGCUUGCUAAGUUGCAACUAUCUUAAUGUUAUAUAAGUAUAAAGACUUUUUUUUAAUGUAUUUUCAAUUUGUUGGGAAAUAUUUAUUUUAAUAUUUUUAAUAUAUUUGAUGUAUUAUAUUUUUUAAAAUAAAAAAUAAUAAAAAUAAUUUAAUAGAGGCGGGCCGGGCCAAGCUUAGGUUUGGCAUUGUUUUAUUUGAGUCAGGCUUGAACAAAAAUUUAGGCCUAUUUUCGGGUCAGGUAGGGCCAGAACCUAGAAAACGAGCCUAAAAUUCAAUCCAAUUGAGCUCAUGAUCAAGUCUAGCCACAACCCCUACUGCUCUGGUCAAUGCCUUUGGAGACAAUAUUAAUUCUUUUAAGAUUGAAAAUAGCGAUGGCGAUGAAAUUAAUUACUAUAGCAAUGAGAUUAGUUAUUAUAGCGAUGAUAUUAAAAAUAGUGAUGAGAUGUGUGUUAGGAUUCAAACACGACAAUAAUAGAAAAAUAGAUAAUAAAUUUGUAAUAAGAAAGCAAAAUAACCGUUAUAGACAUUAAACUAAAGUAGUUUUCAGCUUCUUCUCAUUGCACUCUUCUUCUCAAUUCUUUUCCAUUUUUUUGGUCUUUCUUAGUUUUGUUUAAUUUGUUGCUACCAAGGUAAUGCUCUGACAUCUUUUGUUUUUCUUAAUUUUUCGUUAUUCUUUCCUCUUGUUCUCUGGAAACCAAUUUGCUCUCAUCUGUUGGGUGUUGUUUAUCUAUUAUUUUAUUUUAUCUAUUUGUCGCUCCUAACGACUUUUUUGUCACGGUUCUGGUCCGUGUCGCUUCUAGUCUUUAAUUCGGUUGUUGGUCUUCGCGAUUUGGAGUUUUGGGAUUGUGGUAAGGUUGCAUGGGAGGUCUGUGAAGCGCGUAAUUCUUUGUCGAUGAACAGUGUCGUAGGAAUUGUUUCUUCUUUAGGUGCUGAAAUGGCUGUUGUGGGUCGACAUCGGAAAGCAGUAAGUUGUGUAACGAAAAAAUUGAAAAAUUCGAAAAACAGCGAUCGAAGAAAGUUGAAAAAGUGCACUAUCGAUGCCACAUGACCGUGUGGUAGGCCGUGUGUGACACACGAUCAUGUGACAGGCCGUGUGCAAGUUCGUUUGGCCACACGGUCUGGGCCAAUUGGGCUGUGUGGGCCACACGGGUAUAAACGAGGCCGUGUGGGCCCAUUUUUUGGAAAUUCCAUCUUGGCCCAAUUUGAUCGGUAGAAGGUAAUUAGCCUCUCCGUAGGGUCCGUACCGCUUAAAUAGGACUUGAAAACAAGGUAUCUAUAAAUAUGGUUCUAUGUUGUGUUAAAUGUAUAUGUAUUAUAAAUUUGUAUGAGCUAAUACUAUUAGUUCUGAAGGUAUGUCUUGAUUCGUUAUGUCUGUAUAAGCGUCUAUAUUGUACGAUCAUGUUAAUUUGUAUUUUUGAAUUUGAUAUAACCAUGCAUGUGAUUUCAUGGUAAAACUUAUGUGUUUCUAUAAGAUUAAAUAAAUCUAUUCUGUAAAGCUUGGACUUUCAUGUCUUUUGUUUCUGUUAUUGUACGUCAGCAUGUUCUACAUGCUCACCAUUUUGAUUCUGUACAUACAUGCCUUGACACAUUGCAUGGAAUUUUGAUAAUGUUAAAGGAGAAAGAUUCAGUAUUGGUAGUUUAAUGAUCUGCGUAAUUCAAUGGCUUGAUCACAUAUAUUUGAUCUGGCAAUUUAACUGCAUAUUGCUAAGACAUUGUUACCGGGCAACCCGGGGUGGCGGGUCAUUAUUGAUGGGCAACCCGUGAUGACUUAACUGGUGUGUUUUUGGAUGGAAGAGUUCUAGGGAACUCUAUUUUGGUGUGUAGCGGAGUUGGGUAGGACGUUUUCUAAAAAAAUCCGCAUUAUGAUUUUCUAAAAUAUCGAAUUGGCAUAAUCAUACAUAUUCAAUUAUGUUUGAUUAAUUGUUAUAAAAUUUGCUGUGAUUUUCUUAUUUGUUUAUUGUAUUGUAUGUGACCUUAGCUUGAGUUUUAGUUAGACACUAAACUUAAUAGCUCAACCAUUUGUUUUUUUUUUUGUACAUUUCAACACAUUUCAAGUAAUCGGUAAGUUAGAGUAGGACGGCGUGCAGGUGCUCGGAUGGUUUUAUCAGUUAUUUCUAAAAAAUUGGCAAUUUUCGUAAUUGUUUAUUUUGAACUUUGGGGCUGUAAUUUUUUUUUGGGUUUUUGUUUUGGUUUCUAUUUAAUUCAUCGAUGUUGAUAUUUGCGAACAUAAAAUUGCUAAAUCUUGCUGGGUUAACAAUUUAAAAUUUUGAUUUCCAAAAUUAAAUCUCUGAAAAUUUUCCAUUGUAAACUAACUCCUAAAGAGUUUUUCUAUAUAAAAAACAAAUGGUUUUAAUGAGUGUUUGCCUUAAACUAGAAAUGAUUUGUCAAAAUAGAUAUUAUCAAAACACACGAUUUGAAAUUCAAAAUUCUGGGUUUUAAGUGAGUUUUUUCCGAACUUAAGUUUUUCUAAACAUUCAUGAAAGUUUUGCCAAAGUGUAUAUUUUCGAAAUGCAUUUAGUUUGAUCGAAGCAAAGGCUUUUGAACAAGUUGAAUGUAAUUUCUCAACAUCCGGUCAUAACUUUUAGGCCAAGUUUAGGAUCUUACAGUUGGAUUGUUAAAUUAAUAAUUAUACAAAAAUAUAUUAAAGCGUAUAAAAUUACUUUGGUUUCAUACUAGUGUAAGCAGACCCCUCCCCUUUUAAUAUAUAAAAUUAAUUAUAUCUUUUAAAUUAAUGUAUUUAAUAUUAUUUAUAAAUAUAUUUCUUUAUACACCUAACUAAUGUAAAUAAAAUACUAAAUAUGAUUUGAAGUAAUGAAAUAAAAUAAACACUAUAAAUAAAAAUAUUAAAAUUUUGAAAAAUAUGGAAAAAAAAUUAAUGUAAAUAUCUCCAAUCACUCUGUGAAUGCCUCGAGCUUCUAGACCUGUGCACUCCAAACCUCCUCAUCUAAUGAAUCCACUAUGGACACCUUGUUCAUUGGUUCAAAGUGGUUGAUGUUGGUUUCCAUAUAUCCUUUGUCUCCGAUAAGAAAGGAUUUCUUCCAAAUUGAAAAUCUUGUAUUGAAGCAUGUCAUUUUACCAUAAGCCAUUCAUCGUAGAAUCGAACUCGUUUAACUUUGAAAUCACUCUCCUAAUGCAUGUUAUUUGGAAAGUUGUUGAUGAAGAUUGUUGAACACCCUUAGUUUUUCCACUCCAUUUUUCUAAUGUCCGCCCCCCUUGGUUAUAACAAUCCGGAACCUCCCUUAAUCUAACUUAUUAUAAAAUUAAAAAAAAAACUCUAAAUAAGACAAUAAAAGGUUUUAUUUAUUUAUUUAUACCACAUUAUAGCAUGAUGAACAUUACAAAUGGGCAUGAAUAAAUAGACAUAUACUAGUGGCAUAAGCUUGAAGACCUGACUUACCAAUACACUAGAAUUUCACACAUAACAAACGCACGCUAUAUACGGAGAUGCAUGGGAAAACAGCGGUAGGUAGAUAUAAGUCAACUGGCUGUCAAAUUUAUUCUAGUAGUAGUGCAAAACAUAUAUAGCACAUUAUUAUUGCUGACACUGACAACCUGAGCACCAGCAUUUUGAUCAGAAAUUUAAGCAAAGCCACCCAAGAAAGCUGCGUUUGUAUUACCAUCACUGCAAUAAAGGCAAGGGUUCUGCUCAAUCCAUUGUCCAUUAAAAUCUUGGCAGCCUCAGCCAUAAGUGUCUGUUGCUUAUUCCAGCACCCAUGUGCUGAUCGAUUAUGCUAAUUACCACUGCAAGGGUGAACGCCCCAAUGGCUAUAUUCUCCAAAACUAGGUCAUAUGAUGUCUCAUUGGCUUCACACCCACUUAAUAAAAUCCCUUCAUCCUCCUCCAGUGGAUCCAACACCAUUAACCCAUCUACGUAGUGAGGAAUGAGGAUGGAAUUUGAGAUUCACAUCUUUCCCGAAGAUUCCAAAAAUCUUUUGACCAACAUUUGCUGCGUCGUGUAGGAUUCCUGCUGCUGUAUCUAUCGCACUAUGCAUAAUAUCAAAAGGAAAACUCUUAGCCUGAGCCUUAGAAGGUUUAGGCUUGUCGGUAUUUACUGUUGUCGUCAUAUGCUCACCACCAAAUUGUUCUUUCUCUUUUUGAAUGAGACCACCACUGUGGCACGAAUCUGAUAGGAUUGUGAAGCUUGCUCCUUCUGGUAGCCGGUUAACUAAACGCCUGAAGUCCACGUCUGCAGAAACCAUGUAUAUAUAUAGGGUAUGAAUAUAUGUUGCUAAAAUAAAUAUAUAAAUUCAAACAAAAACCUUCCAGUGACAAGAUAUAAAUCACAAGCCACGAUUGCUUCAUCAUGCUUGAAAGGCUAGCCAGCUUGAAAGAUUGGAAUGCGAGUUCCAUGUCCACUGAAGUAGAAAGAAAGGACAUCUCCUGGUUUAGCCUUGUUCACCAUCUUAUUAAGUGCAUCCUUAAUGUUUGCACCAGUAUGCGGAACCGGCGACCCUGGCACAUCGAUGAGCACAUUAACAUCGCUUACCUUAAACCCAAAGUUUCAGGAUCACAUCUGUUAUGGCUUUCACAUCAUUGAUGCAUCCAUGCAAGCUGAACUGGGUCUUGGGGUAGUUGCAUCCCACCAGAACAGCUCUCUUCGUACCCUUACCCAUCUUGCUUUGGUAAUUUGACUAUUUUGUGUUGCUUGUACUGUUGUAUUAAUGUGCUUCCACUUUCUCACUAAGAACCUAUAUAUAUAGACACUAAUUUACAGCAUGAGUACUGACCAUAAAGUUGACGACAUGUAGGUAGGUAGGUAGGUACAACACUUUUGUUUGUCUUUUGUGUUUUUGGAAAUGCAUGCGAAAUCCAUGCAUAUGCAAACAUUUUGAGCAAGGAAUUUGCAUAUCAGUACUGCAUAAAAGAGUGACUCUGUUGUUAUGCAAUUAUUUGAUAAUAUUGAAUGUGAAAUAAAUUCAAAAUAAAAGAGUGGGUCGUUAAUCCGAAUUGGGAGGAGGACAGGUGUUGUGAUGGACAAAGAGGAAGACAAGGUGGUUUCCGAUUGAAGCAAGAAAGCUCUAGCAAAAGGCAGCUAGGUAUUCCUUUUUCAGACAAAGACGAUAAAAGAUAGAAAAUAUAGGGUGGUGGUCGAAGAUAAAUUAUUAUAACAGCACUGAUAUGAUCUGCUUCGCCUUCGUCCACCACCUCAUCUUUAUGUUUUUAUCUUGGUCGUGACUCACGUUGGUCUUCGUCUGCAAGUGCUGUCGGUCCUACUAUCGUGAUUGUGUUGCCUAGCUUCUGAUUUCUAUGUCUUAGGGUAUAUUUGAAUGUGCGGUUUGUAUGAGGGUGAGGUUAGAAAAUUGAUUUUAAGGGUUGAAGUUAAAUUAUGCAUCUCUAGAAGUGUUAAAUUAAAAUUUUAUUAUUUUUUGGAAUAAAUUGUAGUUAUAUAAUGUUUAACAUAUAAUUUAAUAGAUUUUAGAGAGGUUCAAAUAGUAAUUUUUUAUUUUAGAGGAUAUAAAGAGUAAUUUUUAUUUGAAGGGGGCUACAAUUAGAUCUGAUUAUGAGUUGGGCUAUUCUUUCAAACUCGAAGGGCUGCCCAAAAAAUGGGAUUGUUUAAGCAAAAAUAUAGGCUCAAAAAAUAGGCUUGGACAAAAAAUAAGGCUUGUUUCCCAAAUAAGUUGGGUCUUAGGUAAGAUUUUUUGCGUAGACCUAACCUUACUCGAAUUUGGUUAAAAAAAAUCCUAUUGCUGUUAACUACUAUUUUGCUACAAUUUUACUAUUAUAUUGUUGCUAUUUUUUUAUUAAUGUUUGAAUAUCAUGUAAGUUUGUUUUACUAUUAAUUUUGCUACUAUUUUAGAGGCAUUUUCUUGCUAAAUUGCAACUAUCUUAGUGUUAUUCAAGUAUAUUUUUUUAAAAUAUAUUUUUAAUUUGUUGGGAAAUAUUUAUUUUAAUGUUUGUAGUGUAUUUGAUAUAUUAUAUUUUUUAAAAUAAAAAAAUAAUAUAAAAAAGUUUUAAUAUGGGUGGUCUGAGCCAAGCACAAGUUUGGCAUUUUCUUAUCUGGACUAGGCUUGAUCAAAAUUUUAAGUUUAUUUUUCAUAUCAAGUUAGGCCCAAGCCUAGAAAAUGGGUCUAAAAUCCCAGCUCAACUUAGCCCAUGAUCAAUUCUAGCCACGUCCCUAUUUGCUGUGGUCACUACUAGCGAUGAGAUUAAUUUCAAUGAUAUUAAAAAUAGUGGUGAGAUUAGUUACUAUAGUGAUAAGAUUAAAGUCAAUAGUGAAAUGGUGUUAGGAUUCAAACACAACAAUGACAGCAACAUAGAUUAUAGAUUUAUAGUAAGAAUGCAAAAUGACCAUUAUGGACAUUAAAUUAAAGUAGCUUACACCCUUCCAUAUGCUUUUGUACAAGUAAUAUUUUAAUGAUAAAAAUGUCAUAUUUAAUAUUUCAUUGAUAUAAAUCAUAUGCAUAUCUUUAACAUAAAUUAAAAUUUUCUAACGAUUUGUUUUAUGUAUGAAUACUUUUAAUUGUUUAAUAAAUGUUAAUAUAUAUAAUAUUUUAGAUCGAUAUGAUAGAAAUAUCGAAUCAAUUUGAAAAUUUAAAUGCAUGAAAAGUGCAAUAAUAUCAAAAAAUAUAUGAAAGCGUAUAAAAUUACUUUAGUUUCACACUGGCGUAAGCAGAUCCCUCCCCUUUUAAUGUGUAAAAUUAAUUAUAUCAUUUAAAUUAUGCAUUUAAUAGUAUUUAUAAAUAUAUUUCUUUAUACACCUAACUAAUGUAAAUAAAAUAUUAAAUACGAUUUGAAGUAAUGAAAUAAAACAAAUUUUAUAAAUAAAAAUAUUAAAAUUGUUGAAAAAUAUGGAAAAUGUUGAAUGGGAUUAAUGUAAGCAUUUCCAAUCACUCUGUGAAUGCCUCGAGCAUCUGGAACCUGCACUCCAAAAUUCAGACUAAUAUAAAUGUUACAUGAAAGAAGUUAAAAUCAUGAAAUAAGUACUUUUCAAAAUUCGGUAUUUACACUUGCCCAAUAAUAUAAAUAUAUUCAGCAUUUAAUUUUGUGACAUACAUAAAAUUUUAAUAAUACAAAUUCAGUAUUUUUCUUGGGUUUAUCAAACGAAAACUUGGUAAAUAUAUGAUUAACAAGGAGAUGUUAAUUGAAGUAGAUAAAAUUCAUUCCCAACAUGACUUGAAGAAGGUUACAUGGCAUCUCAGAAAAUGAAGGGAAAGCAUUCUGAAAAGGUUAGUUUCUUCAGAUAUUCAAAAUACAAAUUUCAGACCAUAUCGUUCUGUGUACAGAUGAAAGGCAUCAAAGUAGCAGUUGAACUUACGGGGAUCUUUAGGGGAAAGAAAGGAGAGAGAAGACCACAGACAAUGAAAUCCAUACAAGCAAAAAAUGAUAUUGUCAGUCUUAGAAAUCCAUACUUUCAAAAAACAUACUUCAUGAUCCAUGAUUUUAUGAGAAGACUCUUUGGAGGAGAACUUCCUAGGUCGACUUAGAAGAUAUGAAUGACAGUCUUCUAGAAAACUUCCUAAAUACAGUCAGUUUUAAAAUUCAAAAAAUGAAAAACCUUGAUUAAUUGUCAGUUAUGUCCUUUUCAACUAGCUGGUUGCAUACUGCAUAUGAAUGCUGACAAACAUUUCUUGCGUCCAUCAGCUUAUGCGAGAUUCCUCCAGUGUUGUAUGAAGAGGUUUCUUGAAAUGAUUCCCUAGCAAAAUGGUAAUACAGUGGCAAAGGUGAUAUUUCUGACAUCACCUAAGUUUUUUUAUUUGAUUUAUCUGUGAAGUUAUGGUUCUUUCUUUCUAAUAGAUUAUCUAUCAAGUUGAUUCAAGUAAUUAAGCUUAUUGGCUAGAAAUAAACAAAGAAUCUUGGAUUUCUAAAUUCUUAAUAGGUUCAGCUAUAUUUGUUGAAGGAUUCGGUGUAUGCUAAAGUUGCACCAAAAUCCACAGCCAAAUACUCAAAAACUCUGUUUGCAUAUACUAUAUUGUCAUUCAAAAACUGUCAGUCAAAUACUCAAAAACAAACCUUCUGAAAGUAGUGUUUGAUAUCUCUCAGCAAGGCAUCUAUAGUCUCAGAAAUGGACAGACAUACUUCGGUGCCACAGAAAACAAAUAAAUAAGAUCAUAAUGUUUUGUAUAACCUAAGAACAGAGAAAUGUUUAAGUAUGGCGCAUACCUGAACUUUGCAUCAUUCUUAGGAAUUGAAGGUAUCCUAGUCAGCCUUCUCGCAGAAACACUUCCUCUAAGAUUUAAGUGAUAAUGAUAUAUCUUAUUAUCACUAAUGCCUGCAGCCAGACACAAAAUUGACUUUAUUAAAUACAUAACGAAGAAUUUAACAGAAGAGACACACACACACACAUAUGCAUGUAUAUAUAUAUUGUUUAAUAUGCUCUAACUAACGGAAUAAAUGGACAAAUUUUAAUAUUAAAAGGAAAAAAAGAAGCAUGCCUCUUGACAACAUUUCAGGCACUAUAAGCAGCGUAGUAAACUUAAAGCAAAAUUGAGUCAUUGACAACCCUGUAUUAUCGCCCACACCUUAAGCAGCUAACAACUGACAGGCAAUACGCAUAGCCUAGUGGUAACCAUGUUAAUCUUCCAAAAAGGAGAUCUCUGGUUCUAAUUCCCUGUUCCCCUAACUGUUGUCAAAAUCUAAGCUAUUCAACCAUGGAUAUUUGACUAGCAAGAAAAGAAUACUGAGACACUAAACUUACUGGUAGUUUUGAUGGAAAACAACCCAUCUGCGGCAGACGGAAGUCAAAUAAUCAUGAAACAUAAAUAUUUAUCGAGAUCUUUGUAUCUAGAAUCAAAUGAGCUCAUCAUCAUCAUCAGCCACUUACCCCACUUUUCCGUUGCACUUAAGGUCUUGAAACUCCUCCAAGCAACUACCGGUGCCCGUAUCUGAUACUGCUCAUUAAGAUACAAAAUAAAUAGAUUUUUCUAGAAACGGUAUCUAUCAUUUACAGUCUACAGAUUUACCUUGCAUGACCUAAUCAUUUUUAAAAGCUUAUUUAUGCUUUUGAUGAACUCAUUUGAAAGAAAACCAGCCAAGACCAUACCGUUUCAACUUCAAAAUGACAUGAUUUCAAUGCAUAUUUUCCAAUUUAGAUAUAACUUCCUAUUUUUCUGAAAGAUCGCGUCACAAAAAAUCAAAGUAAAUAAUUCUAAUUAUAGUGAGGCAAAAAUUAAAGGAAGAAUGAAAAGUAUUCACUUGAAUGAUUGGAGGAGAGCUCUUGAGAACGACUGAUAGUCGGCAAAGAUCUUCGGAUAAACGACAUCUUUGAACAGCAAAAGAAAUUAAUUGACAAUAAGAAAAACGAAAGGAAAUUAAAGAAGAAAAGGAGAUUAGAGUGGAUUAACAUAUUAUUAUUUGUUUUUUUUCCAAACCUAAGAUUGCUUAAGGUAUCUAUUAUUUGGUUCGUAAAAGUAUAUUGUGGAAAUUUUAUGGACUAAACACCAUUGUAAAUCACAUAUUCUAGUUUUGUUAAGUAAAAAUUAAAAAAAUAUAUAGAAGAAUUGAAAUAUCAAUCAAAACCCCAAUUUUCUAAUCACCCAACCAGCAUAACCCAUAAUUCAGAAGAAAAGAGAAAAUAAAUUACAAUAGAUCUAGAAAUUAAAAAAAAACACAAAAAUAAAAAGCCAAUAAGAAAAUUUAAAAAAAAGGAAGAAAUGAAGAAGAAUUGUCUUACCUGAGAUAAUGUCACCUUUUGCGGCGUUUUUACCACAAAGGCUGCUAUUUCUUACAUUAUUUUGUGGUGUUUUUAUCAUAUAUGCUACUAUUGCUUUACCUAUUGCAGCAUUUUUUCGUUAGCACUACUAGUGUAUAACAUUUGCGAUGUUUUUCGUCCAAACACCGCUAAAACCUUAAUUUCCUGUAGUGGACCCCUAUGUGAUGGCCUGAUGGUUAAAAGUGUUCAUCGUCCUAGGUGUUGUCUGGGUUCAAAUCGUGUUAGUUGCAUUUGUCGUUCGGGCUUUUCCCUGUUAUUGUAAUUCACCAAAAAAGAAAAAAGUUAAUAUUUUGUUUUUAGGUUUGUUAUAUUUGUUAAAAAAUACCAGUGACUAAAUGGCUUAGGGACAAUUAAACAAAGUUUAUAAUUUAUCGAGAUAUAUUCUAAAAUAAAAUAUAAAUAUUUAUUCAAUGUGUAAUUUAAUACGUAAAUUUUAAUUUUAUACAAUUAUAUAUAUGAUUUUUUUAAAGUGAGAUGAAUUUAUGAAUUUAUAGUAUUAAUUCCAUAUUAAACUAUUAUAAUUUACGUACAUUCAAAAAUAAUAAUAUUACUUUUGGCUCACAUGCAAUUUAGUUAGAUACGUUACGUUUACCUAACUCAAAAUUUUAAAAAGAAAAAUUAUAAAGGCAGAUUAUGUUUUUAUAGAUGUGAUUUAGUAAUACAAAUGUUUUAUUCUUUAUCUGAAAAAGAUGAGUUUUUUUUUAUAAUUUAAUUAAAAUUUACAAUUAUGAUUUAAUUUGGUGUAGCUUUUAGAGAUGACAAUGGAGUGGGGUGAGAGUAAAUAUUGUUAAAUUUAUUAUCGAUCAUCGCUCCAUCAUUUGCAUGUUGUAUACAUUCAUCCUCGACACACCCCAACCCACUUUGCUCCACUUCAAUUUAUUUUUUGAUAUUUGUUUUUGAUAUUUUCAAUCUUUUUAAAGUCAAGUAAAUAUUUAAAUGUAAUUCUUCAAAAAAUAUUUAAACAUAAAAUAUUUAAUUUUUUUUCUAUAUUACAUUUUUAUAUUUUUACCCUUAAAAUAGUUUAUAUAUACAAGGAUAAAAUAGUAAUUUUAUACAGUAGAGUGGGUCGGGGAAGGACAAACAAUUAUCGUAAUUACCGAAAAAAAUUCACCCUGUCCUGUCCUGCAUCCACUCUUUAAAAAAAAAAAAACAAAUGUUUCAUUCGAAGAGAAACAAUUCAAAAUCUAUUUGAUGGAUUGAGUUUUGCCAUACCUAAUAACUUCAAUCCGAGUUCAUAAUUGAAUGCUGAUGAGUUUAGAUGGUAAUUUGUUUUCCAAACUUUUUGAUGUCGUCUUCCUUCAACAUGCCUAUCAACUAUUUAAUCAUUUACCUCUUAGAAAACUACAAAUUGUUUUGGUGUAACACCCUUAACCCAUAUCCGUCUCCAAAUUAGGGUUACAAGGCAUUACUGAACAAAACACAACUCAGAACAGACGUUUAUUUGAAUUCAAAAAUUUUAACAUCUAUAUGAAAAUUUGUUUAACUCAAAUUGUACCUGAACUUAUCUACUUACUCUUUAUAACCUAUUAACAUUCAAUCUAAAUGACAUUCUACCUUAUGAAUAUUCGGCUAUUUGACUAAUUUCAAAUCUAAAUUAACUAUUUUAAAACAAAACAUAAACAUUGCAACGAUCUAAACCAUAAGGAAAUAAGGCAUUUUCACAUGGCUAAUAUUUACAUAAACAGUAUCUCAAAAUACAACAUACAAAAAUAAUGUCCAGCCUAUACAUGCCAUAAGUUAAGUUCUAACAUUUAAAUACCAAGAUAGUAGAUAGAGUUAUGAACUUUGCUAACGAUCCCCGAGCUUGAAGCUUGAAUUUUUAAGUCUAUAAAACAGAGAGACGUAAACGAACAAAGUAAGCUUAUAUAGCUUAGUAAGUCUAUAGCAUAACUAAAAUAUAUAUAAAAGUCAUAUAAUUUCCAAAUUAAAUUCACUGAAAUUGUAAAUAACACAAACAAUUAUAAUAUUAGCAUUUGUUGUCCUUAAACCAUUUUAUAUAUAACCAAAUAUAUGUACCUGUCGAAUGCAUACAUCUGAAUAUAUGUAUACAUAUACAUCAUGUGUAUAUAACCGAUCAUAUAUAUAUACUAAAUAAACAUUAUAACCGAAUGCAUAUAACCGAACAUGUAUAUAUAUACUAAACACAUAUUAUAUCUGAUUGUAUAUAUAUACUCGUCUUAAACUUAAAACCCAGUACAUAUCUAAAGCAUAUAACCGAAUGCAAAUAUAUUCAUCAAAUACUUAUAAACAAAUGUAUAUACACCUCAAAUACAUAUAUAGAUACUUAUCGAAUACAUUUGCCGAAUGUAUAUAUAUUUAUCAACUGCUUAGCAAAUGCAUAUACCUAAUGCAUAUAUAUUUAAUAUAUGCAUAUACCGAAUGCACAUAUAUAUAUUUAACAAAUGCUUAGACCGAAUAUAUAUAUGCUCAUCAAUUAAAUAUAACCAAAAUCAUAUAACUGAACAUUUGUAUACUCAUCAAAUACUUGUAACUGAAAUCAUAUACAUAUCCAAUGCAUGUAAUCACAUACUUUAAAUAGAUUCACCGACACUUAGCCUGCUAAGCUUGAAGCCUGAUUCUGUACACCGGCACUUAGCCUGCUAGACAUAUAGUCUGAAAUGUUUCACCGGCAUCAAGCCUGCUAGACGUAAAGUCUAAAUUAUUUCACUGACAAUAAACCUGAUAGGCACUGAGCCUGAAAAUCUCAAUUCACAGAAGUUGUAACUCUUAUUCGAACUAUAUUUGUAUAUAAUAUCCAUACAUAAAAAUUCAGCUCAAUAAUUUAUUAACUAUAUCUUUAAACCACAUAGAUAUAUAAAGAUCAAAUACCAAAUUCAGCUAAAUGACUUAAUUAUACAUCCGAACACUCACAUAUAUAUAAUUUAAUAAAUUAAAUUCUACUACUAAAAUCUUAUCAUUUAACUUAUAUCAUACCUUAAGUAACAUACAUUUACUAAUCGAAUCACUUAAAUACAUAUAUAUUUCAUAACAUUAAAAAUCAAUUCAAAGAAAAUAUAUCAUACAUUCGAACACCUUAUAAAUAAUGUAAGCUAACAAUUUCAUACCUUUAAAUAUAUUCAAGACUUAUUCAUAUACAUACAUAUAUGUUCCAACUCACAUAUACAUAUAUAUAACAUUCAUACUUUUAACCAAGUCCAAGGGUUUAUACAUGUAUAUACUUAUAUAUAUUCGGACCUUAUGUAUACAUAUAUAUUAUAUAUAUACCUUUGAUUAAAAACAAGAAUUUAUACAUAUAUAUAUAUAUAUUUUCGAACAUGAUACAUAUAUAUAUAUAUCAUUCAUACUUAAACCAAAUUCAAUCUAUAUACUUUCAAUUUCAGCACAUCAAAAUAUAAUAUAUAUACAUACAUAUAUACUGAUUUAAUAACAUCAAAUUGCUAAUAGACUUACCUCGGACAGUGUAAAAUCGAAACUGGACGAUUAGUCGACUACUUUAGCUUUUCCCCGAUUCAACUCCAAUUUCUUUAUUUCUUGAUCUAAAUAUAUUCAAAAUAAACUAGUUUAAAUAUUAUUACAUUCAAUUUAGUCCAAAAACACAUAAAUGAGAAAAUUACCAUUUUGCCCCUGACAUUUUACACUUUUUGCAAUUUAGUCCCUAUUGCAUAAAACACAAAAUACGCAAAAUUGCCCAACCUAUGCUAGGGCCGAAUGUUCAUAGGCUUCAUAAAAGUCCACACAUUUCAUUUAUUUCACAUUUUAGUCCCUCAAUAAAUUUAAUUUCACAAGUUAGCCCUAAUUACUCAAUUUCACCAAAAAUUCAAAGACAAAACAUAUUAAUCUUUCACCCAUCUUUCAUAUUUCAUCAUCAACUAUCAAAAAGCUCAAACAUUCAUCAAUGGCAUAUCUCAAAAUCACCAUCAAAUUCUAAAAUUAAAGCAUGGGUCUUGUAGUAUACACAAAGCAACGAUCUCAAAACGUAAAAAUUAUCAAAAAAUCGAAACAAAACUAACCUCAAUCAAGCUAUGAAAGUGCCAAACUUUAGAAAGCCAUAGUUGGGUUCUUCAUGCUUAACAUUCGGCUAAGAAAAGAUGAAAACAUUCAUCUUUUCAUCAUUUAUUUUUAAUUAUAAUGUUUAAUUUAACAAUUGACUAAAUUAACCUUAUUAUAAUAAAUAUAUAAAACAUAUAUAUUAAGGUUAAUUAUAUCAUAUGCCACCCACUAUCUACUAUAUGGUCUUAUUGCAUCAUAAAUCCUCCCAUUUAAAAAGAAAACAAAAAAUAGGUGCUUUUAUAUUUAACCUCUAAAUUUUUAUUUUACGCGAUUAAGCCCUUUUAUUAAAUCGGAUACUUAAACGACGAAAUUAAAACACGAAAAUUUCACACAAUAAAAUUCACACAUAAUAAACACACAAAAUAAUAUUAAAAUAUUUUUCUGACUCGAAUUUGUGGUCCCAAAACCAUUAUGUCCGAUUAGGGUCAAUAUUGGGCUGUUACAAAUGGUGCGUGUAUAACUAUGUUUUACAUUGCAUUUUAAAUUUUCCUUUUUUAAUAUCGGUUGGAAAAUAUGGACAUCACAUAUAUAUAAUAAGGGUAAUUACAUGUUUUUAUCUAUUAUCAUAAAAGGUUAGCCCAAAUUAAAAGUGAUCGAAUUUGGUUAAAUUUUAUUGGGCUUUAAUUAUUAAAUAAAGUAUAGGUUAAAUAUGUGUAGAUACUCUAGUAAUUAAUUUCUAAUCAAUAAUGGGUUAAUUAGAUAUUAGGUUAACGUGUAAAAGUUAUAUAUUAGGGUUAUGGUUAUCAAAUUACACAUAAAGUAACUUUUCUAAUAUUCCAUAUUUAGAAAAGAAAGAGUCACCUUCUCUGAAUUUCUUUUGUGCUAAUUUGGAAGAUCAAAACUCCAAUAUCCGUAGAUUUCAAGAAAUCAAUGAAUUAAGGUAUGCUUUCGCAUCUAGUUUUGUUCUUGAUGAUUUGAUACAUGAUAGAUCCUAGUUUACAGUUUUAAGUUUGUAUCCUAUUUUAUUUUACGGUUCUAACAAGUGGCAUCCGAGCCUCGUCAUGUUGAAUCAUUCUACUUCUAGCUAGAGCUUAUUCUCGUUGAUUUUCUUUUCUUUUAUUAUUUCUUUUUACUUUGUUUUAAUUUUUAUUUUAAUUUUUAAAUUUUAAACUCUUUAUAUUUUUAUUUUAAAAAUAAAAUUGUCACGGAUGUAUAUAAAUACAACAUUACCUAUUGCUAUCUACUCAUUUAUAUUUUUCAAUUAAAUUUUUGUUUUUAUAAAUCUCUACAUGCUUACAUUACUUCAAUACAACACCAAAAGAACCAAAUGUCAAACACCGACGCUUAUAAAUAAAAUUCUUGCAAAAGAAGCCGUUUUAUUUAUCAUAAAAUUAUACAUGGAAUAGCCAUACAUGGCGAUUACAUAAGCUUGAAUGCCUUAAAAAACACAGACAUUAUAUGAUAGUAAUAAGCAAACACACACACACAGACGAUAGUAAUAAGCAAACACACACACAGACGCAGUAAUGAAGGCUAACUUCAACUUCGUAGUAGUGCACAUCGAUCGAGCGCAUUAUUAUUUAGUUUAGAGUUUCGACCUCUAGUGAUCGAAAACCCUGGUUCAAAGCCGGCAGCUUACGCACCCGUAGUGGUGUUGGGUUGGUGGCCAAGAAAAGCUGCAUCAGCAUUCUCAUCACUGCAAUAAAGGCAAGGGUGCUGCUGCCCAAAUCCUAGGUUUAUUAUUUCAUUCCUGGCCUUCACCACAAGCUGUCUAUUGGUUAAUGCACCAUUGCUCUCCUUGAUGACCUUCAGAACUGUAUAGGUAAAGGCCCCAAACGCCUUUCCUCCAGUUUUGUCACUCGCUCGCAUAUCAAAUGAAAACUCAUUGGCUUGGCACCCACUUAACAGAAUUCCCUCAUCCUCCGUCAAUGACCUCAAAUUCAAAAUAUCACGUUCAUAAUGGGGUAGGAAUUUGAGACUCACAUUGUUCCCAAAGAGUGUGGUCAAAAGAGAGCCAAUACCCGUCAUAUUGUCUGUUCCAGUGUUGAUGGCAUUGGCAACUGCUGUUGUGUCCAAGAAGCUUUGUGUCGCGCUCACGACGUUGGCUGCUGUUUGUAGGCACUGGUAUAAGGUUUCAAUGGAAAUGCCCCUAGUCUUGUAAUCAACAGGUGGUGCUAUACCCCUUAGAGUACUAUGGGGUCCAAUUUGUUCUUUACUUUUAUCAAUCAGACCACCACUGUGGCAGGAAUCCGAAACCAUUGUGAAGCUUGAUCCACUUGGUAGUUGCUGAAUCAAUUGCCCCAAGUCCACGUCUGCACAACCAUGGCAACCACCAUAUGAUAUAAAUAAUAGUUUGCUUAGAUUGAGAGUAUUUUAAAAUUUUAAUUUACCAAGUUGAUUUCGUACCAAAAAUGGGAUUGAGAUCACAAGGCACAAUUGCUUCACCCCCGUUGGAAGGCUGGUAGGGGUCAAUGCAGUGCACAAGUCCAUGUCCACUAAAAUGGAAAAGCAGGACAUCUCCUUCUUUAGCCGCGACCACCAUCUUCUUGAGUUCAGCCAUAAUGUUUGCACGUGUAGGCUUAUACGUGGACUCUGGUUCAUCAGUUAGGAGCUCAACAUUUUCGGAAUCAAAGCCAAACCUGCUCACGAUCAUUUCUCUCAUGGCUUUCACAUCGUUUACGCAUCCGCUCAACUCGUUGAUGGUGUUGGGGUAGUUGCAUCCGACCAGAACGGCUCUCUUCUUACAUUCGGUGGCCAUCUUGCUUCUAUUUUGGGUCGCUUGUCUUGUCUUGUGCUUCGGACGUUGCACUAAACACCUAUAUAUAUACACCCAUACACACUGUAGUUUACACUAUGCUCACUGACCAUACUCUAAUAAAUAAGACAUCAUGUUGGUAGGUACAACUGUUUUAUUUUAUUAUUGUUUAUAAAAAUGCAUGGCAAAUCCAUAUACAUGCAAUUAGUUGUCUGUAUAAAAGUACCACUGUUAGAGUGUAUUUGGACUAAAAAUUUUAGAAUUAAUUUAAAAUAUUAAAAUUUGUAAUUGUUUUAUUUGGAUAAAUAAUUGAUUUAGGACAAAUUAAGUUAUUAGAAUUUUACAAAUUAAAAAUAGUUAUAAAAUAAAAAUUUUAUAUUACAAAAAAAAUUAAAAUUAACAUUAAAAUAAUUAUAAAAUAUUUUAUACACAAAAAUGAAUAAUUUGAAAAGCUUUCCAUAUUAUUAAGUCCAAAUUUGAUACCACACUUUUCCAAUUAAGCAAUUUUGAUAUAUUUGGCCUCUAAUAAGAAAUCAAGAAAUGGAAUGGGUGAUUAAUCCGAAUUGGGAGGAGGACAGGUGUUGUGAUGGACAAAGAGGAAGAUAAGGUAGGUAUUCCUUUUUGCAGACAAAUAAGAUAAAAGAUAGAAAAUAUACAGUGGUGGUCGAAGCUAGAGGAUUAUAACAGCACUGAUAUGAUCUGCUUCGCCUUCGUCCACCACCUCAUCUUUAUGUUUUUAUCUUGGUCGUGACUCACGUUGGCCUUCGUCUGCAAGUGCUGUCGGUCCUACUAUCGAGAUUCUGCUGCCUAGCUUUCGAUUUCUAUGGCCUUAUUUGGCAAUUGGCUCAUAAUGGGCAAAUUAUAAUUGUAUAAUGUUUAAGUUAUAAUUUUAUAGAUUUAAGAGAGAUCAAAAUAACAAUUUUUUAUUUUAUGGGUAUAAAGAGUAUUUUUCAUUUUAAGGGGGUCAUGGUUAGAUGUGAUUAUGGGUGGCGGUGUGCUCGAAAAGUGGGAGGGUUUAGGUAAAAAUAUAGGCAUGAAAAAUAGGUUUAGAUAAAAAAAAUACCCGUUUUCGAAACAGGUCGAGCCUUGAGUAAGAUUUUCUUUGUCCGGGCCCGGCCCGACCCAAAUUUGAUUAAAAAAAAAUUCUUGGUGUUGUUUAAUGUUGUUUUGCUACCAUUUUACUAUUAUAUUGCUACUAUUUUGUUGUUAUUAUUUGGAUGUUUUAUAACUUUGUUUUAUUAUUAAUUUUGCUACUAUUUUAGAAACAUUUGCUUGCUAAGUUGCUACUAUCUUAGUGUUAUUUAAAUAUAAAGAUUUUUUUUAAUGUAUUUUCAAUUUGUUGGGAAGUAUUUAUUUUAAUGUUUUUAGUUUAUUUGAUGCAUUAUAUAUUUACAUAAAAAAUUUUAAUACGGGUAGACCGGGUCAAGCUCAAGUUUAGCAUUUUUUAUCUGGUUUAAUCUUGGACAAAAUUUAGACCCAUUUUUCGGGUCGAUUUAGCCCAUGAUCAAGUCUAGCCACGACCCUUACCUGCUCUGGUCACUGCCUUUGGCAAUGAGAUUAAUUCCAGUGAGAUUGAAAAUAGCGAUGGCGGUGAGAUUAGUUACUAUAGUGAUGAGACUAAAAUUAAUACUAAAAUGUGUGUUAGGAUUCAAACACAACAGUGGUUUAUAGAUUUAUAGUAAGAAAGUAGAAUGACCAUUAUGGACAUUAAACUAAAGCAGUUUACACUCUUCAGUAUAUUUUUGUACAAUUAAUAUUUUAAUGAUAAUAACGUCAUAUUUCAUUUAUAUAACUCAUGUGUAUAAAAUUUAAUGUAAAUUUAAAAUGUUCAAACUAAUUGUUUUAUGUAAGAAUACUUUUAAUCGUUGAAUGAAUGUUAAUAUGUACAAUAUUUUAGAUUGUUAUGGUAGAAGUAUCGACUCAAUUUGAAAAUUUUUAUAUGCAUGAAAAGUACAAUAAUAUCAAUAAAUUCAAUGGUUGGAUUGUUAAAUUAAUAAUGAUACAAAUAUAUAUAUAUAUGAAAGCGUGUAAAAUUACUUUAGUUUCACUCUAGUGUAAGCAGAUCUCUCUCCUUUUAAUAUAUAAAAUUAAUUAUACAAUUUAAAUUUAUGUAUUGAAAUUAUUUAUAAAUAUAAGUAUAAAUAUAUUUCUUUAUACACCUAACUAAUGUAAAUAAAAUAUUAAAUGUUAUUUGCAAGUAAUGAAAUAAAACAAAUAUUAUAAAUAAACAACUCUCCGAAGGUUAAAUGGAAUUAAUGUAAACAUUUCCAAACACUUUGUGAAUGCCUCGAGCUUCUUGAAUCUGCACUCUAAACCUCCUCACCUAAUAAAUACACUAUGGACACUUUGUUGAUUGGCUCAGAGUGAUAGAUAGGAGUGAAUAAAACUCGAUUUGAUUUUUUAAAAAAAAUCAAAUUUUGAGUUAAUUGAAUUGAGUUAUUUAAGUUAUUUUUAUUUUUUUGGUCAACUCGAAUAAGUAAUUUGAGUUUCAAGUCGAGAUCGGGUUAAAUUUUACAAUUCGAAUAACUCAAAUAAUAAAUGUAACACCCUAUACCCAGCCUGGUCGUCGAGCCCGAAUAUCAGGAUGCCACACCAUCGUCUCAUGUCAUACACAACGAAUAAAAGCCCAUUUUAAAUGAAGACGUCUUCCACAAUAUCAUUCGUAAAGGUUUUAAGUCGAUCUUACUCUUUAGUUAUCAUCGUUACGUGCUAAUCAUACAUCAAAUAGUCUUACACUAAUAAUUAAACUUGCAUAGGGUUCAUUUAGCAAAAUUUUCCAAGCAAGUACGUAGGUAUCGAUAGUAGGACAAGGGUAUCAAUAUUUUCCUGGUACGGUAUUGAUGUCCUUUGUAAAAUUAGAACCAAAUCAGUAUUCUGUUUCUCAUCUAAAAUCAAAGUCUCAUAAAGUAUCAGUAACUUUGCAAAAGUAUAGAUGAAAUUACUUCGAGUAUCGAUACUCGUGAUAUGAUAUUGAUACCAAUCUACGAUUUUGACUUCCUACACAUUUCAAAAUCAUAGAUGUAUCAUUUUAAAAACAUGAAUAUCGAUACCUCUACUCCAAGCCAGAAAAAUACAACAUACUUGAGCACAAAAAAAUCAUUCUAACUUGUACUAAUUCAUCAUGCUAUCAUAUCACCAUCAAAUAAACAUCAAAAGGACAAUAUGAUAGUCUCAAACAUCGAAAGUAAGUCCGAGCAAUAAUCAACGUAAUACGAAAUGAAUCUCAUAAACUUAGGAACAAAUAAUCUAUGGAAGCAUCUAAAACAUCAUGGUAAAUACCAAUAGAAGUCUACCACAUUGCCUUUUUUCCAAAACAUAAACAAAUAACAAUAACACCUACUAAAUCACGGAAAUGAACUUACUUGGAUCACCCCUUGGAACCACACCGCUCACACCGGCACUUUAAGAAAGAAGUGGGUGAGCUUAACAAGCUCAGUGAAUGCCUAGAAUAACUACCAUGCAAACAAUUCAUCAAGCAUCAACGAAACAACCAUAUAGCACAACCUCAACAAUUCCAACACUAGUGUCAUAAUAUACUUACUCGUGCAUUAUUUUCUAUUUCUUUUACAUUGUAAACAUAUUCACUUUUAAACAUAUAUCUUGUUACACAUAUAAUCACCUAACAUCCAAACAUAUAUCACAAUACUCAUAUAAUCACAUAACAUUUAAGCAUAUAUCAAAAUAUUCAUAUAAUCACAUAACAUUUAAGCAUAUAUCACAAUACUCAUAUAAUCACAUAACAUUCAAGCAUAUAUCACAAUAUAUAUACAUAUAAUCACAUAACAUUCAAGCAUAUAUCACAAUAUACAUAUAAUCUCAUAACAUUUAAGCAUAUAUCACAAUACUCAAAACAUCUUUAUAGAUAAGUUAUGAAACGUAAAAGUGGGCACUAUCACCACUCAUCGGAUACACGGAUAUCCAGUACACCACAUAGACUCGUAGAGUCAAACAUGUCUCAAAAGUGAAGCAUAAAGCUAACACUCUCAUUAUUUCCCCUCACAUGCCCCAUUGAAUAGAGGCUAGCUCACAUUCCCUUAUCACUCCAACAUGUCCCAAGGCCUCAACGCCCAAAUCACUAUACAUAUAGAUGAGUACUCACAAUCCUAUGGCAUGCCUACUAUAUCCAACGGGUUCAAGAUCACAAGUCCAAAAUAUCCAAAAUUAAACACAUAUCACUUACCAACUAUCCGUGCACUAUCAUUGUAUAUUUGCUAUUUUUAGAAAAACAUUGUCACUAACAUUUAACAUAUACAUAACAUGUACACAUUUGCACUUUCACAACAGUUAUGAUAACCAUAUAUCACAUGUUAUAGCAUAUCAUCUCUGUUCACAUAUUCACAAACACAUAAGCACAUAGUUCACAAGAUAACAUAGGUAUGAGAAAGCUUACACUCGAAAUUUAGAGUAGGGGUUUAGGUCACAACUAAAUUCCAAAAUAACGCAUUGAAUCAUGUUCGCAAGUAAUUAUUCCAAGUCACCAAUUACACUUUCGUCGAAAAGCCAAACGCUCAAACUAGUUUUUCAUUGUCUUUAUAUCUACUCAAACUAGCUCAAACACUAAUCAAUUACUCAAUCUUUUUCCCUAAAAUCAGUUUCGUUCAUCUUAUAAUUUACCUACGACUAAUUCCCAACCUUUAAACUAGAAUAAAAUACUAAAUUCAUGGUAUUGACUUUUUCUACAUGUUUUAUGACUAUUUUCUGAAAAUUCAUUAAAACUCAAGAAUUUUUUAACGAAACUUCAAAGUAAGUUUAGAAACCUUCUAAUAAUGUUAAAACUAAUUGAAAAACACUUUAAAAUAUCGUUUUUAUGCAAAAUCUCAAAUUUCACCAUUAACGACCCAAUUUUCGAUUUUUAUUCAAAACAUGUGAUUUAAUGGCUAAAAACUUAGUUUUAAAGACUAAAUAACAUUUAAACAAAAAAAUCGAGCGUUUGAUGAAAAUCCCAAAAAAACCCACAAACUUGACAAUAGAGAAAUCUGUGGUGUUUUUGAGUGUUUUUCUUAGAUUUUAUGGAGAUAUUUGGCUUGGGUGAUGAUAGAAAUCAAGAGAAUUAAGGUUGAAGAUCAAAUAGUGGAAGAGAGGAGCUUUGAGAGCAAGGGGCGGCUAAAGCAUGAAAAUGGAGAAGACUAAGGUAAAAAUUAUAGGUGGGGAUGAUUUUAGGUUGAUUUUUAAAAUUUGUUUUAAUUGCCUCUUAAAAACUCACAAUUUUAACUCUUUUACAAAUCAAUCCUACUUUCAAAAUUAAAGAUAUUUAAAACUCAUUUUCAGAAAUUGAUUUAAUUUUAACCAUAGUAAAAAAAAUAUAUCGAUAAACCAAUUCAUAAAAUUCCGAACACUCUAAGGCUAAAAUUCCUAAAUUACCUCUAAACCCCUAGGUCCUAUUUUGGGAUGUUACAAUAAAUUGGUGUAAAUACACAUUUGGUCCCUGUCAAUUUUGAACAUGAGCAAAUUGAUCUUUCUCUCAACAAAAAUUACAAAAAAAAUUCAAAAUAUUUAUAAGAAUUUUAGAAUUUAAAACUUUUUUAAAUAUAUAUUAAAAAAUCUAAAGAAAUAUAAAAAAAUUAGAAAAAUCUAAUUAUCAUUUUUGGGACCUAAAUAAGUUAAUUAAUUAUUCAAGUUUAUCAUACUAUUUUUACUCUUUUUUUAAUGAAUUUUAAAAAAUAUAUGAUUUCAAAGAUAUGUGUUUUAGUAUAGAGUUAGUUAAAUUGUAAAAAUAUUUUAAUUUUUUCACUCGAUCCGAUCGAACGCUCACCUCUAGUGGUCGAUGUUCAUCGACAUAUAUCCUUUGUCUCCAACCGGAAAGGAUCUCUUCCAAAAUGAGAAUCUUAAAUUAGAGUGUGUCAUAUUUACCACAAGCCGUUUAUGAUAGAAUCAGACCCGUUUAAGCUUGAAAUCACUCACCUAAUGCAUGUUAUUUGGAAGGUUAUCGAUGAAGAUCGUUGCAACAACUAGAAGUUCGCCACUCCAUUUUUCUAUUGUCCGCCCUCCCUUGAUUAUAACAAUCCAGAACCUCCCUUACUCUAACUUAUAAAAUUAAAAAAACUCUAUAGGACAAAAUAAGACAAUAAAAGCUUUUAUUUAUUUAUUAAUACACUAGAAUUUCACACAUAGCAAAAGCACACUAUAUAAGGAGAUGCAUAGGAAAACAGCGGUAGGUAGAUAUAAGUCAACAGGCUGUCAAAUUUAUUCUAGUAAUAGUGUAAACAUAAGCACAUUAUUAUAGACGACACUGACAGCCUGAGCACCAGCAUUUUGAUCAGAAAUUUAAGCAAAGCCACCCAAGAAAAGUGUGUUUGUAUUCUCAUCACUGCAAUAAAGGCAAGGGUUCUGCUCAAAUCCAUUGUUCUUCAAAAUCUUGGCAGCCUCAACCAUAAGUUGUCUGUUGCUUAUUCCACCACCCAUGCACUGAUCGAGUACGCUAACCACUGCAUCGGUGAACGCCCCAAAGGCUCUAUUCCCCAAAACCAGGUCAUAUGAUGUCUCAUUGGCUUCACACCCACUUAAUAAUAUCCCUUCAUCCUCCUCCGGUGGAUCCAACACCAUUAACCCAUUUACGUAGUGAGGAUGGAAUUUGAGACUCACAUCUUUCCCGAAGAUUCCGAAAAUCUUUUGGCCAACAUUUGCUGCAUCGUGUAGGAUGCCUGCUGCUGUAUCUAUCGCACUGUGUAUGAUAUCAAAAGUAAGACUCUUAGCCUUAGCCUUAGACGGUUUAGGCUUGUUGGGAUUUACUGGAGUCAUCAUUUGCUGAGCACCAAAUUAUUCUUUCUCUUUUUCAAUGAGACCACCACUGUGGCACGAAUCUGAUAGGAUUGUGAAGCUUGCUCCUUCUGGUAGCCGGUUAACUAAAUGCCUGAAGUCCACAUCUGUAGAAACCAUGUAUAUAUAGGGUAUGAAUAUAUGUUGCUAAAAAAAUAUAUAAAUUCAAAUAAAAACCUACCGGUGACAAGAUUUAAAUCACAAGCCACGAUUGCUUUAUCUUGCUUGAAAGGCUGGCCAGGUUGAAAGAUUGGAAUGCGUGUUCCAUGUCCACUGAAGUAGAAAAAUAGGAUAUCUCCUGCUUUAGCCUUGUUCACCAUUCUAUUAAGUGCAUCCUUAAUGUUUGCACCCAUAGCCAGAACCGGCGACCCUGGUGCAUCGGUGAGAACAUUAACAUCGCUUUCCUUAAACCCAAAGUUCAGGAUCACACCUCUUAUGGCUUUCACAUCAUUGAUGCAUCCAUGCAAGUUGAAUUGGGUCUUGGGGUAGUUGCAUCCCACCAGAACUGCUCUCUUCGUACCCUUACUCAUCUUGCUUCGCUAAUUUGACUAUUUUGUGUUGCUUGUACCAUUGUAUUAAUGUGCUUCCACUAUCUCACUUAGAACCUAUAUAUAUACACACUAAUUUACAGCAUGUGUACUGACCAUAAAGAUGACGACAUGUAGGUAGGUAGGUAGGCAGGUACAACACUUUUGUUUGUCUUUCGUGUUUUGGAAAAUGCAUGCGAAAUCCCCUUUGGAGGGGUUUUUCCACGUUAAAUUUGUGUGUUCAUCUUCUCAAUUUCUUCUACUAGUUUUUACUUGUUCGUUGCUUAAUCGGGACAAUCCUAACAAAUGGUAUCAGAGCUAGUUCAAUUUUUAUAGAUCAGCCCGUUCAGAGAUGGCAACAACAAAGUUUGAAAUUGAGAAGUACGAUGGUGAGACAAAUUUCAAUCUAUGGCAAGUUCGGAUGAUGGCAAUUCUAGUUCAAAACGGCUUGAAAAGGUUGUUAUAGGGAAAAAGCCUGAGAAUCUAAAUCAAACAAAAUGGGAAGAGCUUGAUGAAAAGGCAUUGUCUGCAAUCCAUUUGUGCCUCGCGAAUACUGUAUUGUAGGAGGUAUUGAUGGAGAAGACCUCAUCUGUCUUAUGGAAAAGGUUAGAAACUCUUUAUGCGACUAAGUUUUUGGCUAACCGUUUAGUGUUGAAACAACGUCUAUUUACGUUUCGCAUGAAUGAAAGUAAGCUUCUUAGAGAUCACAUCAAUUAAUUCAUUACUCUUUUAAAUGAUUUAAGGAACGUUGAUAUUCAUAUUGACGAUGAAGAUCAAGCUAUGCUAUUAUUGUGCUCUUUACUACCUUCAUACAAGUCUUUCAGGGAGACCCUGAUUUAUGGUAGAGACAAACUCUCGUUCAAAGAUGUGAAGGGUCAUUUGUUGAGUAGAGACAAACUCGACAAUGAGUUUGGUUUGAAUAGCAAAGCAAAUAGGAAAGCUUCCGUUUUGGUAGUAUCAAAGAAACGAGACAAAAGGUGUCGCUAUUGUAAAAAGUUAGGUCAUGUCAAAGCAGAUUGUUAUAAACUGCGAAAUAAAAUAGUUGCUGAGAGUAACGAGGAAUAUGUAGCUGGUGCUAAUUUGGUCGAUGAAGGCGGUGAUGAUUUCUUGUUAGUGUCAACGAGAGAUAACUCUAAGCUUACGUCUGAGUGAAUCCUAGAUUCAGGAUGUUCUUUCCACAUGUGUCCCAAUAGAGAAUGGUUCUCCACAUACAGUUCAGUUGAAGGUGCAGUUGUGCACAUGGGAAACUAUUCAUCUAGUAAGAUAAUUGGUAUUGGUACUGUUAAAAUUAGGAUAGACGAUGGGACGAUUAGGACACUCUCAGAUGUCAGUUAUGUACGUAAUUUACGAAAAAAUCUCAUCUCCUCGAGUAUUUUAGACUUGAAAGGAUGUAGAAUCAACAUCGAGUCGAGUGACAUUAAAGUAUCUCGUGGAGCUCUCGUUUUGUUAAAAGGUAAAAGAACUGACAGUCUUUAUAUUUUGGAAGGUUCUACAGUGAUCGGUGAAAUCGGACAUCCCUCGUCCGUUACGGAGUCAAAGUUAACUCGUUUGGAGCGAAGGCAACCUGGUCAUAGGAGGGAAAAAGGUAUGACCGUUUCGUUGAAUAGAGGUUCUCUUUUGGAUGUAGGUUUUGAAAAGUUAGGGCACUAUGUUUGUGAAAAUCAGACUUGGGUUAGUUUUGAUUUGGCAGUGCACAAGUCGGAGGCUAGAAGUCUUCCAGCUUCUAAGUAUAGAUUUGACUCAGUUAAUUUCCUGCAUAGUUCAAGAUAGACCCGUGGCGGGUUUUGGCAAAGAUGGCGUUGAAAGAAUUCGUGUCAAGGUGGAGAUUGUUAAAGUUGUGUGACCCAAAUUCUAAGAGAUUGCUUGCAAGUCAAGUUAAACAAAAAUAAUUUUUUCUUUCUAGAAGAUUUAGUAUUUAUUUGUAUAAUAUAUUUAGCAUUUAUUAGCAUAGUUUAUUUUACUUACUAAUUUAGCCUAUAAAUAGGCUCUUUUACAAUCUUAGAAAAACACACCCAUUAGAUUAGAACUCAUAACAUAUUUAGAGAAUUUUGUGUUUAAGUUUUGAGAGUUCUUUAUUUUUCGAGUUUUCGGGGUUUAGUUUUUAUCUCCAUCUUUUAUACUCUUCGUUCUUUUGCCAUUAUAGUAAAAUUAUAUUUGCCCGUGGUUUUUUAUCCCCUUUGGAGGGGUUUUUCAACGUUAAAUUUGUGUGUUCAUCUUCUCAAUUUCUUCUACUAGUUUUUACUUGUUCGUUGCUUAAUCGGGACGAUCCUAACAGUUUAUUACGUACCAGCUUUGAAAAGCAACAUCAUCAGCCUUGGACAGCUUCUAGAAAAAUGAUAUAAAGUACAUAUGAAGGAUUGUAUGCUCGCCCUAAAAAAUAAGAGUGGUGAAUUAAUUAUCCAAGUUGAUAUUACGCCUAACCGUUUGCUUACUAUUGACAUUGAAUCUGGAGAGGUGAAAUGUAUGAAGAACGUAAUUAAAAAUGAUUCAUGGUUAUGGCAUUUAAGGUUCGGGCAUCUUGGAUUUUCUGGUCUGAAGCUAUUGUUAAAAGAAAAUAUGGUGAAUGGGCUGCCAUAAAUUAAUCUUUCUGAUCAACUGUGUGAAGCCUGCAUUAAAGGAAAACAACAUAGACAGAGUUUUGAAGUUGGAAAAACUCGACGAGCCAAGAGACCAUUGGAGAUCGUGCACUCUGACAUAGCAGGUCCUUUUAAUAUACCAUCACUUGGUGGAAACAAGUACUAUGUUACUUUUAUUAAUGAUUUUAGCAGAAAAAGUUGGAUAUAUCUUCUUAAAACAAAAUCAAAAGCAUUUGACAAGUUUAUCAAGUUCAAAGCCCUGGUAGAAAAACAGAGUGGACAUUUCAUUAAGAUACUUAGAAUUGAUAGAGACGGUUAGUAUACUUCAAAGCUAAUUGAAAGCUUCUGCAAGGAGCACGAAAUUAUUCACCAGUUGACAACUGCAUACACGCCACAACAAAAUGGAGUCAUUGAAAGAAAGAACCGCACUAUUCUUGAUAUGGCAAAAAGCAUGGUUAAAUGUAAGCAUUUACUAAGAGCUUUCUAGGCUGAAGCUGUUCAAUGUGCUGUUUAUUUGUUGAACCAGCAUCCAACAAAAAGUGUGAAAUACAAGAUGCCAAACGAAGCUUGGAACAAUUAGAAGCUAGGAGUCGAACAUUUCAAGAUUUUUGGAUGCAUCGUAUAUGCUUAUGUUACUGACCAGAUGAGAAAGAAGCUUGACGAUAAAUGAGUAAAAUGUAUUUUCAUUGGUUAUGAAAAGAGAAGCAAGACAUACAGGUUAUACAACACUCUCACCAAGAAAGUUAUUAUUUCAAGAGAUGUUGAAUUCGAUGAAGCUGAUUACUGGAGAUGGAACGAAAAAGAGAGGAAAAUUGAUGGAUUAUUUUUCAGUGAUCACAAAGACGACGACUUUAUUAAUCAAGAACAAGGCGACGAUGAAAGCCCUCCUGUAACACCCCUUACCCGAGACCAUCGUCGGAAUCGAGUACGAGAUGUUAUCCAAUUUAACCUACCAAUUUAGAGCAUAAAAAUUUGCUUUUAAAAUUAAAUUCACUGUUCACAACAAAACUGUCCACCUGCGCGACUGUCACUAAUUUACUUAUAACUCAAGUUACAAAACUCAAAAUUUAAAUCUGUAAAUUUUCCCUGAAACUAGACUCAUAUUCCUAAUUACCAUAUAAUUUUCAGAAUUUUUGACUUAGCCAAUUAGUACAUUUUAUUCAUUAAAGUAUCCCCUAUUUCACAGCUCGACAGAUCUGACCUCUUGCCACUAAAAAUCAAUUAUCUCAUUGUACAGAAUUCAUAUAAGGUUACCGUUUAUUUAUUUUGAAAAUAUACUCACUAAGGAAUCUAGAAAUAUAAAUUAUGACCCAUAAUUAUUCCUGUACAAUUUAUAAUGAUUUUCCAAAGUCAGAACAGGGGACUUCAAAAACCAUUCUGACCCUGUCUCACUAAAAUUCAAAUAUCUCAAAAUACAGAAUUCCUUUGCCUACACUGUUUCUUUCAUAUAAAAAUAGACUUGAUAAGCUUUAAUUCCAUAUAUAAUUAACUCUCUAAUUCCAUUUAUACUAUUUAUGGUGAUUUUUCACAUUCACGUCACUGCUGCUGUCAAAGAAACUGCUUCUUUGAAUUAGUUAACAUUUAACAUACAUAACACCCAAAACAUAAUUUUUACUAACCAUUUCAAUAGCUAAUCUUAGCCAUAUCAUAUGAACAUACUCAAAAUGAUUAACACUCUAUACAUGCCAUAGUUUUAAACAUUCUGAAAAGCACAUAAUACCGAGAUGAUUAUAAUAGUGUGAUACGAGCUCCGACGAUCCCCAAUUCGACCAAGUUCAAAUCACUAUAAAACAAAGGAAAAGAAGAAAGGUGUAAACUACUAAUAGCUUAGUAAGUUACAUGUAAAUAAUAAUUACUCAUUUAAUAAUUAACACUUUUAACAUAUAACUAAUCAAAACAUUUCUUAGCAAUUUCUAUCACUUAUACAUACACAAUCUUACCAAUUCACUUGCAUAUACAUUUUCACACUUAAUCUUUAUCACUAUGCUCAUUCUUUUCAAAUGUACCUGCAUACACACUUCAUUUCAUAUUCACUUUAACUCAUUAUUAAUCCCGUUGAACACUCGGAAUAUACACAGAUACGUAGAGAUUUAGCACAUAAGUGCAACACUGAUAUGUAGCCGAAGCUACCACUAUUAUAUAGCCAAAGCUACCACUGAAAUGUAGCCGAAGCUACCACUGUUAUGUAGCCGAAGCUACCACUGAAACGUAGCCGAAGCUACCACUGAUCAAUAACACUGGAAAUGUCCACAGGCCUGCUCACACAAGCUGUCAGGUGUCUGCAACACAUGCUAGAUCACCCAGCACCCGGGACUCACUGUAACACUGUAACACUGAUCUCUAGUGACAUGUCACUUGUAUCCACUUCUAUUCCUAAGUUCAACCGGGAAUUUACACUUAACACUUUAUUUUUAACACUUUAUUUUCAACACUUUAACACUUGAAUAAUUCAUGAAUAAUUUUCCUUCCACAUUGAAUAUUAAUUCACAUAUCAAAUAUAAUUCACAAUUUAUAAAAAUAUAACUAUUAUUUACACAUAACUUACCUCGGAUGCAAAACGACUAUUUUUGUAAUUUAGUCGAUAACUUUCUCUUUUCCCCGAUCACUUCCACUAUUUCUUCUUUCUUGAUCUAUAUUAACACAAUUUAAUACAUUUUAUCAACAUUUCAUUCAAAUAAAAUUCAUACACAACAUUUUGACAAAUUUACAUUUUUCCCCAAAACUUUUCAAAAAUUCCACUUUUGUCCCUAAGCUCGUAAAAAUAAAAUUCACUAAAUUUUUAAAUUUCAAACUUCACUAAAUCAUAUUUCAUGCUUAUAACAGCCCUCAAUUUCACCAAAUCACAACUUUAUGCACACUUUACCAUCUUUCACAAUUUAGCCCUUUUUCAAUAUUUUCAUCAAAAUUCAUCUAGUAAAACUUGUAAUUAACACUUCAAACAUUCAUUAUCUAACAUCACUAAUCAAUUUACAAUUAUAUCAUGAAUGGGUCAAUUUUUAAACUUUAAUUUCAUUUAAAUUAAAUAGUAGAAACAUGAAAUUCAAGCAUCAAUAAGCAUAAAAAUAUGAAAAUAGUUAAAAAUGGGGCAAGAAAUCACUUACAAUUGAGCUUAGAAAAAUCAAGAACCUUAGCUAUGGUAACAUGAAACUUUCGGCAGCAAGCUUCUGAUUUUGAAGAAGAUGGACACUUAUUUUCUCUUUAUUUUGUCUUUUUCUCAAUUUGGACAAAAAUGCCCUUGACCCAUUACUUAGAUAUUUUUCUAGAAUUACCCUUUUGUGUCCAUAACACUAAUUUAUGGUCUAAUUGUCACAUAAACACUUCCAAUUUCAUGCAAUAAUUCAAUUAAGUCAUUUAAUCACUAAUUAGACACACUUUGCAUUUUUUUCAAUUUAGUCCUAAAAAUUCAAUUAAGCACUAAAUCAUUAAAAUUUCCAAUCCAUAUUUUCACACAAUAUUUCAAUCAAUCAGUAACUUAUAAAAAUUUAUAAAAUAAAACUAUUUCACUUCGGAUUUGUGGUUACGAAACCACUAUUCCGAUUAGGCCCUAUUUCGGGCUAUCACACCUCCUUCAAGUCCUGUUGCAACAACUCUUACAGCAUCAUCAUCACCAACCAACAACAGUACCAGCAACUCAGAGGAAGCACCUGCAAUAAUGCGUAGUUUACGCGAUAUUUAUAAUGUUACAGAACCAUAGAAAUAACACUCGAUUAUUCAUUAUUCUAUAUAAUGACAGAAUGUGAUUCAAUAACAUAUAAAGAUGCAAUUGAAGAUGUUAGAUGGAAAAAGGCAAUGGAUGAAGAAAUUACAACAAUAAUAAGAAAUGACAUAUGAGAGCUAACAAGUCUACUAGAAGGACAUACUCCAAUUGGAAUCAAAUGGGUGUACAAGACGAAGACCAACAAAGAAGGAAAAAUAGAGAAAUCCAAAGCAAGACUAGUUGCAAAAGGCUACAAGCAAAGAUACGGUGUGGACUAUGAUGAAAUAUUUACUUCGGUCGCCAGAAUUGAUACUAUAAGACUUCUCAUGGCAAUUGCAGCACAAAAUAAAUGGAAAAUUUAUUAGAUGAACGUGAAGUCAGCAUUCCUUAAUGACUACCUGGAAGAAGAAGUCUAAAUUGAACAACCACCUGGAUAUAGGAAACAAGGACAAGAAGACAAAGUUUAUCACUUGAAGAAAGCUUUAAAUAGACUGAAGCAAGCCCUGAGAGCAUAGAACACAAGAAUAGAUGAAUACUUUUAGAAGAACGGGUUCAUGAAAAUCCCAUACGAGCAUGCUCUAUAUACAAAGAAAAAUAAAGUUGGUGACAUCAUGAUCGUGUGCUUAUAUGUGGAUGAUAUGAUUUUCAUGGGAAACAAUCCAGGUAUGUUCAAUGAAUUUAAGAAAGCUAUGACUAAAGAUUUUGAAGUGACAAAUAUUGGUGAAAUGUCAUACUUUCUUUGAGUCGAAGUGAACCAAAUGAAAGAUGGAAAAUUUGUGUCUCAAAAAAAAUAUGCAGAACAGAUUUUAAGAAAAUUCAGAAUGAAAGAUUGCAAGCAAGUAGCCACGCCCGUAGAACCAGGCAUGAAAUUAAGUGUUGGUUCAUCCGGAGAGUCGGUAAAUCCAAUGUUGAAUAAAAGUAUUGUUGGAAGUUUAAGGUACUUGACUAUCACAUGGCCAUACAUCAUGUACGUAGUGGGAACAGUUAGCAAAUACAUGGAGAAGCCAAAACAAGAUCACCUGAUUGCAGCAAAGAGAAUUUUGAGAUACAUCACAGGUACGAUGGAUCAUGGUUUAUUUUAUACACACUCACAGAGUUCAAAAUUGGUUGGUUAUUUAGAUAGUGAUUAUGGUAGUGGCUUUGAUGAUCGCAAAAACACAUCCAGAUAUUUAUUCCAUAUUGGCUUCGCGGCAUUUUCUUGGUCAUCGAAAAGUAACAAACAGUAGCUAUCUCAACAUGUGAGGCAAAAUUCAUGGAUGUUGCAACAUGCACGUCUCAAGCAAUUUGGUUGAAGAAUAUUUUAGGUGAAUUAACUAUUAUACAAGAAGGUCCAAUUAUAAUUUAUGUUGACAAGUCCACAAUAUCUCUUGUAAAGAAUUCAGUGUCUCAUAGUCGAAGCAAGCAUAUGGAUACAAUGUAUCAUUUUAUUCGAGAGCAAGUGAAAAAUAAAAAUGUAGAGUUAGUUUACUCCAAAUUAGAAGAUUAAUUGGCGAAUAUUUUUACGAAACCAUUGAAAACGGACAUAUUCUAUAAACUCAAAGAAAAGCUUGGAAUGAAAAGUUCAAGGGGAAGUGUUAAAAAACAAACCAACUUUCAAAGUCGGCAUAAAAAUUGCAGCCAAAGAAUUUCUAUCCAAAUUGGCUUGAAAUUGAAUUGCAAAAGUAGCUGCAACUUUGUAAAUUGGCCUGCACAAAUGAUAAAGGAUAAUGAUGACAGCAGCUUGAAUAGUCUUAGACGGCAAGGCUUGAUAAAGUUUAAGUCGGUUUACUAUGCUUAUAAAUAUGUAAGUAGAGUCUUAUGAAAUUAAAAUUAAAUGAGUGUGUGUGAAAACGUUAGUGAGCUUGAGAGGAAAAAAAGAAAGAAAGGUGUUGUGAGUUGUAUAAAAAGGAAAAACUAGCAGCAGCUAGUAGAGAGAGAAAAAAGAGUUUAUAUUUGUAUUGUGUUUAUUUGUGUGUAAUAAAAAAUUAGUACUUGAGUUAUUUUUAUUACCCUUCCAACAUAUUAUAUGUUCCAGUGUUGAUGGCAUUGGCAACUGAUGUUGUGUCCAAGAAGCUUGACGUCGUGCUCAUGACGUUGGCUGCUGUUUGCAGGCUCUAAUAUAAUGUUUCAAUGGAAAUGCCCCUAGUCCUGUAAUCAACAGAUGGUGCUAUACCACUUAGAGUACUAUGGGGUCCAAUUUGAGUAAACUCGAUUAAGUAAUUCUAGUUUCAGAUUGAAGUCGGGUUAAAUUUUACAAUUCGAAUAACUCAAAUAAUAGAUUGGUGUAAAUACACGUUUGGCCCCGGUCAAUUUUAAAAAUGAGCAGAUUGAUCUUUCUCUCAACAAAAAUUACAAAAAAAUUCUAAAUAUUUAUAAAAAUAAAAAAAAUCUAAAGAAUAUAUAAAAAAUUAAAAAAGAUUCUUAAAUAAUCAUUUUUGAGACCUAAAUAAGUAAAUUAAUUAUUCAAAAUUUUCAUACUAAAAUAUCUUUAUUUUCUCUUAUUUUUCUUUGAAUAAAUUUUCAAGAAUAUAUAAUUUUAAAUUUAUGUAAUCUAACAUAGAAUUGAUUAUAUUGUAAAAAAAAAUUUAAUGUUUUAGUCGAUUGGAACGGAUGCACAUCUCUACUGAUCAAAAUUGAUCCGCAUAUAUUUUUUUUCUCUAACUGAAAAGGAUCUCUUCCAAAUUAAUGAUCUUGGAUUGAAACAUGUCAAAUUUACCACAAAUCGUUUAUGAUAGAAUCGGACCCGUGUGACCUUGAAAUCACUCUCCUAAUACAUGUUAUUGAUGAAGAUUGUCGGACACCUUGAAUUUCUCCGCACCAUUUAAUGUUCGGCCCACUUGGCUAUAACAAUCCGAAACCUCCCUUAACCUAACUUAUAAGAUUAAAAAAACUCUAAAUAAGAGAAUAAAAACUUUUAUUUAUUUAUUUAUUUAUACACUAGAAUUUCACACUAUAUAAGAAGAUGCAUAAGAAAACAGCGGUAGGUAGAUAUAAGUCAACAGGCUGUCAAAUUUAUUCUAGUAGUAGUGCAAAACAUAAGCACAUUACUGACAGCCUGAGCACCAGCAUUUUGAUCAGAAAUUUAAGCAAAGCCACCCAAGAAAAGUGUGUUUGUAUUCUCAUCACUGCAAUAAAGGCAAGGGUUCUGCUCGAAUCCAUUGUUCUUCAAAAUCUUGGCAGCCUCAGCCACAAAGGCUUUAUUCUCCAAGACCAGGUCAUAUGAUGUCUCAUUGGCGGGUUUUUUACUAAAAUAUUAUAACAAAAAUAAAAAAUUAUCAAAAUGUUAUAACUUUUUUUUUAUUUACCAAAAUAUAUAUUUUUUUAUUUACUAAAAUAUAUAAAAAAACAAAAAAAACCUAAAAAAAAAUCUGACCGAUGUGACGGGUGUACCUUGGUCACGCCAAUGGGAUUGGCGGCACCGAAGGGGCCAAAGCCAUUGGCGGCACCAAUGGUGCCAAUACCAUUGGCGGCACCAAUGGUGCCGUAUUGAUUGGCGGCACUACUCGUAUUAUAAAAACGACCUUUGUCCAGCUGAAGAGAGAAAAAUCAAAAGAAAAAAAAAGAAGAAGAAGAGUUACUGCGUAAAAGAAGAGAAAAAGAGGAGAAAAAGAAUGUAUUUUUUAAAAAAUAAUUGAUUAUAUUGUUGUUAUUAUUUUGUAUAUUUUGUAAUAUUUUUUGUUUUACUUUAGUUAUUAAGAUUAAUAAAACUCAAAAUAAUAGUAUUAGUUAGUAUUAUUAUUAUUAUUAUUAUUAUUGUUGUUGUUGUUGUUGUUGUUGUUGUUGUUGUUGUUGUUGUUGUUAGUAUUAAGAUGUUAUUAAUGUAUUAAGAUGUAACUUAGUAAUAUUAUAGUUAGCAAAAAACUAGUAUUAUUAUUAUGGUUACUUAUUAUUUUUAUUUACGAAAAUAAACUAGUUAGUAAAAAACUAGUAUUAUUAUUAUAGUUAGUUAGUUAGUUAUUAUUUUUAGUAAAAUUAAUAAUUUUAGUGUGUAUCAUUUUGUAUAUUAUUUUGAGUAUAAAAUUUUUUUUAAGUAAUUUAGUUACCGUUCGAGAAUUUUUAUGAGAUUUUGUUUUUUUUGACAGAUUAAAUAUUGAAGAUGGAUGCUAAGUUUCUUGUAUGCGUUUAUUUCGAUUGAGUCAUCUUGACAACAAGUGUUGGAUGUGUAUUUGAAUGUCGGCAACAAAUAGCAAUGAGAUUUAAUAGAAAUGUAUCGUUCGAUGAAAUGAAGGUAAGGAUUAGUGCAAAAAUUCAUAGACGUUGUGGGAGAAGGAUAGCAAAAAUUUUCUACAAGUUUCCGGUUUCGACAAAUCCGGUCAAAUUCGUCGAGAUGGAACUUGUAGACGACGAAGACGUGGAGACAAUGGUCGAUCUCUACUGUGGGAAUGGGAGUGAGAAGAAUGCACCGAUUCACUUAUUUGCUGAGUUAGUCGGUAUGGAGCAAAAUGAAGAUGUUAAUGCAUCUGAUGAAGAAGACGGGGCUGAAGAACCGUGGAUGGUGACUCCAAUAUCAUACGUUGAUAGUGAAUCAACUAUGGGAGGGAUCGGUAUCAACCUGAAUAUUACACCCGAUGUUGACAUGGUUGGUGGUGAAGAAGAAGGUGCUGGCGAAGAAGAAGGUGGUGGCGAUCAUUGGGAUGAAGAGGUCGAUAGUGACGGUGAUCCCGAUGUUGACGAUGUACCUGAUGAUAUUGACGAUGAAGAUGUCAACAACGAUGAAGGCAUUAACGCUUCUUCGGUUGGGGAGCAGAUGCGGCGUAUUGUGAUACACAAUAAUCCUAAGCCACAUAUGUCGCUCAUAGACCCCGACGCAACGUAUGUAGCUGAGUUUCUGGAGUACCCUGAAAUAGUUCAUUCUCACGGGCUGCCCGUAACAUCUGAUGAUGAUGAGAUAUUCAUAGGCCAGAGAUUCAGCUGUAAAGAAGAGUGCGUAUAUGCCAUUAAACGGUACAGCAUGAAGAUAUCGGUGGAUUAUAAAGUAUCCGUGUCUACUCCGACAAUAUAUGUUGAGGCGUGUUGGAAGGCAGCGGAAGGCUGCAAUUGGCGGGUACGAGCUGCAUUCAUUAGAAGUUCUCAGCUGUGGGAGAUACGAAAAUUUGUUGGUCCUCAUACAUGCACAUCAACACGUAUGAUAGAAGAUCAUGGAAAACUUGAUUCAAAAACUAUUUGUGCGUGUAUCAUGCCAAUGGUGAAGGACAUGCCGACCAUUAAAGUUUCGAUACUCAUUGCGAAAAUCCAAGCACGAUUCCAGUAUCGAGUCUCAUAUCGGAAGGCAUGGAUAGCUAAACAGAUGGCGAUGGAGCAACUGUAUGGGGAUUACGAUUCGUCGUAUAACGAGCUUCAAGGUUCGAUAGCUGCUAUGUGGAAGUACGUACCGGGGACUGUGAUUGACUUGCAGAUAAGUCCAUAUUACGGCCCGGAUGACCAGUUACAGCCGGCAAAAAGGAUUUUCCAUCAGAUGUUCUAGACCUUCGAUCCAUGUGUGCGAGCAUUUUCCCACUGCAAGCCACUUGUGCAGGUGGAUGGGACAUGGCUAUUUGGAAAAUAUACACAGAUCCUACUUCUUGCAGUUGCUCAAGACGGUAACAGAAAUGUGCUCCCGAUAGCAUUUGCUAUCGUAGAUAAAGAGAACAUAGAGUCUUGGGAAUUCUUCCUCACAAAUCUGCGAAGGUAUGUUAUUAGGAACGAUAACAUUUGCAUCAUCUCCGAUAGAGGGAAGGGUUUAAUUGCAGCUAUUAGGCAUUCUGGUUUACCGUGGAGAUCCGUUUACUGCAUUCGUCACAUUGCGUCUAACUUCCAUAAAAAUUAUAAAAAUGCAGACUGGAAGAGACAAGUCGUGGCAAUGGGUAAAUGAUAACCUUAUCUUUUCACUAUAAGUUGUAAUGUUUGAUGUUAUCGACUUACUAGAACUUAUUUUUCGUUAAUAUGUAUGCAGCGUACGAGUUAAAGCCACAUAUUUUCCGGCAAAGAAUGAUCCGACUUGAGAGUGACAUGGAGGGGCAGACAAACACAUCUUUCCGAAAAUGGUUGCGCACAAUGGAGCCGUGGCAGUGGGCUCAAAGUUUUGACGAGGGCUUUCGUUACGGCCACAUGACCACAAACUUAGUCGAGUGGAUCAAUGCUGUCUUGUUGAAAACACGUCAUCUUCCGAUUGCAUCGGUAUUUCCUGCUACUUUCUACAGGCUGGCUACUUUGAUGCCAAGAAUGGGCUAGCAUUAAGUCGGCCAAAUUCAGGCGGGACAUGUGUUUGUCGAACAUGUAAGGGAUGCAAUGGUCGUAAACCGUCGGUUGGCGAGGUCAAUGAACAUGGAAAUAUAUUCACGACGACUGGAAACGUUUCGAGUUACUGAGAACAUCGGUCGUCGACCUAGGUCCUACGGAGUUGAUCUCCGGAACAGACAGUGCGAGUGCAGGAAGUUUGAAACAAUUCAUUAUCCCUGUGCACAUAUCGUGGCGGCGUGUGCUAAAGUCAACCUUGAUGUUGAACAAUAUGUCGAUGAUGUGUACACGCUGGAGCGCACAUUGCGUGUCUGGGAGAAUGAGUUCCCCGUCCUGCCGGACCUAUCUAUGUGGGAGGUGUCGCCGAUGACUUUCGAGCUGAUCCCAGACAGAGGGCUAAGGAGGAAUCCAAGGGGUCGUCUGCAGUCAAGCAGAAUCCGUAAUGAGAUGGACAUUAGGGAAAAAUUUGAUGGAAAGCGUUGUGGAAUAUACCGGUUAAGUGGUCAUAGCCGGAAUAAAUGUCUUAACCGAAACUUUCAUUUUGGUCAGUCGUCCGGAUCGGGGUGAAAUUGAUAUGCUUUGUAUUUUGUUAUAAACAUUAAUUUUAUUCAGCUUUGUACCAUGUGCGCACUUGGAAUUAUUAAGAUUAUAUCGAAAAUAGAGGCAUUCAUAAUUCGAUUGAGCUUUAAUAUAAUGAAAAAUAAUAAUAAUGGAUAUUUAUACAAAAAAAUCAGAAGUAAGGUCAAUUAAAAUACAAAUAUGGCUUUUUAUACAAAAAGUGCAUCAAAUCCCUAAAAUCAAUGUUUCGAUGGUGUUGUCCGGGGGGUAUACCUCUGCGGAGGUCGACGCUCACGGUCUGGGAGACGACCAACAUCCUCAUCGUCCGCAGGUGGGGGCGUGGAAAACAUAGAGGAAAGGUCCUGUGCCUCGUUCGCCGCCGACGAACUUGAACCAUAAUGCUGCGAAUACGUGUCGGACGGGCCGGGCAUGCCGUACUGCAGCCGGGGGAUCCAAACAGUUCAAACUCGUAGGCGUAUUCGCCGUCUGCGAAGCUCGGAUAAUAUUUAUCGCCCACCAAAUCCGGACGAUAGCCAUGUGAAUCCACAUUUGACUGUGAAUGUCCAGGAUCUGGCUGGGGGUCCUGCUCCGGCUCUGUCAGUUGCGGAGAACAAUAUGCCGUCGGAUCUGGAUCCAUCGGGCUCGGUUCGUCCGAUGCCCCAACUUGCUGUACGUACGGGGGGAUUAUAGUUCGAUUGUACUUCAAGUAAAUAUGGCUUCCUGCAACUAUGGUACCAUUGUGUAUACUCCAAUGAUGGUUGCAGGUCCGUAGCCAUAACCAUUUGAGGAAUUCGGCGAAAUCGAUCGUUCCACAGUGCGACGUAUUUUCGGUGCUUGAUUCCCAAGCCCAAUUGAACUCUUCCUCUCUUUGUCAAGCCGUGAUCAUCCUCCAACUGGGCCGGCGGAUCCGGGAUAGGUUGGAUGCACCCAAACUGUCGAAGCACGCGAUCGACGUGAUACCACUUGACGACGUUGAAAUUAAUAAUUGGUGUGUUAAUGCACCAUAUGUGGGAAUCAACGAGUGCGGACGAGGGUACGACAUUUGCAAUUUCCCGCCUCCGGUAUGGCAUCCAUAUAAACUGCAUGAGUAAUACCAUUGUAACGAGUUAGACCGAUAACAUGUGAUUAAGAUAUAGAAAUAGAAUAGAUGUCAUGAAUAUUAGAAUAGCAGCUUACCCCUUCCCGGGCAUGCUGUUCAAUCCUCAUGCGGUAUAUUGGGACAUCAGACGACUUCCUGAUGCCAGGACGGGUCAUCCACCUAUAAAAAAUAGUAUAGGGUAUAGGGUUGGUAACAUUACUCAAUAUAUUAUGACUACAAAUAAUGACAAUUUAGCGUCUUAUCACCUGAGUGGCAGUGGAUACAGAUAGGGUUGGUGACUAACGAGUGCCAAAAACGACAUCCGAUAAAGCGCCCACGACUGCAGCAGUAUGAGGCAUCCGCCGAUGUCUUUAACCUGCGGCUUUGUCGCCUGACAAAGCUCCCGGUAGAGCGUUGCUAGAACGGCGGAACCCUAGCUAUACCGCCUAGCAGUGGAGAAAUAAGCUAGCAGGGGCAGGUACGACAAAUGCACACUGUCGCCGUUUGCAUCAGGCAUGAGUACUGCCCCUAUCAUAUGCAUGAUGUACGCUCGGGCAACGCACAUCAACUCACCUUCAGUGGCGGUCACUGAUAAUUGUCUAAUUUUGGCUUUUAGCCAUGUAAAUUUGAUGCCGGAAAAAUAUUUGUCGCCGUCCUCUGGCGACUCUCCUAGGAGUUGAUAGCAAACUGCAACCGGAUCGGUGAAUGAUGAUACUCCCGUUACGGGAUUCCAGUCAAUUGGGAGCCCCAGCUGCACUGCAACAUCCUCCAAGGUCACUGUGCACUCCCCGCACGGAAAAUGGAAAGUAUGGGUCUCCGGACGCCACCGCUCCACUAGCGCAGAUAAUAAAUCAAAGCGCAAGUCGGACGACCGGAUGAAUGCUACUGACCCAAAUCUGGCUAGCUCCAGGUAUGGCAGCAAUCGAUCAUCCGGAGCUUUCUUUAAAACACUCACGCGGCCCCUUAAUACUCAGAACGAGUCCUGAUAGUGUUAAAUUACAGAAAAAUAUUACGAUAACAUAAUUUCUUUGUAUAUACUGCAUAUAUCCUUUUAAAAUAAAUAGAACUUCUGAUUAACAAAUAAUAAAUCAUACCGCGUUAUUAGUCGCAUCAGAUAUGUGUCUAAUAUUGCUUUGAAUCAAUCCAGCCAUUGCGAUGCCUGCAAGUUAGAAAAAAAAGUUAGAAAAAAAUUCUUACUUCAGCCAUUUAUUCGUAUUUUUUUUCUCCGCAUUUUAUUCCUUUAAAAAAUAUCAUAAUUUCUAAAUUUAUAAUUUUACAUUAUUCCAGUGCAUAAUGUUUGAAAUUUAUUAAUCUAGUGUGUUAUUUAAAUUAAUUUUCUGUAAAAAAUAACCCUUACCCCUGCCCUUUGCUCGUAUUAAUUUUCUGUAAAAAAAUAACCAUCACCCUUUUUUUUGCAGUUUUUUUUAUAUAUUUUGGUAAAUAAAUAUAUAUAUAUAUUUUGGUAAAUAAAAAAAACUUAUAACAUUUUGGUUAUUUUUAAUUUUUUUAAUAUAUUUGUAAAAACCCAUUAUUCUGGUAAAUAAAAAAAUUUUAUAAUAUUUUCGUAUUUUUUUCUAAUAUUUUGGUAAAAAACCCGAAAUAAACCCUUUCCCCUGCCCUUUGGUCGUAUUAUUAUUUUCCCGAUUUUUAUUACUUUCAAGAAAAAUAUAUUAUUUUCGUAUUUUAUUAUUUUAUAUUAUUUCAGUACAUUUUGUUUCAAUUAUUUGUAUAACUUAUUUCUGAAUUUUUAAAAAAAUUUACUAAUACACUCUUACUUCGGCCAUUUGUUCGUAUUUUUUUUCAGUAUUUUAUUAUUUUUAACAAUAUCGUAAUUUUUUAUUUUAUAAUUUUAUAUUAUUUCAAUUUAUUAUGUUUGAAAUUUAUUACAUGUACACUUUUUGCAUUUUUAUUCCCAUUUUAUUAUUUUCGAUAAAUAUACAAUUCCCAUUUUUUCUUUUCGUAUUUUAUGUUUUCUUAAACAUACUUCUUUGUCAUUUUUCUUUUAAUGCUAUUUUCCUAAAAUUUAAAUUUCAAAUUCCUAAAUAAAUUUCGUAAAAAAAAUCCUUAUUCAACAUACAAUGUACAUACCAUUAUUUUUUCAUUCUAAAUAUAUUUCAUAAAAUAUAUAUGCUAAACAAAAUAAUAAAAUAACUAUAAUGUACGUAACAUAAAUAUUAAAAAAAUUAAAUUUAUAAAAAAAAUACCUUUUCUUUUCUUUUCUUUUCUUUUUCCUUCCUUCCCUCUUCUUCUUCUUCUUUUUUUCUCUUCUCCUUUCUUUUUCUUUACUUCUUUCUUUCUUUUUUCUUAUCCUUUCCUUUUCUUCUUCUUUCUUUCUUUCUUUUUUUCUCUUCUCCUUUCCUUUUCUUUCCUUCUUUUUCUUUCUUUCAUCUCCUUUCUUUCUUUUUUUCUUUCUUUCUUUCUUUCCCUCUCCUUCUGGUCCCCCCACCACCGACCCCCCCCAUAAACAUUGGUGCCGCCAAUGGUAUUGGCACCAUUGGUGCCGCCAAUGGCUAUGGCACCUUUGGUGCCGCCAAUCCCAUUGGCGUGACCAAGGUACACCCGUCACAUCGGUUAGAUUUUUUUUUUCAUUGUUUUUUUUUUUGGUUUUUUAUAUAUUUUGGUAAAUAAAAAAUAUAUAAUUUGGUAAAUAAAAAAAAGUUAUAACAUUUUGGUAAUUUUUUAUUUUUGUUAUAAUAUUUUAGUAAAUAUCCCCUCAUUGGCUUCACACCCACUUAAUAAAAUCCCUUCAUCCUCCUCCGGUGGAUCCAACACCAUUAACCCAUCUACGUAGUGAGGUUGGAAUUUGAGACUCACAUCUUUCCCGAAGAUUCCGAAAAUCUUUUGGCCAACAUUUGCUGCGUCGUGUAGGAUGCCUGCUAAUGUAUCUAUCGCACUGUGUAUGAUAUCAAAAGUAAGACUCUUAGCCUUAGCCUUAGCCUUAGAUGGUUUAGGCUUGUUGGGUUUUACUGGAGUCAUCAUAUGCUCAGGACCAAAUUGUUCUUUCUCUUUUUCAAUGAGACCACCACUGUGGCACGAAUCUGAUAGGAUUGUGAAGCUUGCUCCUUCUGGUAGCCGGUUAACUAAACGGCUGAAGUCCACAUCUGCAGAAACCAUGUAUAUAUAGGGUAUGAAUAUAUGUUGCUAAAAAAAAUAUAUAAACUCAAACAAAAACCUACCGGUGACAAGAUUUAAAUCACAAGCCACGAUUGCUUCAUCUUGCUUGAAAGGCUGGCCAGGUUGAAAGAUUGGAAUGCGCGUUCCAUGUCUACUGAAGUAGAAAAAUAGGAUAUCUCCUGCUUUAGCCUUGUUCACCAUUCUAUUAAGUGCAUCCUUAAUGUUUGCACCCGUAGGCAGAACCGGCGACCCUGGCGCAUCGGUGAGGACAUUAACAUCGCUUUCCUUAAACCCAAUGUCCAGGAUCACACCUCUUAUGGCUUUCACAUCAUUGACGCAUCCAUGCACGCUGAAUUGGGUCUUGGGGUAGUUGCAUCCCACCAGAACUGCUCUCUUCGUACCCUUACUCAUCUUGCUUCGCUAAUUUGACUAUUUUGUGUAGCUUGUACCGUUGUAUUAAUGUGCUUCCACUGUCUCACUAAGAACCUAUAUAUAUACACAUUAAUUUACAGCAUGUGUACUGACCAUAAAGAUGACGGCAUGUAGGUAGGUAGGUAGGUAGGUAGGUAGGCAGGUACAACACUUUUGUUUGUCUUUUGUGUUUUUGAAAAUGCAUGCGAAAUCCAUGCAUAUGCAAACAUUUUGUGCAAGGAAUUUGCAUAUCAGUACUGCAUAAAAGAGUGACUCUGGAGUUAUGGAAUUAUUUGAUAAUAUCAAAUACGAAAUAAAUUAAAAAUAAAAGAGUGGGUGAUUAAUCCGAAUUGGGAGGAGGACAGGUGUUGUGAUGGACAAAGCGUAAGACAAGUUGGUUUCCGACUGAAGCAGGAAAGCUCUAGCAAAAGGCAGCUAGGUAUUCCUUUUUCAGACAAAAGACGAUAAAGGAUAGAAAAAUAUAGGGUGGUGGUCGAAGAUAAAUGAUUAGAUCUGCUUCGCCUUCGUCCAUCACCUCAUCUUUAGGUUUUUUUCUUGGUCGUGACUCACGUUGGCCGUCGUCUGCAAGUGCUGUCGGUCCUACUAUCGUCGUUGUGUUGUCUAGCUUCUGAUUUCUAUGUAUUAGGGUCUAUUUGAAUGUGAGGUUGGUGUAGGGGUGAGGUUACAAAAUGGAUUUUAAGGGUUAAAAGUUAAAUUAUGUAUCUAUAUAGAUUAAAGAAUUGUUAAAUCAAAAUUUUAUAUUUUUUUUGGGAAUAAAUUGUAAUUAUAUAAAGUUUAACUUAUAAUUUUAUUGAUUUGAGCGAGAUUUAAAUAAUAGCUUUCUAUUUCUAUAAAGAGUAAUUUUUAUUGUAAGGGGCACGAUUAGACUUGAUUAUGAGUUUGGUCACCCUCCAAGUCCGAUAGCCCUCCUGAAAAGUGAGAGUUUAGGCAAAAUAUAAGCUUGAAAAAUAGGCUUGGACAAAAAAUAAUGCCCAUUUUCUAAUACUAGUGACAAACUACAUAAUUCGUUUAUGUCGCAGUUUAUGUUUAUGUGGUGUGAAUGUGUGAUAUAGCUAAAAUGAAUCUCGCUAGGAUGAGUUUGUUAGUUAGAAUUUGGACUCCCUCGUUCUUAAUACUGCCGAUAAGUUAAAUCUAGGGCGUUGAGUUACAGGGUUAUUUAUCGAUUAGGAAAUAAUUUCAAACGAGUUUUCUCUUGGCUAUCGAACAAUGAGAGAUGGGUUGCCUUACACUGAGUCAACAACUAGAACUAAUUUAUUAAAGGUAUUGAAGUUAUUUUUGCAUUGAUGAUCGAAUCUUUGAAUCAAACAAAGAUUUUACUUCUAGCUAGAGUUUCUUCUCAUUAAUUUUCUUUUAUAAUUUAUUUUUACUUUGUUUUAAUUUUAAUUUUUAAUUUUAAAAUCUUUUUAUAUUUUUCAUGUAAGUUUUUGUUUUUAUAAAUCUCUACAUCCUUGCAUUACUUCAAUACAACACCAAAAGAACCAAAUGGCAAACACUAUAACUAAAAAUCUUGCAAAAGAGGCCGUUUUAUUUUAUCAUAAAAUUAUACAUGAAAUAGCCAUACAUGGCGAUUACAUAAGCUUGAAGGCCUUAAAACACAGACAUACGAUAGUAAUUAAUAAGCAAACACACACACAGACGCAGUAAUGAAGGCUAACUUCAACUUCGUAGUAGUGCACACCGAUGGAGCACAUUAUUAUUUAGUUUACAGUUUCGACCUCUAGUGAUCGAAAACCCUGGUUCAAAGCCGGCAGCUUAUGCACCCGUAGUGGUGUUGGGUUGGUGGCCAAGAAAAGCUGCAUCAGCAUUCUCAUCACUGCAAUAAAGGCAAGGGUGCUGCUGCCCAAUUCCUAGCUUUAUUAUUUCAUUCCUAGCCUUCACCACAAGCUGUCUAUUGGUUAAUGCACCUAAUUCGCUCUCCUUGAUGACCUUCAGAACUGAAUAGGUAAAGGCCCCAAACGCCUUUCCUCCGGUUUUCUCACUCGCUGGCAUAUCAAUUGAAAGCUCAUUGGCUUGGCACCCACUUAACAGAAUUCCCUCAUCCUCCGUCAGUGACCUCAAAUUCAAAAUAUCACGCUCAUAAUGGGGUAGGAAUUUGAGACUCACAUUGUUCCCAAAGAUUGUGGUCAAAAGAGAGCCAAUACCCGUCAUAUUAUCUGUUCCAGUGUUGAUGGCAUUCCCAAGUGCUCUUGUGGGAAAUAAGUCUUGUGUCGCGAUAAUGACGUUGGCCGCUGUUUGUAGGCACUGGAAUAAGGUUGCUAAGGAAAUGCCCCUAGUCUUGUAAUCAACAGGUGGUGCUAUACCCCUUAGAGUACUAUGGGGUCCAAUUUGUUCUUUACUUUUAUCAAUCAGACCACCACUGUGGCAGGAAUCCGAAACGAUUGUGAAGCUUGAUCCACUUGGUAGUAGCUGAAUCAAUUGCCCCAAGUCCACGUCUGCACACCCAUCGCAACCACAAUAUGAUAUAAAUAACAGUUUGCUUAGAUUGAGAGUAUUUUAAUAAUUUAAUUUACCGAGUUGAUUACGUACCAAAAAUGGGAUUGAGAUCACAAGGCACAAUUGCUUCACCCUCGUUGGGAGGCUGGUGGGGGUCAAUGCGGUGCACAAGUCCAUGUCCACUAAAGUGGAAAAGCAGGACAUCUCCUUCUUUAGCCGCGACCACCAUCUUCUUGAGUGCAGCCAUAAUGUUUGCACGUGUAGGCUUACACGUGGACUCUGGUUCAUCAGUUAGGAGCUCAACAUUUUCGGAAUCAAAGCCAAACCUGCUCACGAUCAUUUCUCUCAUGGCUUUCGCAUCGUUUACGCAUCCGCUCAACUUGUUGAUGGUGUUGGGGUAGUUGCAUCCGACCAGAACGGCUCUCUUCUUACAUUCGGUGGCCAUCUUGCUUCUGUUUUGGGUCGCUUGUCUUGUCUUGUGCUUCGGACGUUGCACUAAACACCUAUAUAUAUGCACACAUACACACUGUAGUUUACACUAUGCUCACUGACCAUACUCUAAUAAAUAAUACAUCAUGUUGGUAGGUACAACUGUUUUAUUUUAUUUUUUGUUUAGAAAAAAAAAGGGCUUUUUUUAUAAAAACAACCCAAAAAUAAUUAAUUACUUAAAUGACUUAUUUUUUUGAUAAAAUACGAAAAUAACCUGAAAUCUAUGGAAAAAGUUGGUGGAGCUAAAGUGUGCCACCAACAUGCCACGUCAGCAAUUUAUAUUAAAAAAUUAAUUUUUUAGUAGAGCCGCCACUUGUAUAAAUACUACGGAAAUAUUAUGAUUUUUUUCUUUUUAAGUUUUUUUUAUUUGUCCCUUAUAUAUUUUAUUUAUUUGUUUAUUAUUGAUUUUAUAAAAUCUCAAAUGUAUAUUUUAAAUGUUUUAUAAUAUUAUUUUUUAAAUAUUUUAAAUAUUUUUCUAAAUUUAAAUAUUAUUUUUUAAUUUUUAAAUAUUAUUUUUUAAUAUUAUAAAAUAUUUAAAAUAUAUUAUUUUUAGAAUUAUGAGCUUUCAAAUUUAUUAUUUGUUUUAUAAUAUUUUAAAUAUAUAUUUAAAAAUUUUUAAAUAUAUAUUUUUUAAAUUAUUUUUAAAGAUAUUCAAACAUUUUUUUUAAUUCUAUUUAAAAUUUAAAAAAUAAUAUGUGUUUUUAGAAUGGCUUCACCACUUUAUUACAAGUGUCAUUUUUUAAAAAUAUGUUUUUUAAAUAUAAAUAUUUAAUAUUUAAUAUUUUAUUUUGGUGGAGCCAUUCUUUAUGGCUCCACCUCUUGGUUCUCUAGCAUAUAUAGAAUGGUGAAAUUGUUGUGUUUAGUAGGAGAGUUCAAAAAUUCUGUUAAAGAUGAAUAAUGAGGUGUUUUGGUUUACGUUCUCUUUUAUGGCGAAAUUGUAGAAGGUGAUGUUGGUUGUAUAUUUCAAUGUCGGCAAAGAGUAGGGUUGCGAUUCAAAAAACUGUAAAGCUGGCAGAAAUGAAAAGGAAGAUUAGUGCAAAAAUAGCUAUUUGUUGUGGAAGGGCAAUGUCCAGAUUAUUUUACAAGUUUCCAAUCUCUACAGAUCUGUUCAAAUUUUGUGAGAUGCAACUGUUAGAUGAUGAUGACUUGGGCACUAUGAUGGAAAUAUGGUGGUCGACUGGAAGUGAGAAUCCCCAACCAGUUGAGUUAUUUACUGAGUUAGCAAACUCAGAGCCUGUUGAAAAUGUUAGUCCAAUAAGUCAACAUCGCGAAUUUGACUUUGGUCGUAAUGCCAGAUGGACAGACUAGUUAGAAUGCGGUGGGACAUUGCAGAUACCCGAAAAUCCAAAUUAUGGUGGGAGUUCGUAUAACAACCCUACCCCCGGUCCCCGUCUACAAAUACAUUCGGAGGUGAUAAUAAGCACAGAGGCAGAUAUCAAAGAAAUGACCAAUAAUGAUGAAGAUUCUGAUCAGGACGUUUACGAUUUUAGCGACCUCGAUGUUGAUAAGGUUCCGGACGAUAUCGUUGAUGAAGGCCCGGAGGAGGUGGAAGACGUUCACUGGCCUUCAUUCAAUAACCCGAGUCGUGGCAUUAUUUUACGAAAUGAACCUGGAGGUGACCUGUUGAAUCUAGAUCCAGAUGCAGUGCAUGCAUCCGAGUUCCCUGAGUACACUGAUAUAGUACAUGCUCAUAGAUUGACGUCAAUUUCGUAGUUGGAGGAGUUGUUCAUUGGGUAAUGGUUCGAGAACAAGGCGGGCUGUGUGUUUGCCAUCAAACAUUAAUUAUAGCAUGAAGUUAUCGAUUGAUUACAAGGUUGCCAAGUCUACACCGACAUUAUAUGUUAAGAAAUGCUGGAGAGCCGACGAUGGGUGUGCUUGACGGGUUCGGGUUGCAUUUAUACAGAAGACUCAAUAGUGGCAAAUACGAAAAUUAGAAUGGUGUCAUACAUGCACUGUCGUGCGUAUUCUCAAGAUCCCCAAAAAUUGGAUGCCAAAAUUAUUUGCAACUGCAUCAUGUCACUAAUGAAAGAUAGUCCAAUCAUUCUUGUGUCGACAUAUCAAAUGGAUCGGCACAUCAGGAGGAUCAGCAGCUGGAUCAAACAUGGAAUGAGGCGGAGUGUAUAAAUGUUAUUACCAAACAUAUCAAAUGAUAUCAGUGGUUGCUCUGGGUAAUAUGAACUCGAACCGCCCAUGUCCAGGUGAUAUGAACUGCUCUGUGACUCUUCACAAAAAGCAUCAACCUAUUGGUACGAUAUGUUUAAAGGUUGGUCCUCCGAGUCGGGCUCCGCCAUAUGUUGAUCCUCUAGCUCCCCCAUAGGUUGACUUACAUAUCUAUAGCUGUGUCCGGUACUAUUAUAUGUUGCCCACCAUAUAACUAAAUACGCCAUCGAGUCAUGUACCACUACAUGUAUUCAGUCAAAGGACUGAAGUCAAACAUGCAAAAGUGCAUCUCAGGCCGCUUGUUGUAUCGGGCAUUCCAUAGUACUACAUGUAUCUAUUCUGCUUAUCUGAUUAUGAUAAUUGCAUCUAAUAUGGACUUAGGUCUGAAUCUAUAUUUGACUGUAUAUGAGAUUUUGUGUAUGUACUGCAUGUCUAUUUAUGUUGGGUUAAACACUAAGUUUGCGAAAAUUCAGUUCUGCUUGUCUGUUAUGUUCAGGUAAUCCACAGUCUUAGGCAAAUCGGUGCGGCAGAGUUUCACGGUAACCACAAGUUUGUGAACUAAUUUUAAUUGGUGGUUUUUGUUUAGUUAUGGAUUAUUUCUGGGAGUUUUGUAAUUAAGGGACUCUCCGGACUGUUUGGUUUUAUUUUAGAUUUGGAUUUUCGAAUUAACUCUUCAUUUGCGACGGUUGGCUAAAACCGUGGUUUUUACUAAACAAAGGUUUUUUUGAAAAUGCAAACGGGAUUUUCAAAUAUAACGAUUUCUAAUAUUUCUGCUCAAAAUUAUGUUUUGGAAUAUGAAUUAAUUAAAUAAUGUUUUCAGUAUUAUUUAUAAAACUUGGUUGAUUUAUCGAAAUGGUUCUGAUUUCAAAACCCUUCAUCGCAGCAUUACCAAAUUUGGCGAUAAUGUCUAUGCUGGGUUUGAGGUGUUACACAAAUUGUCACAUAACUCGAUCGGUAUUAUACCACACAAUGGUUGAGAAGUUGAGCACUGGCAUGUUAAUACACCACACAUGGGCUUCUACGUGAACCCACUAAGGAAUAAGGGUUGCAAUGUUCGGUGCUGAAUACAACAUCCACAAGAACUGCACAAUAUAACAUAAUGAGUCAAGUCACAUCACAUACUGCAAGUGGAUAAGUUAAAUCAACGUUACUUAAACCAUGUUAAUAUGUAUUACUUUCUUUCCGACGGAUGCCUCUAUCAUUUGUUGGUAAAUGAUUAAUGUUUAGGUCGCACCAAUUCGCGGAGACGUGGCCCAUCUAAAACCGAAACAAACAUGUUAGCAAUUAAAUGUUAAGUAUAAUUUUGUUUUUACCUAUUUACAAGUGGCGACGAAUAUGGUUGGUGCCUAACAACCACUAGAAAUGGCAUCCUGUAUAGAGCCCAAGAUUGCAGCAGAUUUAGUCAACCAGCCAUGUUACUAACCCCAUGUUUUGUUGCUCGGCAAAGCUCAUGGUACAAUUUGGCCAACACUGCCGAUCCCCAGCUGUAAUUAUCGACACGAGAGAAGUCCUCACAUAGAGGCAAGUACUUUAAGUGGACCCUAUUAGACGUGUUGUUCGACAUAAGUACCCCCGAUUAGCUGCAUAAUAUAUGCUCAAGUGGCACACAUCACCUCGUGCUCAGUGGCAAUGCUUGAUAACUACUUAAAAUUUAGUUUCAACCAUGCCAAUGUCAAGCAUGUGAAAUUAUGUUCCCCACCACUAGGGGACCGUCCAAGCAAUCUGUGGCAUAGUAUUGAAGGUUCCAACACUUUUCUUUGGCCCGUGACCACAACAAUAUCAACUUAUAACCCAAGUUACAUAGCAACAUCUUCCAAUGUGAUAGUACACUCCCCGCACGGCAUAAUGAAGGUGUGGGUCUUCAUACACCACUGCUCAACCAAGACGGAUAUUAAGUUCACCCUCAGGCCAAACCUUCAGAUCAAUGCAACGUCCCCAAAUCCCGCCAAUUGUAAGUAUGGCAUGACUCGCUCGUCCGGAUUGUGCUUGGGAAAAUGAAACCGCAACCUCAGAACCCGAUACCCAUCCUGUAUGGUAAAUUUUUUAUAAAAAUAUGAUAACUCAAUUAUCUAAAGAGUUUUUCAUUUUAGAUUUUAGAGAGGCUUAAAUAAUAGUUUUUCAUUUUAGGAGGUCUAAAAAGUACUUUUCUUUUUAAAGGAGCCACGACCCCUGCCUAGUUUGGUCACCUUCUGUGGUGACGAGAUUCAUUCCAAUGAGAUUAAAAACAGCAGUGAUGAUGAGAUUAAUUACUAUAAUAAUGAGAUUAUUAAAAUCAGUGGUGAGAUGUGUUUUAGAAUUCGAACACAACAAUGGCAGUGAGAUAGAUUAUAGAUUUAUAGUAAAAAGGAAAAAUGACCAUUAUAGACACUAAACUAAAAUUAAACUAAGGAAGUUUACACCAUUCCGUAUAUUUUUGUACGAUUAAUAUUUUAGCGAUAAAAACACCAUAUUUCAUAUUUCAUGUUUUAUGUAAAAUACUUUUAAUCUUUGAAUGAAUGUUAAUACAUGCAAUAUUUUAGAUCGAUAGAUAAAAAUAUAGAAUCAAUUGAGAAUUUACAAUAAUAUCAACAAAUUCAAUGAUUGGAUUGUUAAGUUAAGAAUCAUGCAAAAAUAUAUGAAAUCGUGUAAAAUUACUUUAGUUUCGCACUAGUAUAAGCGAAUUCUUUUUUUUUUAAUAUAAAAAAUUAAUUAUAUAAUUUAAAUUUAUGUAUUUAACAUUAUUUAUAAAUAUAUUUCAUUAUUUAUAAAUAUAUUAUUUGAAAGUAAUGAAAUAAAAUAAAUAUUAUAAAUAAAAUUAUUGAAAUAUAGUAUCUAUUAUUGAAUUAAAUUAACCAUUCUUUAAAAAAAGAGUGAAAAUUAUUUUUUUAAAAUGCAUAGGGUUUUAUUUUUAAAAAAAUUUAAGAUUUAGGUGUAAAAGAUAAUCAAUCAUAAAGUGCAUAGGGCUUUAUUUUUUAUUUUUUAAAUAAUAUUGUUUUUGGCUCACAUGCAGUUUAUUGAGUUAGGUUAAGUAUACCUAACUCAAAAUUUAUAAAAAUGAUAAAAGGCAUGUGAUUUAGUAAUACAAAUAUUUUAUUCUUAAUUUUAAUUCAAUUUUUUUAUUUAAAACAGUAAAGGAUGUAGAUACCUUUAUAAAUUUGCACCUUUUAUUUUAUAGUUCAGUCAUUUCUUAAUUUCAUUUAGAGAUUUAUUGUAUACAGUGACGGAGCAUAGUGGAGAUCCAGGUAGCAUGGCAUCCCUUAAAAUGGUAAAUUUUUUAUUCAAGCCCUUUAUAAUUUAUAAAAUAUUAAAUUAGUAAUGGUAAAAUUGUAUUUUAACCCCCCUAAAGAUGAUAAAGUUUUGAUUUAACCCUUUAAAAAUUACAAAUUACAAUUUAAUUCCAACCCAAAAAAAUUUAGGCUCCGCCACUUAAAUAAUUAUAUCAAAUUCGAUAAAAAUUUUAAACUUCACAGGUAGAAUUGAAAAAAUAUGUGCUUUAUUUAAUAAUAAUACUUUUGAAUGGGUUGAAUUUGGUUGAAUUGGCAAGAGAUAAGGUGUGGAUAAAAUAAUAAAUUUAGUAGAUUAUAUGCAGAACUUGGUCAUAUCAGACUCAGUGCCAUGAACUUCACUAGCAAGCUUGCUAACACAGCUGCAGCAUAAGCUAUUAACUGCUUAAUCACUAUUUUUAUUACAACACUCAAAGAUGAAGAAGAAGAUUCUAUAUUUAAUUUCUUAAUGUUAACCUUGCAUUUGCAUUUCCUUGAUGGCGCUUCUAUACCAACUUUCAAGGAGAAUAAAACAAAAUAAUAAUAACUUUUUAGUUAAUUUGAUGGCAUAAUUGGUAAGGUUUUUUUUUAUUUUUUUAUUUGGGGUCGAUUUUGCAACGAUAUAGACAGGUAGGUAGGCACAUUUUAUUCUGUUGAAUAACUAGUUAUAUGGUAUAAGAGUGGUACCUAAUUGAUUAUUAAUGUCUUAAGGUCGAAUAUCGAAAAAAAAAACAAUUCCCCUUUAGAAAAAUAUUUAUUGGAAUUUAUUAUUUUGAAAACUAAAAAAUUUAAUCAUCUUGCUUCAAUGAAGAAAUCGAAACCCUGUAAGUUAGGGUAUGAUUCUUUGAAGUUCCGAUAACAACAUGAAUUUGCCUUUAUUAGAAAACUUCAUCUCGAGAUAAUAAAAUGUCAUAUCCAAUUAUUUAGGACCCAACGUUUUGAAUCCUCGAGAUAAGCUUUAAUUUUGGAAUUUUUACGUUCUUCGGAAAGAAGGAUACAGGGUUACCUAAAUUCAUCGAGGAAAAUUGAAACCCAGUAAGUUAGGGCACAAUCUUCUCGAGAAUCUUGGAUACCGAGUAUUGUGUUAUUUUGAAAACCUUUGAAUAAAACAAUUUAAUUACUUUAAUUAAGCAUAAUCCUUUAAGAAAAAAAACGAUGGAAUGAUAAUGUAUAACGGGAAAGGAUAGUUUGUAAACUAAAGUGCACACUAAUGAGCGACAAAUAAAUACAAAUAAGCAAUACAAUACACAUGAGAGCAAUCAUCUUUAUACAAAUACUAACUUUAAAAGCUAAUGAAUCAAAAGUCUAUUUUGAAAGAAAUACGAAGCAAAUUAACACAAAUAAAAUGUAACAAAUUUUAAAACAACUAAAAAAACAAAUGACAUGAAAGAAGGGGAAUUAUGUAAAUUUAAAAUAAUAUAUACAUAUAUCAAAGUUUGAAAUAAAUCAAAAACAUAGUUCGAAAUAAAUACUACAUAAAAUAAUAGUAUCCAAAUAAAUUUUAAAAUAAAUAUUAUAUAAGAAGAAAAUCAAAACACACAAAAUAAUAUACAUAUAUUAAUUUAAAAAAGUAAUACAUAUGGAAUGAAAAACUUCAUAAUAAUAUAUAAUAAAUUUAAAAAUAAUAAUAAUGCAUGAAAAGCUUAGAAAAAUAAUACAUAUAAAAUUAAAAUAAUAAUAUACAAUAAAUUUAAACAAUGUUAAUAAUAAAUUUAAAAUAAUAUUAAUUUUAAAAUUAAAUACAUUAAAAAUAAGGGAAUAAUAGAUGCUUAAAUAAAAUUUUAAAAAAAAAUCAAGCACAGUAAAUUAGUAGGGAUUAAAUUGAACUCAAAAUAGAAUUAAAAGGGAAAAAAGUAAAACAAAAUGAAGGGCCAGAGCAUAACGCGCGAAUAACAUGAGGGCCAAACAGGAAAUAUUGCCUUCUCUCAAAACGCUGCAUUUUGAUGUGGACCAAAAUGAUACAAAAAGAAAAUGUCAAGCAAAAUUUAAAAGCCAUUAAAGAAUUGAUUUGAAUACGUUAUAAACGUGGGGGACCAUUUGCACAAAUUCCCCAUGCGCUACAAAAUGCGCGGAUCUUUCCCCGGGUCGGGUCACUACGCGGGUAUACAUGGCGGUAUGGCGUCGUUUUGGAGUCAUUAAAACAGACCCCAAAUGGCGCCGUUUCUUUUAUCAUAUACAAACCAAUUUUAACCCUAAAAUUAGCAGCCAUUUAUGAUUUAAAAAUCAAUCCCUAAAAAAAACUUGUCUCACCCUCUCCGAGCGCCGUUCAACAAUUAGGCCGUUCAAAGGUCCUCCGCCCUUCGCCCGCCUCCGAUUGCGAUGUAGCGAACCAAGGUUCGACUACCAGGUAACCGACUCUUAACUGUUUCUUUUUUCUUCAUUCACGAUAAAUAAAUAAAAAGAUUCAAGAACAGAAAAAAAUUAUUGAGAGAGGAAAAAAAAUGAAAAUCACCUCUGGAUUUCUGUCUUUUAGCAAUUUUUAUUUCUUUUCGUAUCCCCCAUUUACAAAUUUUCAAUGGCUUUUUAUAGCCGAAAUGAAACAAGAAAAUAAAAUAAAAAGAAAUCUAUUCUGUCAUCUGAUGGUCUUGAUUUGCGAUUUUUUAUUUUCUUACUAUUUUUUCCUACCUCUGCUGUUUGUUCCCAUUUUUGUUGUGCAGGUACAACCUCGGAGGGGCGCACGUGCGCGGAGGAGCAACAUGCGCGGGGGGCCUAGGUUCGGCUGCAGCGCAAAGGCAGAAAGCUACUAUUGCUGCUAAGGUUUCUGUUUCGUGGUCUAGGGCUAGGCAUUGGGCCUCUGUAAUUGGGCCACUAUUUAUUUGGUUAAGGAUUUAGAUUGGGUCUUAGUGUAUUUUGUAAUCGAGUUUGGGUUUGGGUUGGCAAUUGGACUGUAUUUGGACUUUGAAUUUUUAUUUGGUAUUUGGUUUUAUUUAUUUACAUACGGGCCAGGCAAAUUGGGCCAAUUAUAGCUGCCCCUCUUUGCUCGUUCUCGUGUAACAGGAACGGAGCAAAGAAUUUAGCAAUGGCCAAUUUUUAUUUCUUUUCGUAUCCCCCAUUUACAAAUUUUCAAUGGCUUUUUAUAGCAAAAAUGAAACAAGAAAAUAACAUAAAAAGAAAUCUAUUAUGUUAUCUGACGGCCUUGAUUUGUGAUUUUUGAUUUUCUUACUAUUUUUUCCUACAUGUGCUGUUUGUUGCCAUUUUUGUUGUGCAAGUACAAGCUCGGAGGGGCGCACGCGUGGGGGGCCUGGGUUCGGCUGUAGCGCAAAGGCAAAAAGCAUCUAUUGCUACUAAGGUUUUUGUCUCGUGGUCUAGGGCUAGGCAUUGGGCCUCUGUAAUUGAGCCACUGUUUAUUGGGUUAGGGAUUUAGAUUGGGUCUUAGUGUAUUUUGAAAUCGGGUUUGGGUUUGGGCUAGCAAUUGGACUGUAUUUGGACUUUGAAUUUUUAUUUGGUAUUUGGUUUUAUUUAUUUACAUGCGGGCUGGGUAAAUUAGUCCAAUUAGAACGUGUUAAGAACUUUCUUAAUGAACAAAGUAAUGCUAUAUUGAUCAAGAAAAUAGGUGAUUUCCCUUCCUCUACCAUUUCACAAUAAUAGAGUACAUGAGUUAGCUAUUAUUUAUAAUUGCUGCUAACAAAUUAAUAGAUUGAUGAGAAUAAAAAAACUAAAUGUUGCCUAUCAAUACUAACAGCUAUUAUUUUAUAUUUUAACAUUAACUUAUCUUUCCGACGGGUAACACCUGAAGAAGACUUUGAAACCGAGCGAAAGAUGAAACAGAUAAAGGCUUAGUAAGAAUGUCAGAAAUUUGAUCGCACGCAAGUAUUUCACCCACAACUAAAGACCUAGCAGCAAAUCUUUCACAAAUAAAGAACAAAUCAAGCUCCACGUGUUUAAACUUAGAAUGUAAAACCGGAUUCACAGCAACUGCAACUGCACUUGAGUUGUCAUACCAUAUAGUAAGGAAAUCAUUAGACUGAAGUUCUAAUUCUUUUAAUAAUGAAGUCAGCAAAAGGACAUCACUCGUUACUGCAGUAAGACUCUGAUAUUUAGCUUCGACUGUGGAAUGAGACACAACUUGUUGUUUCUUUGAACACUAUGACACUAAGUUGUGACCAAAAUAUACACAAUAGCCAGUUGUGGAUCAACUAUCAUCAAGAUCCAGCCCCCAAUUUGCAUCGGCAUAACCAACUAAAGAGAGUUGAGUAGACGAACGAAACACAAUCCCAUAGUCUAGAGUACCACACAAAUACCGCAAUAUGCAUUUUAAAGCAACCAGAUGUAUAGUAGUGGGUGUAUCCAUAAAUUGGCAGAUGCGAUUUACUGCGUAGGCAAUAUCAGGUCGAGUUAGAACCACAUACUAUAGCGCCCCUGCAACACUUCUGUAUUCAGUGGGAUCAAAAAGUCAUUCCCCGCCAUCCUUAGACAAAGAUGAUGAGCUAAUCAUAGGAGUAUGAACACUCUUUGCAUGAGUCAUACAACACCUGUUAAGCAAAUCACGAACGUACUUUUGCUGGCAUUGAUGGAUACAUCCAUCAGAGGAACGAGUCACCUCAACUCCAAAAAAGUAAUAAAGAUCACCCAUAUCUUUAAGAGAAAACUCCUUAUGCAAUUUCUGAACAAAACUUUCAAUACAUGUAGGUACACUUCCAGUAACAAUAAUAUCAUCCAUACACAAGAACAUAUAGAGUGACAGAAGGUAUGACUUGAAUAAAUAAGGACGAACUCGACUUGGAUAUAUGAAAUCCAAUUGAAAGUAGGAAACACUUUAACUUUUUAAACCAAACACGUGGAGCCUGUCACAGUCCAUACAAUGCCUUCUUAAGACGACACACCAAAGGUUCACCAUUAGGACUAAACUGAACAUACCCUGGAGGUUACUGCAUAAACACUUAAUCAGUAAGAUUGCCAUUUAAAAAAAACAUUAUUAACGUCUUGAGACAGAGACUGAUAGUAUAACUCGAAUAGUAGCAUGCUUGACCCCCGGACUAAACGUUUCCUUAAAAUCACAUCCAAGUACCUGAGAACAUCCUUUAGCCACUAACCGAGCUAUCCGACUUGCAAUCGUUCCAUCCAAAUUUUUUUUACUUUGAAGAGCCAUUUACACCUGAUUACCUUUCGACCGCUUGGUGACAGAAUAAGUUUCUAGGUGGAAUUAUGUGUAUUUUGGAAAUACGCCCAUCUCGUGUUGUUCAAAAAGGCAACAAGUUAUUUCUCGAUCAACAGCAGAAGUAGAAUAUUGAACUCUUACUGCCGCCACCAGUGAUAUAAUAUGGUUAGUCUCUCUGCUAACGGAGUUACAACUUCAUUCUGCUGACUCUCCUACUAUUUGGUGUGACAAUUCUAGUGCAGUAGCGAUUGCUGGCAAUCUGGUUUUACACUUCAAGUUUAAACAUGUUGAACUUGACCUUUUCUUUGUCCGUGAAAAGGUUGCUAACAGUUCACUCGUUGUUGGUGAGGUACCAGCCUGUACCAAGUUGCUAACAUUUUAAGGAAACCAUUGUCUGUCUCUUUGUUUACUCAGUUUUGUAAUUUCCUUCGGAUCUUACCUAUUGAGAAGCUGGGUAAAUGUUAGAGUAUGUGAAUGUAUUAGGCUAUUAGUCUGUUAUCAAGACUGGUAUAUUGUUAGUAGGUUAGUUAGUAGUAGUUAGAUCAAGUCUCAUGCAUAUAAGUAUUAUCUCUAUACUGAUAGAAAAAGGUUAACAAUACAAACAAUUUAAUUAGUCUUUUCUUUCAAUAUUUUUCAGUAUUAUAGAGUUAGUAACAUGUUCAUAUUAUUUGUUCCAGUGUUGAUGGUAUUGGCAACUACUGUUUUGUCCAAAAAGCUUGACGUCAUGCUCAUGACGUUGGCUACUGUUUGUAGGCUCCGAUAUAAGGUUUCAAUGGAAAUUCCCCUAGUCCUGUAAUCAAUAGAUGGUGGUAUAGCCCUUAGAGUACUAUGGGGUCCAAUUUGUUCUUUAGUUUUAUCAAUCAGACCACCACUGUGGCAGGAAUCAGAAAUAAUUAUGAAGCUUAAUCCACUUGGUAGUCGUUGAAUCAAGUGCCCCAAGUCGACGUCUGCACAACCAUCGCAACCACCAUAUGACAUGAAUAAUAGUUCGCUUAGAUUGAGGGUGUUUCAAUAAUGUGAUAUAUUUGGCCUCUAAUAAGAAAUCAACAUAUAGAGUGGGUGAUUAAUCCGAAUUGGGAGGAGGACAGGUGUUGUGAUGGACAAAGCGUAAGACAAGGUGGUUUCCGACUGAAGCAAGAAAGCUCUAGCAAAAGGCAGCUAGGUAUUCCUUUUUCACACAAAGACGAAGAUAAAUGAUUAUAACAGCAUGAUAUGAUCUGCUUCGCCUUCGUCCACUACCUCAUCUUUAUGUUUUUGUUUUGGUCGUUACUCACGUCGGCUUUUGUCUGCAAGUGCUGCAUGUCGGUCCUACUAUCGUGAUUGUGUUGCCUAGCUUCUGAUUUCUAUGUAUUAAUAGGGUCUAUUUGAAUGUGCGGUUUGCAGAGGUAAAAUUAGAAAUUUGUUUUUAAGUGUUAAACUUUGUAUCUAUAUAGAUUUAAGAAGUGUUAAAUCAAAAUUUUAUAUUUUUUUACGAUAAAUUGUAUUUAUACAAUGUUUAACUUAUAAAUUUAUUGAUAUUACAGAGGUUUAAAUAAUAGUUUUCCAUUUUAGGGGUAUAAAGAGUAAUUUUCAUUUUAAGGGCGCUACGAUUAGACUUGAUUAUGAGUUGGGUCACCCGUCCAAGUCUAAUGGUUCUCUUGACAAGUGAGAGAGAUUGGGCUAAAAUAUAGCCCAAAAAAACAGACUUGGACAAAAAAUAAUAUCCAUAUUCCAAAGGGGCCGAGCCUCGGGUAAGAUUUUUUUGCUUGGGCCCAACCCGACCCAAAUUUGCUUAAAAAAUUUUCCUUGCUACUGUUAACUAUUGUUUGCUAUUAUAUUGUUACUAUAUUGUUGCUAUUAUUUGUAUAUUGUAUAAUUAUUGUUUUAUUGUUAAUUUUGCUACUAUUUUCAAUUAGUUGGGAAACAUUUAUUUCAACAUUUUUAGUGUAUUUGAUGUAUUAUAUUUUUUAAAAUAAAAAAGUAUAAAAUAUUUUAAUAUAGGCGGGCCGGGCAAGGCUCAGGUUUGGCAUUGUUUAUCUGGGUCAGGCUUGAUAAAAAAUUUAGGCCCAUUUUUUGGUCGGGUAGGGCUUGAGCCUAGAAAACGAGCCUAGAAUCCCAACCCGAUUGAGCCCAUGAUCAAGUCUAGCCACGACCCCUAUCCGCUAUGGUCACCGCCUUUGGAGACAAGAUUAAUUCUUGUGAGAUUGAGAAUAGGGAUGGCGAUGAGAUUAAUUACUAUAGCAGUGAGAUUAGUUACUACAGUGAUGAUGUUAAAAUUAGUGGUGAGAUGCGGAUUCAAACACAAGAAUGGCGGGAAGAUAGAUAAUAGAUUUAUAGUAAGAAAGGAAAAUGACCAUUAUAGACAUUAAAAUAAAUUAGUUUUCACCUUUCCGUAUAUUUUUCUAUGAUUAUUAUUUUAAUGAUAAAAAUGACAUAUUUAAUAUUUCAUUUAAACACAUCGUGCAUAUUUUUAACAUAAAUUAAAAAUUUCUAACUAUUUGUUUUAUUUAAGAAUAUUUUUAAUCGUUUAAUAAAUGUUAAUAUAUAUAAUAUUUUAGAUAGCUAUGACAGAAAUAUCGAAUCAAUUUAAAAUUUUACAUACAUGAAAAGUACAACAAUAUUGAUAAAUUCAAUGGUGGGUGUCACAUCACAAAAUCAGGGUUAAAAAAAUUAGAUUAGCGAAACCAAGUGUGGUCGUGUUCAGUUUUGAUUUGAAGUUGUGAAAAUUAAAAACCAAGAGUACGUUAACCACCGCAUCCCCAAAUAGUCAUAUGAUGUCUCAUAGGCUUCACACCCUCUUAAUAAAAUCCCAUCAUCCUCCUUCAGUGGAUCCAACACCAUUAACCCAUCUACGUAGCGAGUAUUGGGAAUUAUCCAUAUUUAUGGAAAAUCAAAGAUAUGGGUAUCAAAUAAUAGAAAGUCAAAGAUAUGGGUAUCAAAUAUUGGAAAGUCAAAGAUAUGGGUAUCAAAUAUUGGAAAGUCAAAGAUAUGGGUAUCGAGAUAUUGGCAUAAUAAAAUCUGAGAUAUUUGCAAUAUAUGGUCCCUAAUUGUAAAGUGACUUUGCAAGUUGAUCCCUGAACCUCAACUAUAAAUAGGUGCCAUCUCUCAUUCUGUAUCUCAAACUUGCCAUUCUCUACUUAAGGCAUUGUUUUUUCUCUCUCUCUCUUUGUAAAUUCUCACUUGUAUUUUGGAGUGAAAUAUAUUUGGUAGUGCCCGAGGACGUAGGCAAAAUUUGCUGAACCUCGUUAAAUUCUUGUGUUCUUUAUUGUAUUAUUCUGCAUGAAUUGUGUGUGUGAUUGUAGUAAUUUAUUGUGCUAUUAAAUUACGACUGAAGGAUAUUCUGGCUAGGAAAGACCUGGUACUUAAGCGAUCCUUGUGAUCCACCUCUCUUUCCUGGGAAUUGAACUUAGUGUGAUUUUUUAGUACAAUAAUUUUACUCUUUUACACGCUUCCGCACAACAAUUGGUAUCAGAGCUAGAUUCGUACUUGGGGAAUACGAUCGUUCACGGUACUGUUCACGUACUGUAGUUGGGAUUGAGGAGAAAAAAAUGGAAAAGUCAUCGUCAAAGACUACUGUGACCAAUGCGAAAUUUGAAGUAGAGAAAUUUGAUGGUACCAAUAAUUUUGGUAUGUGGCAAUGUGAGAUCCUGGAUGUCUUAUGUCAGCAAGAGUUGGAUAUAGCCCUUGAAGAAAAACCUGACAAGAUGGAUGACAAGGAGUGGGCCAAGAUCAAUAGACAGGCAUGUGGAACAAUUCGCCUAUGUUUGGCCAAAGAGCAGGAGUACUCUGUCAUGAGGGAGUCAUCAGCGAAGAAGUUGUGGGAUACACGGGAAGAAAAGUUUCUAACAAAAAGUCUUGAAAAUAGGCUUUAUAUGAAAAAGAAACUUUAUCGAUUCACGUAUGCACCCGGUAUGUCGAUGAAUGACCAUGUGAACUCAUUCAAUAAAAUUUUAGCAGACUUGCUAAAUUUGGAUGAGAAAUUUGAAGAUGAAGACAAGGCAUUACUGUUGUUGAAUUCUCUUCCUGAUGAAUAUGAUCAUCUUACCACCACAUUGCUUCAUGGGAAGGAUACAAUCACAUUUGAUGCAGUCUGUAGUGCGUUGUAUAGAUCUGAGACUCGAAAGAAAGAUAAAAAAGAUCACAGAGACUACAGAAGUCUUAACAGUAAGAAGUCGUUCGCACAGCAACAAAUCUGGUAGAAGGAGUAAGUCCAAAAAGAGACCUGCCAAAGAUGAAUGUGCUUUUUGUCGUGAGAAAGGGCAUUGGAAAAAGAAUUGUCCUAAGUUACAAAAGGGUAAAGCUAUUUCUGAUGCAUGUGUAGCGGAGCAUGAUGAGGAGUCAGACUUUAGCUUGGUUGGCAUGGCAAUGGCAUGUCAUACAGAUGAGUGGAUUUUUGAUUCGGGAUGUACUUACCAUAUGUGUCCUAAUAAGGACUGGUUUUCUAGUCUUAAAGAACUAGAAGGUGGAGUUGUUUUUAUGGGCAAUGAUAGCGCUUGUAAGACAAUGGGAGUAGGUACAAUCCAAUUGAAGAAUCACGACGGCUCAAUUCAAGUCUUGACAGAUGUUCGCUACAUACCUAUCUUGAAGAAAAAUCUUAUCUCAUUAGGGGUCCUAGAAUCUAAAGGGCUCACAAUCACUUUGAGAGAUGGAUUACUAAAGGUAGUAGCUGGGGUAUUGACGGUGAUGAAAGGCACAAGAAGGAAUAAUCUGUACUAUUUAAAUGGAAGUACAGUUAUUGGAUCAACAUCAACAGCUUUUACGAAAGAUGCAGAUUCAGAGGCUACCAGGUUAUGGCAUAUGCGAUUGGGACAUGCUGGUGAAAAAGCUUUGCAGAGUUUGGCGAAGCUAGGCUUGUUGAAAGGUGCAAAUUCUUGCAAAUUGGAAUUCUGUGAACAUUGUGUUCUGGGCAAGCAGACAAGGAUAAAAUUUGGUUCAGCAAUUCACAAUACAAAAGAAAUUCUGGACUACGUUCAGAGUGACGUGUGGGGACCUACUAAAGUGGCUUCUUUGGGAGGUAUGCACUAUUUUGUUACUUUUGUUGAUGAUUAUUCAAGAAAAGUAUGGGUGUAUCUAAUGAAAAGGAAAAAUAAAGUUUUGGAUGUAUUUCUUAAAUGAAAGAAGAUGGUGGAGACCCAGGCUGGUCGAAAAGUCAAACGACUUCGAUCAGACAAUGGUACUGAGUACAAGAAUGAUCCAUUUCUACAAGUAUGUCACGAUGAAGGUAUUGUACGACACUUCACUGUUCGAGAUACACCACAACAGAAUAGGGUGGCAGAACGUAUGAAUCGGACUAUACUGGAGAAAGUUCGAUGUAUGUUGUCCAAUGCUGGAUUGGGCAAAGAAUUUUGGGCUGAGGCAGUUACAUAUGCGUGCCAUCUAAUUAAUCGGUUGCCAUCAACUGCAAUAAAUGAAAAAACUCCUAUGGAGAGGUGGGCUGGUAAACCUGCUACUGAUUAUGAUUCUUUACAUAUUUUUGGUUCCACUGCAUAUUAUCAUGUAAAAGAAUCUAAGUUAGACCCAAGAGCAAAGAAAGCAUUAUUCAUGGGUAUAACUGGUGGAGUAAAAGGAUACCGUUUCUGGUGUCCUGAUACAAGGAAAAUAAUUUUCAGUAGAGAUGUGACUUUUGAUGAAUCAACCAUGAUGAAGAACAAUGAUUCACAAAAGGAUAACACAACCAGUGGCACUUUGCAGCAGGUGGAGCUUGAAAAGGUUAAUGAUGAUCCAGCUAAUAUUGAAGGAACAAAUGAUGAAGAAGUUUCGACCCAAGAACUUCUACAGCAACAUGAUUCAAUUGCAUAUAGAAGGCCAAGAAGAGAGAUUCGUAUGCCUGCUCGCUUUGAUGAUAUGGUGGCCUAUGCACUUCCAAUUGCAGAUGAUGAUGUUCCUUCUACUUACACAGAAGCAAGAAGUAACUCUGAUAGUGUAAAGUGGAAGCAAGCUAUGAAUGAAGAAAUGCAGUCUCUUCAUAAAAAUAGGACUUGGGAGUUGGUGACACUACCUAAAGGAAAGAAGGCAAUUGGAUGCAAAUGGGUAUAUGCAAAGAAGGAAGGAUUUCCUGAUAAAAAUGAAGUUCGAUACAAGGCUAGAUUGGUAGCAAAGGGUUACGCUCAGAAAGAAGGAAUAGACUACAAUGAAGUAUUUUCUCCAGUUGUGAAGCAUUCGUCUAUUCGGAUUUUGCUAGCCUUGGUUGCGCAAUAUGAUCUUAAACUAGUUCAGCUCGAUGUGAAGACCGCAUUUUUACAGGGUGAUUUGGAAGAGGAAAUCUAUAUGACUCAGCCAGAUGGAUUCAAGGUUGCUGAUAAAGAAAAUUGGGUUUGCAAACUGACAAAGUCGCUUUAUGGAUUGAAACAAUCUCCAAGGCAGUGGUACAAGCGAUUUGAUCAGUUCAUGAAAGGGCAAAGGUAUACAAGAAGUAAAUUUGAUCAUUGCGUGUAUUUUCAGAAGCUACAAGAAGGAUUUUUCGUAUACUUGCUAUUAUAUGUUGAUGAUAUGUUGAUAGCAUCUAAGAGUAAAGUUGAAAUUGAGAGAUUGAAGACUCAACUCAACCUUGAGUUUGAGAUGAAAGAUCUAGGUGAAGCUAAGAAGAUCCUUGGCAUGGAAAUAUGUAGGGAUAGAGCUCAUGGCAGAGUUAGUUUAUCUCAGAAGCAAUAUUUAAAGAAGAUACUACAGAAGUUUGGCAUGAACGAGUAGACUAAAGCUGUAAGUACCCCGUUGGCUUCUCAUUUCAAGCUUUCUGCACAACUAUCUCCUUCGACAAAUACGGAACAAGAAUACAUGUUACAAGUUCCGUAUUCUAAUGCAGUAGGUAGCUUGAUGUAUGCAAUGGUGUGUACAAGACCCGACAUUUCACAGGCAGUUAGUAUAGUGAGCAGGUAUAUGCAUAAUCCUGGAAAAGGACAUUGGCAAGCUGUGAAAUGGAUUCUACGGUAUAUUCAUAAGACCAUGGAUAUUGGAUUCCUGUUCAAGCAGGAUACUACACUUGGUAAAGGUGUUGUUGGGUACGUUGAUUCUGAUUAUGCCGGUGAUUUGGACAAACGAAGAUCAACCACUGGUUAUGUGUUUACUCUUGCUGGAGGACCAAUAAGUUGGAAGUCUACACUGCAGUCUACAGUUGCGUUGUCAACCACAGAAGCUGAAUACAUGGCUGUAACAGAGGCUGUAAAGGAAGCUAUUUGGUUACAAGGUAUGGUUAAAACCUUGGGAUUGAUCCAAGAGCAUAUUAAUGUGUAUUGUGAUAGUCAAAGUGCUAUUCAUUUAGCAAAGAAUCAAGUCUAUCAUGCACGUACAAAGCAUAUCGACGUACGUUUCCGCUUUGUGCGGGAAAUUAUUGAUGAGGGGAAAAUUCACCUUCAGAAGAUUAAGACUGCAGAUAAUCCCGCAGAUAUGAUGACCAAGGUGGUAACAACAAUCAAGUUCGAACAUUGUUUGAACUUGAUCAAUAUUCUGCAUGUUUAACAGUUGAAGAAGGCACUAUCAAGUGUUGUUGACAAAGGCAGAGAGAAUUGUGUGAAGAUAAGAUUACUCGAAUUAAAUCUUCAAGGUGGAGAUUAUUGAGAAUUAUCCAUAUUUAUGGAAAAUCAAAGAUAUGGGUAUCAAAUAAUAGAAAGUCAAAGAUAUGGGUAUCAAAUAUUGAAAAGUCAAAGAUAUGGGUAUCAAAUAUUGGAAAGUCAAAGAUAUGGGUAUCGAGAUAUUGGCAUAAUAAAAUCUGAGAUAUUUGCAAUAUAUGGUCCCUAAUUGUAAAGUGACUUUGCAAGUUGAUCCCUGAACCUCAACUAUAAAUAGGCAUAACCAUUUCUCAUUCUGUAUCUCAAACUUGCCAUUCUCUACUUAAGGCAUUGUUUUCUCUCUCUCUCUUUGUAAAUUCUCACUUGUAUUUUGGAGUGAAAUAUAUUUGGUAGUGCCCGAGGACGUAGGCAAAAUUUGCUGAACCUCGUUAAAUUCUUGUGUUCUUUAUUGUAUUAUUCUGCAUGAAUUGUGUGUGUGAUUGUAGUGAUUUAUUGUGCUAUUAAAUUACGAUUGAGGGAUAUUCUGACUAGGAAAGACCUGGUACUUAAGCGAUCCUUGUGAUCCACCUCUCUUUCCUGGGAAUUGAACUUAGUGUGAUUUUUUAGUACAAUAAUUUUACUCUUUUACACGCUUCCGCACAACAGUGAGGAUGGAAUUUGAGGCUCACAUCUUUCCCGAAGAUUCCGAAAAUCUUUUGGCCAAUAUUUACUGCGUCGUGUAGGAGGCCUGCUGCUGUAUCUAUCGCACCAUGUAUGAUAUCAAAAGGAAGACUCUUAACCUUGACCUUAGACGGUUUAGGCAUGUUGGGAUUUACUGGUGUCGUCAUAUGCUCAACACCAAAUUGUUCUUUCUCUUUUUCAAUGAGACCACCACUGUGGCACGAAUCUGAUAGGAUUGUGAAGCUUGCUCCUUCUGGUAGCCGGUUAACUAAACGGCUGAAGUCCAUAUCUGCAGAAACCAUGUAUAUAUAGGGUAUGAAUAUAUAUUGCUAAAAUAAAUAUUUAAAUUCAAACAAAAACCUACCCGUGACAAGAUUUAAAUCACAAGCCACGAUUGCUUCAUCUUGUUUGAAAGGCUGGCCAGGUUGAAAGAUUGGAAUGCGUGUUCCAUGUCCACUGAAGUAGAAAAAUAGGACAUCUCCUGCUUUAGCAUUGCACGCCAUUCUAUUAAGUGCAUCCCUAAUGUUUGCGCCGGUAGGCAGAACCGACGACCCUGGCGCACCGGUGAGGACAUUAAUAUCACUUUCCUUGAACCCAAAGUUCAGGAUCCCAUCUCCUAUGGUUUUCACAUCAUUGAUGCGUCCAUGCAAGCCGAAUUGGGUCUCGGGGUAGUUGCAUCCCACCAGAACUGCUCUCUCGUACCCUUACCCAUCUUGCUUUGCUAAUUUGACUAUUUUGUGUUGCUUGUACCCUUGUAUUAAUGUGCUUCCACCGUCUCACUAAGACCCUAUAUAUAUACACACUAAUUUACGGCCUGUGUACUGUCGAUUAAGAUGAUCAUAAAGUGGAUAGGGUUUUACUUGUUUUUUCUUUUUAACAAACUAAUAUUAUUUUUGGCUAACAUCCAAUUUAUUUAAAUACGUUAAGUAUACCUAACAUAAAUUUUUUAAAAAUGAUAAAGGCAGAUUAUGUUUUCAUAGAUGUAAUUUAGUCAUACAAAUAUUAAUAAUUAAUAAUAAUUAAUAAACACGUUCAUUUCAAUUAAUUGUAUACUCUACUAAAUGGUAAGAUGUGGCUUAUUAAAUUAAAAAAUUAAGUCUGACUUCCUCUCAACACUAUUCACACACCCUUGUUAUUUAUAUUUUUGCUCUAUAAAAAAUAAGGAUUUUGUGAUAUUUUUUCCUCUUAAAUGAUUUUAUUUAUAUUUUUAAUUAUAUUAAUUAUAUUUUAUAUUAGUUAUUAUUGAUUUAGAGAAUAAUUGGAGAAAAAAAAGAGCUUAAAGUUUAUUUUUGACACGUUUUGCGGGUUGGACUUUCAAUAUUUACAAUACAGUUUAAGUAUUUUGGUAAUAACUUAAGCUACAGGUUUUAGUUUUGGGCUCAUAAUAUACAGAUUUGAAGAAAAUUGACAUAACUAACUAAAUUUGUUUCGCGGAUGAAGCCCAAAAACAUCAAGAAGACAUCAAAAAAUGUCCUGGAAGUUUGUCCGAAAAAUUGCCAAAAUAUCUUGAAAACUUUUGCUUUAUAUAAUUAAUGGUACUUUUGUACUUUCUCUAUUAUAUUAUUUUUCUCUAUAAAUGGACAUUAUUAGGUUAAGACGAGGGGAGACCUAGACCUAGGCGUUCUUAGUUUUAUUUUGUUUUUUUAGUUUGUGGCUUUUUAAACUCUCCAUCUAGUCGAAGGUUUUAUCAGAUUUUGAUUUAAUAAAUUUGUGAGACUUAAUUUUUGCUUUAAUUUUUCUUUGUUCUUUGGUAUUCAUGCAUUUUUUGUUUUAAUUACAACUUUUCAAGUUUAUUGAAUGUUCAGUCGGUAUUUGAUAGCUUAGAAUGAUUGUUUUGUCAAUUAGAAUUCUUAAAUCCAUAAUUGUAUAAUUCAUUCUAAUACUAGUGACAAACUACAUAAUUCGUUUAUGUCGCAGUUUAUAUUUAUGUGGUGUGAAUGUGUGAUAUAGCUAAAAUGAAUCUCGCUAGGAUGAGUUUGUUAGUUAGAAUUUGGACUCUCUCGUUCUUAAUACUGCCGAUAAGUUAAAUCUAGGGCGUUGAGUUACAGGGUUAUUUAUCGAUUAGGAAAUAAUUUCAAACGAGUUUUCUCUUGGCUAUCGAACAAUGAGAGAUGGGUUGCCUUACACUGAGUCAACAACUAGAACUAAUUUAUUAAAGGUAUUGAAGUUAUUUUUGCAUUGAUGAUCGAAUCUUUGAAUCAAACAAAGAUUUUACUUCUAGCUAGAGUUUCUUCUCAUUAAUUUUCUUUUAUAAUUUAUUUUUACUUUGUUUUAAUUUUAAUUUUUAAUUUUAAAAUCUUUUUAUAUUUUUCAUGUAAGUUUUUGUUUUUAUAAAUCUCUACAUCCUUGCAUUACUUCAAUACAACACCAAAAGAACCAAAUGGCAAACACUAUAACUAAAAAUCUUGCAAAAGAGGCCGUUUUAUUUUAUCAUAAAAUUAUACAUGAAAUAGCCAUACAUGGCGAUUACAUAAGCUUGAAGGCCUUAAAACACAGACAUACGAUAGUAAUUAAUAAGCAAACACACACACAGACGCAGUAAUGAAGGCUAACUUCAACUUCGUAGUAGUGCACACCGAUGGAGCACAUUAUUAUUUAGUUUACAGUUUCGACCUCUAGUGAUCGAAAACCCUGGUUCAAAGCCGGCAGCUUAUGCACCCGUAGUGGUGUUGGGUUGGUGGCCAAGAAAAGCUGCAUCAGCAUUCUCAUCACUGCAAUAAAGGCAAGGGUGCUGCUGCCCAAUUCCUAGCUUUAUUAUUUCAUUCCUAGCCUUCACCACAAGCUGUCUAUUGGUUAAUGCACCUAAUUCGCUCUCCUUGAUGACCUUCAGAACUGAAUAGGUAAAGGCCCCAAACGCCUUUCCUCCGGUUUUCUCACUCGCUGGCAUAUCAAUUGAAAGCUCAUUGGCUUGGCACCCACUUAACAGAAUUCCCUCAUCCUCCGUCAGUGACCUCAAAUUCAAAAUAUCACGCUCAUAAUGGGGUAGGAAUUUGAGACUCACAUUGUUCCCAAAGAUUGUGGUCAAAAGAGAGCCAAUACCCGUCAUAUUAUCUGUUCCAGUGUUGAUGGCAUUCCCAAGUGCUCUUGUGGGAAAUAAGUCUUGUGUCGCGAUUAUGACGUUGGCCGCUGUUUGUAGGCACUGGAAUAAGGUUGCUAAGGAAAUGCCCCUAGUCUUGUAAUCAACAGGUGGUGCUAUACCCCUUAGAGUACUAUGGGGUCCAAUUUGUUCUUUACUUUUAUCAAUCAGACCACCACUGUGGCAGGAAUCCGAAACGAUUGUGAAGCUUGAUCCACUUGGUAGUAGCUGAAUCAAUUGCCCCAAGUCCACGUCUGCACACCCAUCGCAACCACAAUAUGAUAUAAAUAACAGUUUGCUUAGAUUGAGAGUAUUUUAAUAAUUUAGUUUACCGAGUUGAUUACGUACCAAAAAUGGGAUUGAGAUCACAAGGCACAAUUGCUUCACCCUCGUUGGGAGGCUGGUGGGGGUCAAUGCGGUGCACAAGUCCAUGUCCACUAAAGUGGAAAAGCAGGACAUCUCCUUCUUUAGCCGCGACCACCAUCUUCUUGAGUGCAGCCAUAAUGUUUGCACGUGUAGGCUUACACGUGGACUCUGGUUCAUCAGUUAGGAGCUCAACAUUUUCGGAAUCAAAGCCAAACCUGCUCACGAUCAUUUCUCUCAUGGCUUUCGCAUCGUUUACGCAUCCGCUCAACUUGUUGAUGGUGUUGGGGUAGUUGCAUCCGACCAGAACGGCUCUCUUCUUACAUUCGGUGGCCAUCUUGCUUCUGUUUUGGGUCGCUUGUCUUGUCUUGUGCUUCGGACGUUGCACUAAACACCUAUAUAUGCACACAUACACACUGUAGUUUACACUAUGCUCACUGACCAUACUCUAAUAAAUAAUACAUCAUGUUGGUAGGUACAACUGUUUUAUUUUAUUUUUUGUUUAGAAAAAAAAGGGCUUUUUUUUAUAAAAACAACCCAAAAAUAAUUAAUUACUUAAAUGACUUAUUUUUUUUGAUAAAAUACGAAAAUAACCUGAAAUCUAUGGAAAAAGUUGGUAGAGCCAAAGUGUGCCACCAACAUGCCAUGUCAGCAAUUUAUAUUAAAAAAUUAAUUUUUGAGUAGAGCUGCCACUUGUAUAAAUACUACGGAAAUAUUAUGAUUUUUUUUCUUUUUAAGUUUUUUUGAUUUGUCCCUUAUAUAUUUUAUUUAUUUGUUUAUUAUUGGUUUUAUAAAAUCUCAAAUGUAUAUUUUAAAUGUUUUAUAAUAUUAUUUUUUAAAAAUUUUAAAUAUAUUUUUCUAAAUUUAAAUAUUAUUUUUUAAUUUUUAAAUAUUAUUUUUUAAUAUUAUAAAAUAUUUAAAAUAUAUUAUUUUUAAAAAUAUGACCUUUCAAAUUUAUUAUUUGUUUUAUAAUAUUUUAAAUAUAUAUUUAAAAAUUUUUAAAUAUAUUUUUUAAAAUUUUAAAUAUAUAUUUUUUAAAUUAUUUUUAAAGAUAUUCAAACAUUUUUUUUAAUUCUAUUUAAAAUCUAAAAAAUAAUAUGUGUUUUUAGAAUGGCUUCACCACUUUAUUACAAGUGUCAUUUUUAAAAAAAUAUGUUUUUUAAAUAUAAAUAUUUAAUAUUUAAUAUUUUAUUUUGGUGGAGCCAUUCUUUAUGGCUCCACCUCUUGGUUCUCUAGCAUAUAUAGAAUGGUGAAAUUGUUGUGUUUAGUAGGAGAGUUCAAAAAUUCUGUUAAAGAUGAAUAAUGAGGUGUUUUGGUUUACGUUCUCUUUUAUGGCGAAAUUGUAGAAGGUGAUGUUGGUUGUGUAUUUCAAUGUCGGCAAAGAGUAGGGUUGCGAUUCAAAAAACUGUAAAGCUGGCAGAAAUGAAAAGGAAGAUUAGUACAAAAAUAGCUAUUUGUUGUGGAAGGGCAAUGUCCAGAUUAUUUUACAAGUUUCCAAUCUCUACAGAUCCGUUCAAAUCUGUUCCACUGCAACGUCAGUGAAAUAACAUCCGUUGGCUUCAGUCUUAACGCAAGGGUGAUAAGACUGGUGUCUUCAAUCCACUCCACUGUAACUUCAGGGAGAUAGGAUUUGUGGUUUCACCGAUCUGUUUUCUAGGGAACAUGACCUGUAGAAUCCUUUUUAUGGGCCUAUUUAUGCCUAGUGAUUAGGAUGUUAUGAUCGGAAUGAAUUAAAAUCUCCUAAUCAAAUAUGCAUGCAUGAAUACAAAAUGUCAUGAAAAUAAUCCCCUAAUGUUUGAGUUGUUAUUGUUCAUUGUUCAUUAAGGAUUUAUUACCAACACAUCAGAACGCCAUCUUGUUCGGCUAGUAAAACUCAUAUCUUACUUAACCAGAUUGCGUCCACUAUAAUCUUCAAGGUUCAAUCCAUUGUAAUCUUCAAGGUUCAAUCCACUGUGCUUUUAGGACAUAAAAUUUAAACUAUCUUCCUCCCACUAUAAUUUAGGAAUAUAAGAUCUGGCUCUUUCUCAAUCCUCUCAUCCUGCAAUUCAAGGAUACAAGACCUGAAUCUCUUUGGUCUAUUACACUUUCCUAGAGUGUCAUACCAAAUGUUUAUGCACAAUUGUAGAACUUUCUUCUCCAAGAAAACAUAUUCUUAUCACUGGGUGAUCAUUGCUUGUUUGUUCAUUGAAGCUUUGUCACCAACACGGCAUCUUGUCAUUUUGUUCAAUCAACAUUUUGACAACAAAAUUUGAAGGGAUAGUCUUAAUUUAGACUUUUCCUUCUUAGAUAUUUCAACCUUUAAACUUGGUGCGUUCUAAACAAUAGUCCUGUUUUAGGUUCUUGUAUUAUUUAGAAACUUCUAGAGUAAUAUGCAAAACUUCCUUUGAGAAAGUAUUAUUAGUCCAUUAAUCAUCAUUCCAAUGCCACAUGCUUGCAAAAGAUCAUACCAAUGGAUAAAAAUAGAAUUGAUUUGGGAGCACGGUUCGAAAUGAAUAAAUUAUCAAAGAUAGUAAAAUAAAAGAGGAAUUAAGUAGGAACAUGUAUCUUGAAAAAUAAUGAAGUAUUCUAAGAACAACAAAUUCAAUAUAAAUAGUAUGAAGACUAGAUGCCCCAAAUAUCGUAGCUUGAGUUUCUCUGUACAAACUUUCUAAAGACCAUUCCGAGUUUGACAUGUGUUUAGGAGAUCUAUAGUACUUUGUCGCUGCCCCAAUAUGUCGCCUACCCUUUCUUGUUGAUUCAGGUAUAAGAAGAUCACCACAUGCCCCAAUUUGAUCAAAAUUUCAGCUGUUCUGAUCACCUCAUGUCCCAUUCUAAUAAAAGAUUUGAGCUGCCCUUUUUGAGUUUUCAACUCAAAUCCCCUUGGGUCUCAAUGCGCCCUUUGCAGGUUUUUACCUUGGCCUCUCCUUUUUCUUUUUUCUUUAUUAUUAUUAUUAUUUUUUAUGACUCAAAGCACCCUUUGUGGGUUUUCACCUUGAUCUCUCUUUUUUUUUAGAACUUAAGGCGCCCUUUGUGGGUUUUCACCUUAGUCCUUUUUAGGACUCAAAGCGCCCUUUGCGAGUUUUUGCCUUUGUCCCUUCUCUUUUUUUCAAGUGAAGUGUGUCUUGAUUGAGUCUAAGUUUACAAGAUUUGACAAGUUUUUACCAUCCAUCUUACUCAAAAUCAAAGCUCCUCCGGAAAAGGCUUUCUUUACAACAUAAGGUCUUUCCCAAUUUGGCAUCCAUUUCCCUCUAAAAUCUUUUUGUAGAGGGAGAAUCCUCUUCAACAUUAGGUCGCCCUCAUUGUAACACCCCUAACCCGUGACCGUCGCUGGAUUGGGUUUAUGAGGCAUUACCGAACCAAAAGCUUAAUUCUAAUUUUAAUUAAUAAAUGGUAAAUCCAAAACAAAAUGAAUCAUGCACUAUGUUAUAUAUAUAUAUAUAGCAUAGCAUAGCAAAAUCAAAUAUAAAAUUCAAGUAAACCAAAUUUGCAUGCUUAACAAUCAAGUGGAAUACAUAGACUAUCCAUUCAAAUAUAGUAAAGGUGUACAUUUAUCAGAUUUGAAUAAAAUUGAUAUUUCACUAUAUUUAUUCAAAUAUAUAAUCUUACCAUUUCCAAGAAACAUUAUAUAUAUUCAUUAAGAUAAUAUAACACUCACUCAAAUUUCAUAGUCAACCACACUUUUUUGGAAUUAAACAUGAACCAAAUAAUCUAUCUGUAUAUACAAUAUUUCCUAUUACCUAUUUAAUAAAUCUCAAAAUCUUAUUCAAAUAUUACAUAAAUUAAUCAAAUACAAUUACAACUUGAAUAACAAAUUAGGUUCUUAUACUAAUAAAUAUAAUAAAUAACAUGAAUUUAACCUUUAACCGAAUAUACAUGGCUUAUAAUAAAAUCAUAUGAUCAAACUAAUUUGUCCUAUUUAAAACCGAAUGCAAACCCAUGCAUAGCAAAUUUUCUUUACUAAAUAAUUAAAUUGAAGUGGCCAAAGUAAUACCAAUUCGUCUAGCGCAUAAUAUGCCUAAAUUAAAUCUAACAUCAAUCUAACCAAAUUGAUCAUCCAAUACCAAAGCAUAUAAAUCAUAUCAUUUACCUGUUUAAAUACAUAUAAUUGAACUAUCUAUAUAAAUGCAUGCGCAUAAAUGCUCAUGCUUAAACCAUUUCCAAAAUAUAUAUUUCAUUACAUUACCUUACAAAACUAAGCAUUUCAUUACCAGUUAUAUAUAUAUAUAUAUAUAUAUAUAUUAUAUGCUAUAAAAUAAAUAUCAAAUUAUAACUAUCGGCAAUUACAUUAAUUAAUCAAACAUAUACACCUAUAAUAUCAUUUAACAUCAAUUCCCAUGAAUUAAACAUACCAUUUGCAAUUUCAUAUCCAAACAAAUCACACAUAACAUUCACAUAUAUAAUACCAUCCAUAAAAUGCUUAAUCAUAAUCAAAAUAUGCCUAAACCAUAAUUCACCCAAACCGAUCACAACAAUCUAAUUAAGCCAUUUUCGCAUGGCUUUAAUUUAUACAUUUAGCAUAUGUAAGUCGAAUAUUUUACUACUAGAAUACAAGUAUAUUCAUCAUCAUCAUCAUAUAUAUAUCACAAUUAUGAUAAUAAGCCAAAAUCACUCAUAAUUUCAAACAUAUUUACACAUUAUAGACUUACUAAAUAAUCUUGAAUCAUCAAUUCAAUAUAAAACUUACCUUAAUUUCUUAACAUGGUAAUAAUACAUACCUGAACUUUUAAAUUUGUUUUCACAUUUGUUCUUAAAUUAACGAUGCCCGUUGAGCCGUUCUGCAUUGAAAAGGAUAUGCAAAUAGUCGGAAAGCUCGUACAAUGCCAACGUCCUAGAUGUGGUCUUACAUGUAUUUACAAAUUGAUGCCACUGUGCAAGACAGGGUCAUACACAUAAACACAAGUCGAUGCCAACAUCCCAGACGUGGCCUUACACGUAAUCACAAGUCGAUGUCAACGUCCCAGACGUGGUCUUACACAAAAUCACAUAUUGGAAAUCCUAUCUAUUCCUAAGGCUCGUACGGGGCUUCUGAUUAUUGAACCUAAUCAAAUCAAACUCAAAAAUACAUAUUUCUAGCUUAAUCAUAUUCGGCCAUCAUCAAAUAAAAUUCAUAAAAUUGAAUUUAUUAUGUGACCUAUGUAUAUAAUUAAAUUUAACAACAUUUAUAUGCUUACAGACUUACCUCGGAUGUCGUCGAAUAAUAAAUCGGCUACUCGACCACUUUUGUCUUUCCCCGAUCCAAAUCCGAUUUCUUUAAUUCUUGAUCUAAACAUAUUUAAAUUAAGCUUAUUUAAACACGAUUCUAUUCAAUUUAGCCUAAAAACACAUGAAUGGACAAAUUACAAUUUUACCCCUAACAUUUCCCACUUUUUACAAUUUAACCCUUUUUGCUCAAAACACAAAAUACACAAAAUUUGACUACACUCUUUAAGGGUCGAAUAUUCCUAGUGUCCACACAACUCCAUAUUUUUCAUUUAUUUAGCAUUUGACCCCUCAAUUUACGCUUUUCUUAAUUUAGUCCUUAAUACACAUUUUUAUCAAAAAAAUUACUAAUUAAAACAUGAAAAUCUAACUACAUAUAUUUAUUUUCCAUCAUCUAAAAACAAAAACAACAAGUUCUCUUCAAUGGCAUCUUACAAAAUACACAACAAAUACAAAAUUUCAAGCAUGGGCUUUAUAGUACUCGAAACAACGAUAUUAAAAACAUAAAAAUUAUCAAAAAUCGAAACAAAAUCUAACCUUAAUUAAGACUUGUAAUUGCCGAAUGUUCAAAGCUUUUUCUUUCUUUAUUUCUUUUGUAGUUUCGGUGAAAACAAAGAUGAACAAUAGCAUGGUUUUCUUAUUUUAUGUUUUAUUUUAUUAACAUAUAAUAAUAACAAACUAUUAUGUUACCAAAAUAACCUUUAAUAAAGAAUAUACAAAACAUAUAAUAUAAGGUCAUUCUUGACCAUUGCCAUCCACUAACUUAUAUAAUGUGCUAAUUGCAUCAUAGUAUAAAGACAACAACAAUUAGACACUUUCAUAUUUAACCACUAAAUUUUCAUUUUACGCGAUUAAAUCCUUUUUCUCAAAUUAAGCACUCAAACAAUAAAAUUAAUUCACGAAACUUUCACACAUGUAAAUUCACACAUAAUAAACACAGAAUAAAAAUAUUAAAAUAUUUUUUAGACUCGGAUGUCUGGUCCCGAAACCACUGUUCCGAUUAGGGUCAAAAUCGGGUUGUUACAACUCUCUCCCUUUAGGGAUUUUCGUCCUCGAAAAUCUUACCGGUGAAUAGCUGUGGGUAACAUUCUUUCAUUGCAUCCUCUGGCUCCCAGGUUGCUUCCUCAACUCUGUGCUUAUGUCACAGUACUUUGACUAACGGAAUUUUCUUAUUUCGUAAUUCUUUAACCUCACGAGCCAGAAUAUUAAUCGAUUCUUUUUCAUAUGACAUAUCAGACUUAAUUUCAAUCUCGGUAGGACUAAUCACAUGCAAAGAACCGGAUCUAUACCUAUGAAGCAUCGAAACAUGGAAUACAUUGUGAAUCUUUUCUAACUCAGGUGGCAGCAGCAAUCAAUAAGCAACUGGCCCGACACGCUUUAUAAUCUCAUACGGUCCAAUGAAUCUCGGACUCAAUUUGACUUUACGACCGAAUCUGAGUAUUUUCUUCCACGAUGAUACUUUUAAAAAAACUUUAUCUCCAAUCUGAAACUCUAUAUAUUUUCUUUUCAAGUCUGCAUAUGAUUUCUGACGAUCCGAUGAUGUUUUCAGAUUAUCGCGAGUCACUUUCACUUUCUAUUCAGUUUCUUUAAUCAAAUCGACCCUGUGUAUCUUAUUUUCACUGAGUUCAGUCCAAUACAAUGGUGUACGACAUUUACGACCGUAUAAAGCCUCGUAAGGUUGCAUUUUGAUACUAGAUUGAAAGCUAUUAUUAUAUGACAAUUCAAUCAAAGGUAAGUAUUGUUCCCACGUACCUUCAAACUCAAGAAUGCAACUUCUCAACAUAUCCUCAAGUAUCUGAAUGAUUCGUUCGACUGUUUCUGGAUGGAAAGCUGUGCUAAAAUGUAGUUUCGUACCUAAAGCAUCUUGUAGUUUCUUUCAAAACCGCGAUGUGAACCUCGGGUCUCUGUCCGAAACAAUAGAAAUAGGCACACCAUGCAACCUCACAAUUUGAGAAAUGUAUAAUUCAGCAAGUUUAUCAAGUGAAUAAUCAGUAUGGACUGGAACAAAGUGAGCUAAUUUUGUCAAUCUAUCAAUAAUAACCCAGAUUGCAUCUUUCUUGCUCGGUGUCAACGAUAAACCAGAUACAAAAUCCAUCGUGACUCGGUCUCAUUUCCAUUCAGGUAUCAUGAUCAGCUGAAGCAACCCAAAAGGUAACUGAUGCUCGGCUUUUACUUGUUGACAUAUUAAACAUUGUGAAACAAAGUCAGAAAUAUCUCGCUUCAUACCGCGCAACCAAUAGUGCUAUUUUAGAUCAUUAUACAUUUUCGUGCUACCCGGAUGAAUAGAUAAUCGACUAUUAUGAGCUUCAUUCAAGAUCAUAUGAAUUAAGUCUGAAUUUUUCAGAACACAUAGUCGGUUUCUGAAUCUCAAACAAUCCUCAGCAUCAACUAGAAACUCUGAAUCAACAUUCAAAUCACACUGAGCCCGUUUUGCAAUUAAAUCAUUAUCAUCUUUCUGAGCUUCACAAAUAUAUUGAACAAAUAGCGGUUUUACUUUCAACUCAGCUACCAUUGCACCAUCAUCAGACAUAGCUAUAUGCGCGUUCAUUGCACGCAAAGCAAAUAAUGAUUUUUGACUUAAGGCAUUCACAACAACAUUAGCCUUUCCCGAAUGAUAAUCAAUCACAAGCUUAAAAUCUUUUAGCAACUCUAACCACCGUCGCUGUCUCAAAUUUAGGUCCUUCUGAGUCAUCAAAUAUUUCAAGAUUUUGUGAUCAAAAUAAGCAUGACAUUUUUCACCGAAUAAAUAGUGGCGCCACAUUUUCAAACCAAACACAAUAACGGCCAAUUUGAGAUCAUGCGUCGGAUAGUUCUUUUCAUGUGGCUUCAACUGUCUCGAGGCAUAAGCUACAACUUUGCCUUCCUGCAUCAAAAUAUAGCCCAAACCGUUCAAAGAUGCAUCACUAAAAAUAACAAAUUCUUUACCUGUCUCUAGCUGAACUAGUACUGGAGCUUCGGUCAAAAGGACUUUCAACUGAUCAAAUCUUUUCUGACACUUUUCUGACCACUCGAACUUAACAUCUUUUUGUAGCAACUUCGUCAUCAGGGUCGCAAUCAUAGAAAAACCUUUCACGAACUGUCUAUAAUAACCAACGAGUCCCAAAAGACUUCAAACUUCAGAGACAUUUCUCGGAGGUUUCCAAUCAAGUAUAGCUAAAAUUUUACUUACAUCAACCCGAAUACCCGAUGCUAAUACAAAAUGGCCCAAAAAACUGACUUCGCAUAACUAGAACUUACAUUUACUAAACUUUGCAUACAAUUGUUUAUCUCGCAAAGUUUGUAACACAAGUCUUAGAUGUUCAGCAUGUUUGAUUUCAUCACGAGAGUAGAUCAAAAUGUCAUCUAUGAAUACUACCACAAACUGAUCCAGAUACUAUCUAAAGAUUCGAUUCAUCAAAUCCAUGAAAACAGCAGGUGCAUUAGUAAGCCUGAAAGGCAUAACCAGGAAUUCGUAAUGUCCGUACCUCGUUCAGAAAGCUGUCUUUGGCACAUUAGAGUCUUUAACUCACAACUGAUAGUAACCCAAUCUCAAAUCUAUCUUCGAAAACAUUGAAGCCCUUUUUAGCUGAUCGAACAAAUCGUUAAUACGUUGCAAUGGAUAUUUAUUAUUUAUAGUCACCUUAUUGAGCUGCCGGUAAUCAAUACACAUUCUCAUCGUUCCAUCUUUCUUUCUCACAAAUAGUACUGGUGCACCUCAAGGAGAGAAACUCGGUCGUGCGAAACCUUUAUCUGUCAACUCUUACAACUAUUCUUUCAUCUCUUUUAAUUCAGUCGGUGCCAUACGGUACGGAGCUGUCAAAAUUGAAGUCGUCCCUGGUACUAAAUCAAUACCAAACUCUACCUCUCGAAUAGGUGGCAAACCCGACAAUUCUUUGGGAAACACAUAUGAAUAGUCACACACAAUCGGCAAGGAUUCAAUCUUUUUUCAGUCACUUUACUAUCAAGAAUAUAUGCAAGGUAAGCUUUACAACCUUUUCUCACAUACUUUUGAGCCAACAUCGAGGAUAUUACUGCUGGUAAACCAUUUAGAUCUUUAGAUUCAAUCUAAAUAAUCUCGUCGUUCUGGCAUCUUAAAUCGAUAGUCUUUCUUUUACAGUUAACCACAGCAUCGUGUAAAGUCAACCAGUCCAUACCCAAAAUAGUAUCGAACUCGUCAAAUGGCAACAACAUCAAAACAGCCGUAAAACGUAAAUCUCGAAUCAUCAACGGACAAUUCUUACACACUUUAUCAACCAAAACACACCGGCCCAAGGGAUUUGAUACUCUAAUCACAAACUCAGUAGACUCAACAAGCAAAGUCUUACUAGAUACUAAAGUCUCACACACAUAUGAAUGAGUCAAACCAAGAUCAAUCAGUCCAAUAACAUUAGUAUCAUAGAGAGUGAAAGCACAGUAAUAACGUUUGGGAAUGAAGCCUCUUUACGAGCGCGUAUAGCAUAUGCUCUGGCAGGUGCGUUAGCCUCAGAUCUAACAGUUGUAUCUUUGGUCCCCCUCUGACUGCCACUCAUAUUACCUGUGUUUCUGGGUGGUCUACCUCUAGCUGCAGUGUUACCCGAUCUCGUAUUUUGUACCGAAUUUUGAUCCACUAACUCUGGGCAUUCACGAAUGAAAUGAUCCCUCGAUCUACAUUUAAAAUAGGCUCGAUCAUGUAAUCUCUAACUACCAGAAUGUCGUUUACCACAAUGUUCACACUCGGAUUGAUUUGACCUGACAUUACCCACACUCGCUACUGAAGUAGCUCUCGAGCUCACAGGUGGUCUAUCCAAAUCCCAUCGUGAAUACCCCACAACAGUCUUUGAACGGCUAGUAUCAUCUCGAAACUUCUUUGAGGUCGACUGAAAUGGCUUACAAAAUAACCUUUUACAAAAAUCUCUGGCUUCAAAGUCAGCUUUUCUCUUCUCUUUCCCGAGUUAUUCGGCUUUGUAAGCUCGUUUAACAAGUACCACAAACUAUUUUAUCUCAAGUAUGCCAACUAACAGUUUAACAUCUUCAUUCAGCCCAUCUUCAAAUCUUUUACACAUAAUAGCUUCAGUCGAAACACACUCUCGGGCAUACCUACUGAGUCUCACAAAUUUCCGCUCAUAUUCUGUCACUGUCAUCCGACCCUGUUUCAAUUCAAGAAAUUCCUUGCGUUUCUGAUCAAUGAAUCUCUGGCUGAUGUAUUUCUUACGGAACUCAGACUGAAAGAAUUCGCAGGUCACUUGCUCUUUCGGACCCACUGAUACUAGUGUAUUCCACCAGUGAUAUGCAGUGUCCCGUAGCAAAGAUAUGACACAUUUUAAGCACUUGUCAGGGAUGCAAGAUAACUCGUCAAACACUCGAAUAGUAUUAUUUAGCCAGAAUUUAGCUCGCUGAGCAUCAUCAUCAUCAGUGGCUCUGAACUCUUUGGCCCCGUGUUUUCGGAUUUUAUCAACAGGAGGCUUUAGUAAUCUCAACGAAUCACUCACUUGAGGUAUAACAGGAAUCAAAGAUGGAUUAAUCGAGGGUGGAGGGCAAUCAUAUAACUACAAAAAAUACAUAAAACAAAAAAAAUAAUGUCCUAAAAAAACAUAGGUGGUAUAGGUAAUAUAAAUAAAAAAAAGACUUAUUUUUAUUGAAUCAAUAUCUAUAAUAAUAUAUAGAGUUUUACAUAUAAUAUAAACUAGGCAUAUUCAAACUCAAAAUUUUAUCUACAUAUGAGAACUUUUAUAAAAAAAAAUAUAUUCACUCAUUAAAGACAAAUGUAAAUUUUUUGUACCCCACAAAUGGAACUAAGCACAAUAACAAUGCAAAAUUAAGCAGAAAGGUCGUCAUAUUAACAAAAUUAAUAUAUAAAUUUAUGAAUGUGUCAUAAAUUUAAAAUAUAUAUAGCUAACAGGAAAAGAUCAAUUUCAUGCAAAAAAACAGUUAAAAAGGGAUAAUAACAACCAAAUAGAGAUCAGUUUCAUGCAAUCAAAAUGAUUUCUUAUUUAAUUUAUAAUUAAUUUAAAUGUUUCAUUGAUACUCGAUGAAGUGUAAUCCGUAUUUGCUCCAGAAAGCAUUUUGAUAUCUGCAUAAUUUAAAAAAAUUACAUAAAAUAAAUAUAAUUAAUUACUAUAUUACAAUAACUAUAAAAUAUAAAAUUACAAAAUAAAAACUAUAAAUAACUUACUUUUUUUUUCUCUUUUCUUCCUUCCUUUUACAAAAUAUUUGAAGGGGCGACCAAACCCCACCUUCUUAAAUAGAAUGUUCUUCUUCUUAAAUAAUGUUCUUCUUCUCUUUUUUUCUUUUUUAACUAACAAUUAAGCUAAUGACUAGUCACAUCGCUAAUGUCACUUAGAGGUGUGCAAAAUUUGGGUAAAAUCGAAAAAAUUCGAUUAAUCUAUCGAAUUCGGUUAAUCGGUCGGUUAACCGAAUUUUUUCGGUCGAGGCUCGAUUAAUUAUUUUUUAAUUUUUCAGUUAACGGUUAAUUCGGUUCAAAACCGGUCGGUUAACCAAAUUUUUUCAGUUUAACCGAAAAAAUUAAUAAAUAAAAUUAUAAUAUAUAAAUAAGCCCACUAUUCACCUAAAUCCAAUCCAAACCCAAGUAUCCAACCUAACCCAAUUACCCAAUCAUAAAAAUUACAAAUAAAUUAAUAAAUAAAAAUAAAAAAAUAUAAUUUUCGGGUAAUUCGGGUAAUUCGGUUAAUUCGGUUAAUUUUUAACCAAAAAUAAAAAUAUAUAUAAUUUCGGUUAACCGACCGAAUUAACCGAAAAAUUUUGGUUUGAUUUAUAUUUUUGAAUAAAUUUCGAUUCGGUUAAUGUUAUUUUAGGUCAGUUAACCGACUGAACACCCCUAAUGCCACUGACACGAUGUGACCAGUUAAAAUAUAUAUUUUUUUAUUUUCUAAUAUAUAAAAAAUUUCUAAUAUAUAUUUUUAAUCCUUUUUUAACCAAUAAAUUAUUUUUUUAUUUUUUCCAAUCAAUUCAAUUUUCACUUUUUUAAAUAAAAUAUUUUUUAAAAAAAUUUAAAUAGAAUUUUAGAAAAACGUUUGAAUAUCUUUAAAAAUAAUUUUAAAAAUCAUAAUUUUAAAAAAUAAUUUUAAAAAAUAUAUAUUUAAAAUUAAAAAUUAUAUUUAAAAUUUUUAAAAUAUGCAUUUAAAAUAUUAUAAAAUAAAUAAUAAAUUUGAAAGAUCAUAUCUUUAAAAAUAAUAUAUUUUAAAUAUUUUAUAAUAUUAAAAAAUAAUAUUUAAAAUUAAAAAUAAUAUAUAGUUUUAAAAAAAUAAUAUUAUAAAACAUUUCAAAUAUACAUUUCAAAUUUUAUAAAACCAAUAAUAAAUAAAACAAAUAAAAUAAAUAAAUAAAGGACAAAUAAAAAACUUAAAAAGUAAAUAAAUAAAAAGUUUAAAAAGAAAAAUGAAAAAGGACAAAGAAUCAGAGAAAAAGAAGUAACGAAUGAAAAAAAAAUAUUUAGGUUGUUUCAAUAGGACAAGGAACCCGCUAGUAUCUUAGAAUUUGGUAGCAUAAAUUUAUUUGGAUCACCAGAAAAGGAUAAAAUUGCUUAAAUAUUUUACUUUUAAAAAUUAUAAUAUUUCUCUAAUAUUUAUACAAGUUGUGUUAUUUUACAUGGCUCCACUAAAAAAAAUGAUUUAUUAAUGUAGAUUGCUGACGUGCAAAACACUUUGGCUCCUCUAACUUGUACCGUAAAUUUUUUAUUAUUUUCAAUUUUUAUGAAAAAAGGGUUAUUUAAGUAAUUAAUUAAAUUUUUGAGUUAUUUUUAUAAAAAAAGAGCAUAGUAAUUAAUUAAGCUAGGUAUUCCUUUUUCACACAAAGAAGAAAAAUGAUAGAAAAUAUAGGGUUGUGGUCGUAGAUAAAUGAUUAUAACGUGAUAUGAUCUGCUUCGCAUUAGUCCAUCACCUUAUCUUUAUGUUUUUGUCUUGGUCAUGAAUCACUUUGGCCUUUGUCUGCAAGUACUGUCUGUCCUACUAUCCUGCAUCUGAUUUUCUCUGUCUUUUGGGUCUAUUUGAAUCAUGCUGAAGUAAGAAAACUGUUUUUAAAGUAUAAAAGUUGAUAAUUAUAUUAGUUUAUUUCUUUAUAAUUUUUUAAAUUUUUAGAGAUAAUAAAUUAAAAUUUUAUAUUUUUGAGGAUAAACUAGAAUUUUAUAAUGGCUUAAAUAAUAGGUUUUCAUUUUAGGAGGUCUAAAGAGUAUUUUUCUUUUUAAAGGAGCCACAACCCUUGCUUACUUUGGUCACCUUCUAUGGUGACCAGAUUCAUUCCAGUGAGAUUAAAAACAAUAGUGGUGGUGAGAUUAAUUACUAUAAUAAUGAGAUUAUUAAAAUGAGAUAGAUUAUAGAUUUAUAGUAAAAAGGAAAAAUGACCAUUAUAGACAUUAAACUAAAAUUAAACUAAAGAAGUUUACACCAUUCCGUAUAUUUUUGUACGAUUAAUAUUUUAAAGAUAAAAACACCAUAUUUCAUAUUUCAUUUAUAUAAAUCAUGCAUGUGAAAUUUCACGUAAAUUAAAAAAAUUUAACUAGUUGUUUUAUGUAAAAUACUUUUAAUCUUUGAAUGAAUGUUAAUACAUACAAUAUUUUAGAUGGAUAGAUAAAAAUAUCGAAUCAAUUGAGAAUUUACAAUAAUAUCAACAAAUUCAAUGAUUGGAUUGUUAAGUUAAGAAUCAUGUAAAAAUAUAUGAAAGCGUGUAAAAUUACUUUAAUUUCGCAGUAGUAUAAGCAAAUUCUUUUUUUAAUAUAUAAAAUUAAUUAUAUAAUUUAAAUUUAUGUAUUUAACAUUAUUUAUAAAUAUAUUAUUUGAAAGUAAUGAAAUAAAAUAAAUAUUAUAAAUAAAAUUAUUAAAAAAUAGUAUCUAUUAUUGAAUUAAAUUAACCAUUCUUUAAAAAAGAGUGAAAAUUAUUUUUUUAAAUGCAUAGGGUUUUAUUUUUAAAAAAAUUUAAGAUUUAGGUAUAAAAGAUAAACAUAAAGUGCAUAGGGCUUUAUUUUUUAUUUUUUAAAUAAUAUUGUUUUCGGCUCACAUGCAGUUUAUUUAGUUAGGUGAAGUAUACCUAACUCAAAUUUUAUAAAAAUGAUAAAAGGCAUGUGAUUUAGUAACACAAAUAUUUUAUUCUCAAUUUUAAUUCGGUUUUUUUAUUUAAAAUAGUAAAGGAUGUAGAUACCUUUAUAAAUUUGCACCUUUUAUUUUAUACUUUAGUCCUUUCUUAAUUUCAUUUAGUGAUUUAUUGUAUACAGUGACGGAGCAUAGUGAAGAUUAGGUAGCAUGACAUCCUUUAAAAUGGUAAAUUUUUUUUAUUUAAGCUCUUUAUAAUUUAUAAAAUUUUAAAUUAGUAAUGGUAAAAUUGUACUUUAACCCUCCAAAGAUGAUAAAAAUUUGAUUUAACCCUUUAAAAAUUACAAAUAUAUAGACUAUUAAAAAUUACAAAUUACAAUUUAAUCCCAACCUCCAAAAACAGUUAGGCUCCGCCAGUUAAUUAAUUAUAUUAAAUUCGAUAAAAAUUUUAAGUAGAAUUGAAAAAAUAUGUGUUUUAUUUAAUAAUAAUACUUUUGAAUGGGUUGAAUUGGCAAGAGUUAAGGUGUGGACACUACACCAAAACAGGUCUUUAGCGGCAUAUUUUGUGGCGCUUGGACGAAAAACGCCGCUAAAAACCGAUCAUUAGCGGCGCAAAGACCUAAACGCCAUAAAAGAACAUCAUUAGCGGCGUUUACCACAAUGCGCCGCGAAAUCUCUUAACCAAAACGCUGUGUUUUCGUCUUGAUGUAUCUUAAAAUUAGUGGCGUUUACGCGAAACGCCAUUAAAGGACAGUAAUAGCGGCGCUUUCUGGAAACGCCGCAAAAUAGCUUAACCAAAACGCAGAGUUUGGUCUUGAGGUAUCUUAGAAUUAGUGGCGUUUAUAGGAAAACGCCGUUAAAGUACAGUAAUAGCGACGCUUUAUGGAAGCGCCGCAAACUAUCUUAAGCGAAACACAUCGUUUUGGUCUUGAUUUAUACUAGAACUAGUGGCGCAUAUGGUCAAACGCCGCUAAAGAAUAGUAUUAGCGGCGAUUUGUAGCUAGCGCCACAAAAUAUCUUAACAAAAACGCAGCGUUUUGAUCUUAAUGUAUAUAAAAUUAGUGGCGCUUACGGUAAACCGCCGCUAAAGAAUAUUAAUAGCGGCGCUUUGUGAGAAGCGCCGCAAAAUAUCUUAACCAAAACGCAUAAUUUUGGCCUCGAUGUAUAGUAGAAUUAGUGGCGCUUAGUGAAACGCCGUUAAAGCAUAGUAUUAGCGGCGAUUUGUAGCUAGCGCCGCAAAAUAUCUUAACAAAAACGCAGUGUUUUGAUCUUAAUGUAUAUAAAAUUAGUGGCGCUUACGGUAAACCGCCGCUAAAGAAUAUUAAUAGCAGCAAAAUAUCUUAACCAAAACGCAUAAUUUUGGCCUCGAUGUAUAGUAGAAUUAGUGGCGCUUAGUGAAACGCCGUUAAAGCAUAGUAUUAGCGGCGCUUGGAUAAAAGCGCCACCAAGUAUCUGAACCAAAACGCAUCGUUUUGGUCUUGAUGUAUACUUGAUUUAGUGGCGAUUUCGGUAAAACGCCGCUAAAGCAUAGUAUUAGCGGCGAUUUGUUGAUAGCGCCGCGACUUACCAUAAACAAAACGCAACGUUUUGGUCUUAAUUUAUACUAAAAUUAGUGUCGCUUUGUUGAAAGUGCCGCAAAAUAUCUUAACAGAUUUUUGGGUUUUAACCAUGCAUUAUGUAAUGUAGGUUACUAUAUAUUUAGUUUAUCAUAUUUGGUUUAGGUAUAGGGUAUUAGGGUUCAUUAUAUAAUGUUUAGUAUUUUUGGAUUACAGUGUAAAGUUUAAAGUUUAGGGUUUACGAUGUAGGUUUAAGGUUAGGGUAUUAGGGUGUUUAGGGUUUAAGGUUUAGGAGUCUGGGGUAUAAGGUUUAAAGUUUGGGGUUUAGGCUACUUUAGUCAUGUUAAUAGGUUAAUAUUGUUUCGGAUUUUGGGGUCUGGUUGUUGGUUUUAGAGUUUAGGGUUUAACGAUUUAGUAGCUUAAGAUUUUAGGGUUUAAAAGUUUAGAGGUUUAGGGUUAAAUCCUAAAAGCGUGCAUGAACAACAGUUUAAUGUUCAAUUGUAUACAUGAACUUUAAUUUGAUCUAAAUAUUGUAAAAUAUUAACACAAUUAUUGAUAUAAUUAACAUCAUUUUAAUUUACGUAUAUUGCAUACAUAAAUAUUUAUAUUUAUUCAAUAUAAAAAUAUAUUUUGAUGUAAAAUUUUUUAUAGAUCAUGAAAUAAAUUUUUAAAAAUGCAUUAUUCUCCCAUUUUUUAUUAAUUGAUAAUUUCAUUUUAUAAAUUUUGUUUUAAUUUUGGAUCAAUUUGGCUUGAAUCUUGGAUGAAGGCAUUAGCGGCGCUUGAGCAAAAGACGCCGCUAAAGGUGAUGUAUUACCGGCGUUUUAUGAAGAAACGCCGCCCAUUUCCUUAAGUGUAACAAAGACACGGUGCCGUUUUUUGUUUUCAUUUAGUGGCGCAUUUGGAAAACGCCACAAAAAUUUAUAACGAGUUGAGGAAACGGCGUCGUUUCCUAUUUUUAUUAGUGGCGCUUUUGCUAAUGCGCCGCAAAAAUGUUACGGUAUAUAAGUGAAAACGGCACUGUUUUAUUCUGAACUUGGAAUUUUAGUGUCGUUUUUAUUUAAAACGCCGCAAGUGUGGACUCAAUAACGGCGUUUGUUCUCAACGCGCCGCAAAUCUGACUUAAAAAUUUCUUAAACGGCGUCGUUUCUUAAGGGGACAUUUAACUUAAUACCCUUCUCUCGUCCUCCAAAAACAGAAAGAGUGAAUUUGCAGACCUCAAGUGUCGAAAGGGAACAAAUUUCAGACUUCUUACAAAGGAAAAAAGAAGGUUGGGGUCGGUCUUGAAAGAAGUUUGGCACAGCUGCGAGAUUUUUCGAUUAAAUAGGUAAGGCGUUUCUGUUAUUUUUGGAUUAAAUUUUUAGGGUUUUAGGUCAGUCAUAGUUAUUUGGGGUUUUAGGGUUUCGAUUAAACAACUUCAACAAUGUACUAUUCCGAUUAAAUAUGUAAGGCGUUUCUGUUAAAUAGGUAAGGCGUUUCUGUUAUUACAGCCACUUAUGGAUUUGAGUUUCAUAUUCUGAUUUCUGGUAUUGAUUUGUGGUAUUGAAAAAAUUUAUAUUACAGCCACAAUAUUGAUUUGUGGUAUCAAUUUACUAUUCUGAUUUAGAUUAUAGCACAUGAGAGGGUGGCAAAAUUUAUAUUCCGAUUUAGAUUAUAGCACAUGAAUUGGAAGGGAUGGAUAAAAAUAAAUAAAUGAAUUGCUAUGGAUUCUCUUGAGGAUGUAAAAUCCGAAUUGGUUGGUCAAUUAGAAUUAGAUUAUGUUGUUAUGUGCAGAAAUAAUUGAGUGGAUUUGAAAUAAUUUGUUUUUGAUUAUGUUGUUAUGUUCUGAAAUAUGCUUUGGAUUUGAAAUAAUUUCUGAGUCUGAAAUAAUUUGUUUUUGAUUAUGUUGUUAUGUUCUGAAAUAUGCUUUGGAUUUGAAAUAAUUUUUGAGUCUGAAAUAAUUUGUUUUUGAUUAUGUUGUUAUGUUCUGAAUUAUGCUUUGGUUCUGAAAUCUGGAUCUGGUUUUUGUCUGCGUUGCUUUCUUAGCUUGCUGGGUUGGAGCUCGUUUCAUUGCUGCCAAAUUUGGAUAUUCUUUGGCGUGGAGGUAAAUUUUGUAAAGGCAAAUUUUAUGUUGCAAAUAAAAGGUUUUUAGUUAAUCAUCUUUAGUUAAUCAUCUUGCUGUUCGUGGUAGUUAUAUACCCGUUGCAUUUUGGUCAGCCUGUCAUGUAUUAUGCAAAUCCCGAAAUGGUUUUAAGCAAGUGGACUUUGUUUAUUUAGUUAUGCACAUAAUACUUUCAUAUUUUAUUUGUUGUAGAAGUUGGUAUCUCACAGUUUCUCAUCAAAUGUAUGCGAGUAGUAUCGAAUGCAAAUUGUUUUAACAGCCAUUUGAUCAAUUGUUCUGUUUUUUUCUAAUAUUCCUUUAUAACAUAUUGGAAGAUAUGUUAUGUUUUAACUUAAUAUAUUUGAAACAUAAUAUCUUAUGCCUCACAAAAUCCAAUUUUUGAUGAUUGUCUUAUUUUAAAUAAUGCUUCCAAUCAAUGGUAUGUGUAUUAUUUAAACAAAAUCCACGAAAUAAAAAUUACUUACUAAAACUUGUAAUUCAAAAUUUAAUUUCAAGUCCAAAUUAAUAUUUUACUUAAAUAUAUUACUUACAAUUUAAUUUAACUUAUUAAAUAUAUAUAUUGUUAAGUAAUAAUUUUUUGAAAUUUAUAUCUUAGAUUACUUAAAUAUAUAUUUUUAAGUAUAUUUUACAUGACUUACAUUACUUACUAAAACAUAUUUUUUACUAAAAUUUACUUGAAUAUAUUAAUUAAAUAAAUUACUAAUAAAGAUUGCUUAUGUAAGCUAUAUUUAAAUUUUAAAUUUAAUAAAUUAUUUAUAACAAUUAUUUAAAUUUAAUAAAUAAUUUAAAAAUUAUUUAAAUUUUAUUAAUAAUAAAUUUAUAACUUAAAUAAGUAUUACUAUUUUUUUAAUAUUAUACAUAUAUUCAUUUAGGUAUGUAAGCUAUAUUUAAAUUUUAUUAAUAAUAUUUAAACAUAUUUUGUUGUCAAAUUAGUGACACAUAUACCUCUCCACGAAUUAUUCAGUGGAAGAUUAGUUUAAAAGCAAAGAUUGCUUAUAUAAGCUAUAUUUAAAUUUUAUUAAUAAUAAAUUUAUAACUUAAAUAAGUAUUACUAUAUUUUUAAUAUUAUACAUAUAUUCAUUUACAUAACACAUAACUUACAUAACUUUCAUAAUACACAACUUACGCAUCUUACAUAAGACAUAACUUACAUGUGUAAAUAAUACAAAAAUUACAUAACUAACAUAAGACAUAACUUACAUAAGUUUCAUAAUACACAUCUUACGCAACUUACACAACUUACAUAACUUACAUAAGUUUCAUAAUACACAUCUUACGCAACUUACACAACUUACAUAACUUACAUAAUGUAUAUCUUGUUGUCAAAUCCUAAACCCGUGCAAUUUAUUGUCAACGUCAGACUUCAAGAAUUAAAAAAUGGACCGGUCUUGGAUGAAUUUGUCAAGGGUAAGCGACGGUUAUCGAAAUGGGGUGCAGAGUUUUCUAAAUUUUGCAUUUCAAUAUGCAAGCCAAGAGAACAUGAUUCUUUGCCCGUGCAAGAAGUGUGUCAACAUAAAUUGGCAUUAUCGUGAGGUUGUAUACGAGCAUCUAAUUGUUGAUGGGUUUGUUCGGGGUUAUAAACAAUGGUUAUUUCAUGGUGAAUGCCCGCGUAGUACUUCCUCUUCAAGUAUGGAUGUAACUUAUCCUGAUACUGCUUACCAUCAGUCUGGUAGAGGGGAUGACAUGGAAGGUAUGUUGCGGGAUGCAUUUAAUAUGCACAAUCAUGGUGUUGAAUCAUUCCCAGCGGACUUUAUGGCCUCUGAUGAUUGUAAUAUUGGUGGAAAUACUUUUACCGAACCGGGAAGUAGUGUACGUCAUGAAGAGCCGAAUGGAGAAGCGGCGAAGUUCUACGCGCUACUUAAUGACAUGAACGAAGAACUGUAUGAGGGAUCAAAAUUUUCAAAGAUGUCCUUCUGUGUUCGUCUUUUUCAAUUAAAGUGUUUGGGAGGGUGGACGGGAAACUCGUUGACGAUGCUGUUAGAGUUUUUGAGAGAAAUGUUCCCGCUUGCAAAAAUCCCUCGGUCCUGCAAAGAUAUGAAGAAGAUGAUAAAAGAUUUAGGCCUUGGGUAUAACAAAAUCCAUAGUUGCCCAAAUGACUGCAUGUUGUAUUGGGGCGAUCGGAGAAACCAACAGUGCUGUCAUGUAUGCGGCCACUCUCGUUGGACAAGUAGAAACACAGAAGAUGGGAACGACGAUGAAAAUGAUGCACAGUCACGGAAGAAGCCAGCCAAGAUUUUACGGUAUUUUCCGUUGAUACCAAGGCUUCAAAGGCUUUUUUUAUUGUCGAAGACAGCGGAGUCAAUGACAUGGCACCAUGAUGGACGAACCGUUGAUGGAUUACUAAGUCAUCCGGCAGAUUCUUUAGCUUGGAAAUCAUUUGACAAUAAAUUUACAAGCUUCGCAAGCGAUCCUAGGAGUGUGAGGCUUGGGCUAGCAUCUGAUGGAUUUAAUCCUUUCAAGAUCAUGAGUACAAACAAAUAUUGAGAUCUCGUUUGCGCUCCCGAAGAACACAACAUCGAGAUAUCAAUAAGUUGUUUACAGAAUCAUUUUAUGAAUGGUUAAGCCAAAUGGUAUGCAGUUCGAGCUUCCGCUUACAAAUAAUAAUAUUUUCUCAUAACAAAUGAAUUACUCAGUUUACUUUCCAUUCAAUAGGUUUGGAGCGGGAAGAACAUAAACGACGAUGUUAAAUGGCUCUCCCAAGGUCCAAAUCGAGUGGUUAAAAGAUAUAGUGCGUUCCUCAUCAACGGAUUCAGAUUUCAUACAAAAUAUCGCGAGAGGUUGAGGAGAACGCAAAAUUGUGGAAUUGUUGUCAAUUCUGCAAUUACGAGUUAUGCUAGUGCUAGGGACAAUAAUCCUGUCGAGGGAAAUGUGGAAUAUUUCGGACAACUUACUGACAUAAUUGAGUUGGAUUACUACGGCAAAUGGAAAGUUGUCUUAUUUCGUGGUGAUUGGGCCGAUGUUAAUACAGCUCGUGGAAUUAAGCAAGAUCAAUUUGGUUUUACAAUGGUGAACUUUGACCGAUUGAUUCACACAGGACAACAACUGAUAGAUGAGCCGUAUGUAUUCUCAUCUCAAGUCAAACAAGUUUUUUACUCAAAAGAUCCAACUGAUGAGGGUUGGUACGUUGUACUCCGUAACAUCCCUAGAGACUUGUUUGAUAUGGGCAGUGGAAGUAGAGAUAACAUCGAAGAUAGAUCAGUAACUUUACCCUUUCCAGAACUAAACUUAAACGAUAAUAUCCCUAGUACUAGUGCACAAUUUGGAUGGGUUCGUCAGGAUACCGAUGAAGAUAUUUACGAAUAAUGAUGUAGACACAUUUUACGAUUGUUUAAUUAUAUAUAAUAUCAUAAUUUAAAUCUUCGUCUUAUUAUAUGUUUCAACUGUUUUAUAUGUGCUGUUAUUGUUGUAAUUAGCUAUUAAGUUAUUAACUAUUUUAUGUGUAUUGUAGAUAAAAUGCCUAGAAGAAAAAUUCUAAGGGGAAGCAUUGUUCAAAAUAAUCCAAACUCGACAGAAACUAAUAGUACUGAACAACAGACAGCAGUUGGAUCUUCAAAUGUUCCGAUUACAGCUGAGGAUCCUACAGAAGUUCAAAGUAAUUUUUCAUUUAAUUUACAUGCGUGUUUCUGUUAUAGUUGAUUUAUUUUUCAAAUUCUUAUAUUAUAAUAUACCAUUUGUAGCUGAAAAUGGUGGGACGCGCAGAGGUCGAGGACGUACGCUACUUAGAGAGUUGUACGAGUUAGAUUCAGUCGAGCGUGUCAAAGUUGGACGAAACAGUUUUGGUCAGCCUGUUGGAUCAGAAGCUCGACUUUUAGCUGGAUACAUGGGCAUUUUAGCACGAAAUCCGAAUAUGUUACCUAUAAACUACGAGUCAUGGCAUCAAAUGCCCGAUAGCAACAAAAACCAAGCCCUCGAUAAUAUUAAGGUAACAAAAUGUUAAUGUCAUCUAUAAUGCUUGGGAAAUAGUUUCAUUUAUAUUUAUUUUAUUAACUUGUGUUUUUUGUUUUUUGCAGGCGAGGUUUGCUUUAGAGGUCUCGGAUGCUUAUGUAAAGAAGGCAUUGGGAAAAAGAUGGAGAGACAACAAAAGUACUUUGAAGAAAAAUUAUUAUAAGACAAAAACAACCCUCGAUGAGAAAUUGCAAAAUGUCCCGCUGGGUAUGUUGAGGUACCAAUGGGAAGAUGCGGUUAGAUUUUGGCAUUCGAAUAAAGGCGAGGUCUUCUAAACUAUUGUAAUUAUUUUGGUUUAUAGUAUUUUCUAUUUACGUACUAAAAAAUUUCAUAAUGUAGGAUCGUGAUCAAGUUGGAAUAAGCAGCAGGCAGAAACAAAAAUUCACCCACACAGCCGGGUCGAGAAGUUUCGCAUGUGUAGCUGAGGCGGAGGUAUUUUUAAAUUUUUUAAUAUUGUCGAAUAUGUAUAACUUUCUAUUAAAUAAUAUUUAUACUACUAUAUUGUAGGAACGGUCGUCCGGUCAAAAAGUUGGACGCCUUCAACUUUUUGAAAUUACACAUAGGAAGAAAGAUGGAUCUCCCAUGACUCCUGAAGCUGCUGAAAUAAUGGUACGUUUACUUAAUACGAUUUGACUUAUUUUAGUUAUUUAUAGUGUUUAUUUUCUAAUGGUUUAAUUCAUUGCAGUUAAUGCGACUAUUGUUAUGUUGCAUAUGUUUUUCAAUAUAUAAUAUUGUGUUCCUAACUAUGUGAUAUAUUUAUUAGGAAAAACUAAAUGAUAAAAAGGCGGAGUACGAAGCAAUUGCUUCUAGUGAUAGUUCGGUUCAUCUUGAAGAUAUUGAUAAUCGGAUUAUUACUGAAGUUUUGGGUCCUGAAAGGUAUGGUCGGGUUCGAUUUCAAGGAUCUUUUGUUAGCCCAACCCAAUAUUUUGGAUCCAGCUCCCACAAAUACAUGGCUUCGGGGAGUCAGGCUCAAGCUGAAGUUCAGAGGUUAAAAGACCAAAUGGCUCAGAUGCAAGCGACUACAAUUGAGGUUCAAAGGAAAUAUGAAGAACUCCAGCUACAACUUAAAGCAGAGGCGGAAGCGAGGGAAGCAGCGACUGCAGCGAGGGAAGCAGAGGCUGCAGCAAGAGAAGCAGAGCAGAGCAAAAAGUACGACGAACUUCAGCAGCAGCUUCAGAUUAUGAUGAAGAUGUUUAAGUCGCAACUUCCACCUUCAUAGUGUAUGACAUAAAUAUUUUUAUCAUUUUAACAUUUAACAUUUAACAUUUUUUGCAAAAACAAUAUGAAUUCACUUUUAUUUAUUGAUAUUAAUAUUAUUUUAUUCCCUUAUGUUGAAAUAUUAUAUAAAUUUAUUGCUAUUGGUUGCUUUUGAAAUGUUGCUUUUGAAUUUUUGCUACAGGAGGGCAGAAAAAAUGAAAAAUUUAAUAAAAAAAAAUCCCCAAAAUAGUGGCGUUUUUGUAUAAAAGCGCCACUAAAGAACAUGUUCUUUUGCGGCGUUUUUAAAAAAUGCCACUAAAGAACAUGUUCUUUAGCGGCGAUUAGAAAAAAAACGCCGCUAAAGAACAUGAUCUUUAGCGGCGUUUUCCCUUAAGCGCCGCUAAAGAACAUGUUCUUUAGCGACGUUUUUUCCUAAGCGCCGCUAAAGAACAUGGUCUUUAGCGGCGUUUUUUCCUAAGCGCCGCUAAAGAACAUGGUCUUUAGCGGCGUUUUUUCUAAGCGCCGCUAAAGAACAUGAUCUUUAGCGGCAUUUUUUUCUAAGCGCCGCUAAAGAACAUGGUAUUUAACGGCGUUUUUGUUUGUAAACGCUGCAAACAUUUGCGACGUUUUCGUUAGCGGCAUUUUUUUCCGGCGCUUGAAGAAGCGCCGCAAAUAUCUUUAGUGGCGUUAAAAAGCACCGCUAAAGGCCUAAAAAAACGCCGCUAAAAACCUGUUUUGGUGUAGUGUCCUAAAAUAAUAAAUUUAGUAGAUUAUAUGCAGAACUCGGUUAUAUCAGACUCAGUGCCAUGAACUUCACUAGCAAGCUUGCUAUCACAGCUGCAGCAUAAGCUAUUAACUGCUUAAUCACCAUUUUUCUUACAACACUCAAAGAUGAAGAAGAAGAUUCUAUAUUCAAUUUCUUAAUGUUAACCUUGCAUUUGCAUUUCCUCGAUAGGGUUUUUAUACCAAAUUUCAAGGAGAAUAAAACAAAAUAAUAAUAACUUUUUAGUUAAUUUGAUGGCAUAAUUGGAUAAGGUUUUUUUUGGGGGGGGCGAUUUUGCAACGAUAUAUACAGGUAGGUAGGCACAUUUUGUUUUGUUGAAUAACUAGUUAUAUGGUAUAAAAUAUUUGGCUCGUGGUCGAUUUUUAAUUUAUUUAAAACUCAACAUGCAUGAUUUAUAAGAAUGGAAUAUUAAAUAUGAUGAUAGGAUUAUUAAAAUAUUAAUUAUAUAAAGAAUUACAGAAGUACAUAAAAACCACUUUAAUUUUGUAAGUAUUUUGGCAAGGCAACAAUGGAAAGGGCUCUUGCGAUGAAAGAAGUGAUUAAGGGCUACGAAAGCAUGUCUGGACAGAUGGUGAAUUUUAACGAAUCCCUGAUUUAUUUUAGCAUAAAUACAAGUGAGGAAGACAAUGUGCAAAUUGGGAGUUAGAAUGUCUAAUAAUCCAGAGAAGUAUCUUGGGUUACUAACGAUGGUCAGAAGAACAAAGAAGAACGCAUUCGUCAAUUUAAAGGAAAGGUUCAUUAAUAUAAUAAAAGCAUGGAGUGUACGCAAUCUAUCAAUAGGGGGAAGGAGGUAUUUAUCAAAUCCACUUUACAAGUCAUUCCAAUUUAUGCAAUGCAGUGUUUUUUUAUGCCAAUUUCUUUAUGUUGAGAAUUAAGAGAUUAUGAUGUGCAAAUUCUAGAUACGCAAUUCGAAAACAAAUAAAGGAAUUCAUUGGUGCAAUUGGCGUUCUAUAUAUAUGUACCCCAAAGGCACAAGGGGGAAUUGGUUUUAGAGAUCUUUCAAUUUUUAAUAAAACCCUUUUAGCGAAGUAGGGUUGGAAACUAAUUACCAAUUCUACCAGUUUACUUGCACGAGUAAUGAAAGGUAAGUAUUAUCCAAGGAGUGAGUUUAUGAAUGCAGGUUUAGGAUAUCACCCUUCUUUUACCUAGCGAAGCAUUUGGGGUGCUCGUAGCAUUUUGGAAGAUGGUACUGGCUGGAGAAUUGGGAAUGGCAUGACAAUGAAUAUAUAGAAGAUGCUUGGAUUCCAGGACCUGGAGACAGAAAGGUAAAAAUUAAGAAUAUUGACAUUAGAUGCUCGAAGGUUGCAGACGUCAUUAAUAGUGAAACUAAUACCUGGAAAAUGGAUCCAGUAGAAAGAUUGUUCAUGAAGAAGCAAGCCGAGUUGAUUUUAACCAUCCCACUGGUGAACAACUCUUAUCAAAUGCUUUAAUCUUAAAGGGUGAUAAUACGGGAGAAUACUCGGUCAAAAGCAAGUACAAGUGGUGCAUUUCUGGUGGCCAAGACGGGACAGAGGACGAUAAUAAUUUACAAGACAUUGCUACAAAAAAAACUAUUACACAAAGCUCUGGAACCUCAAAAUUCCAAACAAAAUCAUAAUACGCCUAUGGAAGGUUUCUAAAUAAUUUUCUUCCUUUGCUAAGUAAUCUAAAGUAUCGAAGACUAAGGGAGGAGGCCCUCUACUCGAUCUGUAAGAAGGAAGACGAAAUGGUGGACCAUCUCUUUCGAGACUAUGCUUUUAUGAAACAAGUGCUUCAGGAGAUAGGAAUGGUACCCUUGCACACAAACACAAAUCAAGGAUGGAAAAUUUGGUUUGUGUAUGUUUUCGGAAACUGUAACAUUUUGCAAAACAUAAACAUAACCAUUGCAUAUUAGGCCAUUUGGCAUAAUAGAAACAAGUUAUAUCAUGAAGGUAAAAGAGAAAGAGUAUGUGAAGUUGUCAGUUUCAUUAAGGCAUACAUUGUCGAGUUAAAACAGUUAAGAGGAAAUCUCACUGAUCCGAAAUAAUAUUGAAGAAAUACAGUGGAAACCUCCAAAGGGAGAUCAAAUGAAAGUUAAUUUUGAUGCCUCUUUCCAACAGCAGUGUUGGUGCAAGAGGCAGCAGCAAGCUUGUUUCUACUUUGCUUGGACAGCAAGUGUCGAGCCUUGCUGAAGAAACUAUCGAAGAAGAAAGGAAGAAAAAAAAGAAAUUUGCAAUGGAAAACAGAAAAGAAAGAGAUAAAUUUGAAUGAAAAUGAGUUGAAUUUUCAUUAACCACUUCACAAGGCAUAAUGCCAAUACAUAUAUGAGAUAACAACAGCAAAACAAACAAGUUACCACCUAAUAACAUACCUAACACCACUAAAUUGCCUAGUAACUUGGUAAACUUGUUUGAACAUAUAAGCAACUACCUAAACUUGUCAUUCAGGACCUAAUUACAUCAAAAUGCAGCUACCAACUAAGUUCAAAACAAACUAAAAUACAAAAUGUUCAUUUGAGUAACCAAAUGAAACAAUGCAGUUUCGGUUUGAUGUUGAAGCACGUUCCCUGCAUGCCCACCUUGCAUGGCCACCUUGGCUGCUGCAUGGGGGCUGACUUCAACACUCCUCCUCAGCUUCUAUGCAGUAGACUCCUAGUUGCUUCCUUAGGUUUAGAAAUCUCGAUGUACCAAGUGAUUUUGUGAAGAUAUCGGUAAUCUGAUUUUCUGAGCUGCAAUGAAUCAGCUCGAUCUCUCAAGCUUGUUCCAUUUCUCUUAUCACAUGCAGUUUAAUGUUGAAAUGUUUUGUCCUGCCAUGGAAGAUAGAAUUUUUAGCAAUAGCAACUGCUGACUUGUUGUCAUAAUGUAUCACAGCUGCUUCAUUCUGCUGUAGGUUCAAAUCGCUCAAAAUUUUUCUCAGCCACAUAGCUUGAUUAAGAGCAUUGGCAGCUGCUACAUACUCAGCUUCAGCUGUCGACUGAGCCACCAUUGUUUGUUUUCUUGAACUCCAACAAAUCAUAGCUGAGCCAAGUGUAAAAGAAUAACCAGAGGUGCUCUUCAUGUCAUCUUUUGAACCAGCCCAAUCGCUGUCAGUGUAGCCAAUCAGUUUCAAUUCUUUAGCCCUACUGAAAUGUAUUCCAUGGCUCAAAGUGCCUUUGAUAUAUCUCAGCACCCGUUUUCUAGCUUUGUAAUGCUGCUGGUUGCAGCAAUGCAUGAAUCUUGAUAGCAUGCUCAUAGCAAACAGAAUAUCAGGUCUUGUUGCUGUCAGAUACAGCAAACAACCAACAAGGCUUCUGUAAUCAGUUUCACAGACAGAUUCAUGGUCUUCUUGGCUCGAUAGCUUCAUGCCAACAGCCAUAGGUGUGCUGGUUGGUUUACAAUUCUCUAUUGAGAAUUUGGCUAGAACUUUCAAGGCAAAUGAUUUUUGUCUCAAGAAGAUUCCUCCUUCUACUUGAUUUACUUCCAUUCCUAGGAAAUAUGUCAUCAAUCCCAGGUCUGACAUCUCAAACAUUUCCUUCAUUUUUGUUUUGAAAUCAGCUAACAUGAACUUGUCUCCUCCAGUCACUAGAAGAUCAUCAACAUAGAGUGAGACAAUGAGCUAUGUUUCAGCUCGAUUUCUUUUAACAUAAAGUGUUGGCUCACUAGCACUCCUUUAAAAUCCCAAACUGACCAGGUAUGAGUCAAUCCGAGCAUACCAGGCUCGAGGGGCUUGUUUUAGGCCAUACAAGGCCUUUCUUAGCCUAUACACCAAAUGUUCCUUACCAGGCAUUAUGAAUCCUAGAGGUUGCUCGAUGUAUAUCUCUUCUUCCAAGAAUCCAUUGAGGAAUGCAGACUUGACAUCCAUUUGAUGGAUUGUCCACUGGUUCUGAGCAGCUACAGCAACCAGCAAUCUGAUUGUAUCGAGUCUGGCUACUGGAGCAAAUGUUUCCAUGUAGUCCAGACCAUAUCUCUGACUAAAGCCCUUCACAACUAGCAUGGCUUUCUACUUGUUUAAACCUCCAUCUACAUUAUGCUUCAUUCGAUAGACCCAUUUUACACCAAUGGUCUUUAUGUUAGUUGGCUUUUCAACCAACUCUCAUGUUUGGUUCUUCUCAAUCAUGUUGAUUUCAUCAACCAUAGCCUGUUUCCAACCCUCAUUUGCCUUAGCCUCUUCAAAAUAGGUAGGUUCAGCUAUAGCAACCUGUGCCCUUUCAUAAAUCUCACCUAGGGGCCUUGUGCCUCUCACAGGCACAUCAUCAACAUCCAUCUCAGGACCAAGCUGCUCGAGUUCAGCUUGAUCAGGCACCAGGUCUUUUGAAGCAGCUUCUGGUUCACUCUUUUCCCAAUUCUAGCAAGCUUUUUCAUAAAAAAUGACAUCUGUGCUCACCUGGACUGUGCUUGUCAAGGGAUCCAAAACCCUGUAGCCCUUCUUGACUGAGCUAUAACCCACUAGGACACCUGGUUGAGCCCUUUCAGAUAGCUUAUCCCUCUUUGCUGCUGGUAUUUGUGCAUAGCACAGGCAACCAAACACCUUCAGAUAUGCCAAGGAAGGCUUGAAUCUAAACCAAGCCUCGAAAGGUGUCUUGGAUGCAAGAGCUUUGGUAGGAAGCCUAUUCUGAAGGUAGACAGCAGUGUUUACUGCCUCAGCCCACAUGGUCUUGGGAAAUUUCUUCUCAAACAGGAGACAUCUGGCCAUAUCCAUCAGACUUCUGUUCUUUCUUUUAGCUACCCUAUUCUGCUGAGGUGUGUAGACAUUUGUAAGCUGGUGUUUGAUGCUAGCAUCAUUGCAAAUAGCUUGAAACUGAGCUGAAGUGUACUCAGUGCCAUUGUCUGACCUUAUCGAUUUCAGCUUGCAACCUGUUUCUGUCUCAACAGCCAUUUUAAACUUCACAAACACUUGAGCUACCUCAAACUUGUGUUUCAGAAAGAAAAUCUAGCAAAACCUUGUAAAAUCAUCAAUAAAGAGAAUGAAAUACCUAUUUUUGCUGAGUGAUUCAGUUCUCAUAGGUCCACAUACAUCAGAGUGCACCAGCUGCAGUCUUUCAGUGGCUCUCCAUACUGAGUUUGUAGGAAAUGGCAGCCUUGCCUGUUUUCCCAUUUGGCACACUUCACACACAUCAUCAUGCUCCAUUGAGCUGGUGAAGUUCUCUACCAAGCCUUCUUUGGCCAUUCGAGCCAUUGAUCUGAAGUUGGCAUGCCCGAACCUUUGAUGCCAAAGGUUAGAAUCAUCAACAGAGGCUGUGUAUGCUAACUUUAAGUCAUUUGGCCAAUGAACCUCAAAGCAUUUGUCAGUCAUUAUGACUGUCAUAAGGCUUGAUCCACUUGGAUCAGUAAUGUGGCACUGUUUUUCAUUGAACACAAUAGAGUAGCCUUUCUCGAGCAAUUGAGCUAUGCUGAGAAGGUUUCUAUCAAUCUCAGGCACCAAUAGCACAUUUGGAAUGAUCUUGUUGCCUGUAGGAGUACAUAUCAGCACCUCUCCUCUUCCUUCAGCCCUUAUGAAUUGACCAUUUCCAACCUUGGCCUUGGUUUUGCAACUUCUAUCCAAGGUUUUAAACAAGGAGGCAUCUGGUGACAUGUGGUUAGUGCAGCCACUGUCCAAUAACCAGUCUUUUGAACAUUUCUUCUCAGCAGCUAAGCAAGAAACAGCAAAGACCUGCUCUUCUUGGUCACUACUGUCCUCAGCUACUCGAGCUUCAACCUUUGGUUGUUGAAAUUGACUCUGCCUCGGCUUGGUUUUGUUUUUGCAAACCCUUUCAACAUGGCCUUUCUUCUUGCAGUGUUGACAUACUGCAUCUAGCCUGAACCAGCAUCUGUCUUCUUGAUGACCUGGCCUCUUGCAAGGUCUGCAGGGCUGGUCAUUGCUCCUUGCAGCAUCAGGCUUAGGCCUGCUUUUCUAAGGCUUUUUGCCUCUUUGAGCAUUGAUGCUCGACACUUCUCUGGCCUUGGCAUGAAAUGCACCUUCCUGGUGAUCUUCAGCUCUGCUAGCUCUUCUUUGUUCCUGAGCAUAAAAAGUGUUAAUAAGCUCGGUCAAAGAGAUGCUAGCUAGGUCUCUUGAAUCCUCUAGGGAGGAUAUCUUGGCCUCAUAUCUCUCAGGCAAACUGGAGAGGACUUUCUCCACUAUUCUUGCCUCAUCAAAGUGCUUACCAAAGAGCCUUAUAUUGUUAACCACUACCAUGAUUCUAUCUGCAUACUGCUUCACUGUUUCUUCUUCCUUCAUCUUCAGAUUCUCAAAAUCCCUUCUCAAAUUCAACAGCUGUUGUUGCCUUGUCCUCUCAGUGCCUUGAAACUCCUCCUUAAGCUUGUCUUAGGCCUGUUUUGGAGUCUCACAGGCCAUAAUUCUGGUAAAGAUGACAUCUGACACAUAGUUCUGAAUGUAGGACAUGGCUUUGUGCCUUUUGGUCCUCUCAUCAGCAUGUUGCCUGAUCUGAGCUACUGUGGGAUUGGCCCUCAGUGGUGCUGGCUCAACAUCUGUGUUGACAACUUCCCACAGAUCAAAGGCCUGUUGGUAAGUCUUCAUCUUUACCAGCCAUAUGUGAAAGCCUUCUCCAUUGAAGACUGGUGGGGUUGCUGGUGAAAAUCCUAAAGAAGCCAUCAGGUUCCUUGGUUUGAAGCAACAGGUCCACUAAGACAAGGGCUCUAGAUACCAAUUGUUGGUGCAAGAGGCAGCAACAAGCUUGUUUCUGCUUUUCUUGGACAGCAAGUGUCGAGCAUUGCUGAAGAAACUAUCGAAGAAGAAAGGAAGAAAAAAAAAGAAAUUUGUAUUGGAAAACAGAAAAGAAAGAGAUAAAUUUGAAUGAAAAUGAGUUGAAUUUUCAUUAACCACUUCACAAGGCGUAAUGCCAAUACAUAUAUGAGAUAACAACAGCAAAACAAACAAGUUACCACCUAAUAACAUACCUAACACCACUAAAUUGCCUAGUAACUUGGUAAACUUGUUUGAACACAUAAGCAACUACCUAAACUUGUCAUUCAGCACCUAAUUACAUCAAAAUGCAGCUACCAACUAAGUUUAAAACAAACUAAAAUACAAAAUGUUCAUUUGAGUAACCAAAUGAAACAAUGCAGUUUCGGUUUGAUGUUGAAGCACGUUCCCUGCAUGGCCACCUUGCAUAGCCACCUUGGCUGCUGCAUGAGGGCUGACUUCAACAAGCAGACUCACAAAUCUAUUUUAGGAUUGGUUAUGGGCUCAUGCAUUUACCCGAUUAAAAAUUUCUAAGACCCAACAACAGAAGAAGCACAUUCAUGUUUAGAAGCAGUUAUCUUUGCGGAAGAAAUGGGCUUUGGAGAUGUUUGUAUAGAAGGCAAUGCACUCACAGUCCUAAAAAGAAUCAAAAAAUCAGAGAUUGAUAGAUCAGUUAUAGGCAACAUUAUUAUUGAGAUUACGGAUAGAGUAACCAGGUUUUGAAUUUUUACCUCUCGAUACGUCCUGCGAGCGGCAAAUAGAGCAACACGCGGAAUGGCAGCUUGGGGAACACGGCAUGAAAGGCCGAUCUACUAGGUAGAAGACGUUCCACUGGACGUUGAAGCCAUAGUCACAAAGGAGCAACGAUAGUAAGAGAAGAUUUUUUUUCAUUCUGAGUCUGGAGUGUUUGUUUUCAGUUUUGAAAACUCCAAGGAGCUCAGAAAUCUGCGGAGUUGGGAUGAAAUAAGAGACAUUUGUGAAACGGGUGAGGGUUUCAACUCCCACAGAGGAAUUCCUCCAGUGUGUCGGGAGUGGAUGAUUUUGCAGGGAAGAUUUAGAGGUGCUCAUAGGCCGGGCCGAGCCGGGCCCAUAAAAAAUUUUGGCCCAGGCCCGGCCCGACCCGAAAUAUGGGCCUAAAAUUUUACCUAGGCUCGGCCCGGGAAAAAAUUAUAAGCCCGGGACCGGCCUGGUGUUGACACCAUUUUUUGGAUGAAAACGGGGUCGACUUGGAUUUUGGAAAAAAAAGAAUGAAAAUGGGAGUCGCCACCAAUCCUUUUUUGAAGAGGUGUGAUUGGGUCACCUCAAAAGGUGGUUGUUUUUAAUAAAUGAUUUAAUUUUAUUAAAACAACGAUUUUGGUCUACGAAAUUCAGAAAAAUGAGUUCGGGAGUCGGUUACGCACGAGGAAGGAUUAGCACCCUCGAUACGCCCAAAAUUGGUACCUAGUUGAUUAAUUAGUGUCUUAGUGUCGAAAAUUUGAAAACUUGAAAGAAUUUAAAAUACGAUCCCUCUUUGUAAAGAAAAUGCUCAAAUGUUAAGGACCUUCUCGUCUCACAAUAUAAAAUGUCACAUCCAGUAAGUUAGGACACGACAUCUUGAAUUUUCGAGAACGAGCUUGCCUUUUAUAUAAAAAUUCGUGUAUUUCAAAAGGUUAUUCAGUUAGUUAAGGUGAACGAGGAAAAUCGAAACCCAGUAAGUUAGGGCACGUUUCCUCGAAUUCCCAAACACCGAAUAUUGCCUUUACUUGCAAAAAUCUUAUUUCGAGGUAACGAAAUGCCAUACCCAGUAAGUUAGGGAACAACACCUCGUAUCUCCGAGAAUAAGCAUUUUUCAAAACUCAUGUCACGAUUUAAAAGAGUAUUCCGUUAUUUAGGUUAAAGGAGAAAAAUUGAAACCCAAUAAGUUAGGGCACGAUUGUCUCGAAUUACCAAAUACGGAAUAUUACUUUUAUGAAAGAAUUAUUAUUGGGUUGGAUAUAAUGAUAAUAAGAAUAAUAUUAAAGUAAAGUAAACAAUAAUACUAUAUAUAAAUGUAUAUAUAUGUAUAUAAUAGAAAUACACACUACUAUAUAAUAAUAAUAAAUAUAGAAAUACUAAAAGCAAAUAUAAUAAAAAUAUUAAAUUAAAGUAAUAAAAAAUAAUACUAUAUAUAAAAUAUAUAUACAUAAAAAUAUACACUAAUAUAUAAUAGUAAUAGUGAUAGCAAAAAUAAUAAAAAUAUAAGUAAUAUUAAUAAUAUAUUAGAAUACAAAAGUAAAGUAAUAACAAUAGGAGUGAUAAUAAUAAUAAUACAAACAAUAAUACAUAUAUAUAAUAAUAGUAGUUAGAAAUAAAAAAUAAUAAAAGUAACAAUAAUGAUAGUAAUAAUAUAAAUAAAUAUGGAGAGGGCAUAUAUAAUAUAAUAAUAUAAAAAAAAUAAUAUAUACAUGAGAAAUAAUAAUAAUAAUAUAAAUAAUAGUAAAAAUAAUAAAAUAAUAAAACAAAGCUCUCAACUCUCUUUCUCCCUCUUUUCUAAAUCCGGCCGUUGGUCCGGCUUUGCUUCGGUCAUGGACCCCCACGGGCCGCCAUCGGCGCCACCGUACACGGCGGCCGGACCUCAAAAAAACCUUUUUCGAUAAUGAAAAUAUAGGUAAGCUUCUUACUUUUAUUUUUACUUUCGUAUAAAAAAACAAAAUAAAAUUGAAAGGAAAACAAUAAACAAACAAAGAACUAAAGAUAAGAAUAGACAAAAGAAACCUCUUUUGCUUUGAUCUUUGAUUAAUCUCCAAAAACUAGCCUUUCCAAGAAACAAAAAUAACCUUUUUUACAAAAAAACACCUCCAAAAAACAAAAAAAACCUCCUCCAAAACAAAGAACAAUCCUUCUCCAAAAAACCAAAAACCCACCCCUAAAAACAAAGUCUUGAAUGGCUUUUAUAGCCAAAUUUUACAAGUGGAGUGGUUGGGGUGGUUUAGGUGGCCAAGGGUGGUGGAGUUGGUGGCUAAGGUGGGUGGCCAACAAAGGUGGUGGAGUAGGUGGCCAAGGUUUUUAUUUAUUUAUUUAUUUAUUUUUUGUGUUUGGGUUGGGAUUAGGUUGGGCCAAAUUGGGUUUGGUUAGGGUUGGUUUAAGUUGGGCCAAAAUUGAGCCUUUACAGCUGCCCCUCUUUGCUCAUUUUCGUGUAACGAGAAUAGAGCAAAGACAUCAAAAGGGCCAAUUUUGCCCGGUCUUGCCGAGUCUUGACUUUUUGGUGCUCAUCUUCUUCCAGUAGCCUUAUUCCAGUCUGCUACGUCUUGUUGCUUCGAUCCACUCUACUGCAACUUCAGAUACGCCUUGUAGCUUCAAUCUACUCUGCUACGACUCCAUGGGGAUGAGAUUUGUGUUUUUAGUCUGCUCCACUACUACUUAGGGAGAUAAGACUUGAUGCGAUCUGCUUCACUAUUUCUUAGGGAAAUAAGAUCUGUGGUUUUAUCUGCUCCACUACUGCUUAGGGAGAUAAGACUUAAUGCGAUCUACUCCACUACUGCUUAGGGAGAUAAGAUUGUAAUCUUCGAUCUAUUCCACUGUUGCCCAAGGAGAUAGAACUACUGGCUUUAAUGUACUCCACUGUAAUCGGAGAGGUAAAAUCCGCCAUCUUCGACCUGCAAUCUAUUCCACUGCUAAAUACAGGGAAAUAGAGUCUGUUUUCAAUCCACUUCCUACCAAUAUAGGAAGGCAGGAUCUACAAUCUUCAAUCUAUUCCACUGCCAGAUACAGGGAGAUAGAGUUAUCGGCUUCAAUGUACUCCACUGUAGUCACAGGGAGGUAAAAUCUGCCAUCUUCGAUCUGCUUCACUGCCUAAUACAGGAAGGCAAGAUCUGCAAUCUUCAAUCUAUUCCACUGCCAGAUACAGUGAGAUAGAGUUAUCGGCUUCAAUGUACUCCACUGUGGUCAGGGAGGUAAAAUCUGCCAUCUUUGAUCUGCUUCGCUGCCAAAUACAGGAAGGCAAGAUCUGCAAUCUUCAAUCUACUUCACCACCAGUAUGGGAAGACAAGAUCUGCAUCUUGGAUCCACUUCCUAUCAAUAUAGGAAGAUAGGACCUGCUAUCUUCGAUCUACUUCACGCCAAUACAUGAAGGCAAGAUCUGCUUUCUGCGAUCUACUUCGCCACCAAUAUGGGAAGACAAGAUCUGCAUAUUGGAUCCACUUCCUAUCAAUAUAGGAAGAUAGGACCUGCUAUCUUCGAUCUACUUCACACCAAUACAUGAAGACAAGAUCUGCUUUCUGCGAUCUACUUCGCCACCAAUAUGGGAAGACAAGAUCUGCAUCUUCGAUCCACUUCCUACCAAUAUAGAAAGAUAGGAUCUGCUACCUUCGAUCUACUUCACGCCAAUACAUGAAGACAAGAUCUGCUUUCUGCGAUCUACUUCGCCACCAAUAUGGGAAGACAAGCUCUGCAUCCUGGAUCCACUUCCUAUCAAUAUAGGAAGAUAGGACCUGCUAUCUUCGAUCUGCUUCACGCCAAUACAUGAAGACAAGAUCUACUUUAAUGACUUCAAUCCCUCCCAUUGCAACUUCAAGGGUAUAGGAUCUGUUUCUUUGAUCUGUUCUCUGGGGAAUAUGACCUGUAAAAUCCAUUUUAUGGACCUAUUUAUGCCUAGUGUUUAGGAUGGCAUGAUCAGAAUGAAUCAAAUGCUUCUAACUAGAUGUGUAUGAAUGAAUGCAGAAUGUCAUGAGAAUGAUCCAUUUUUAAUGUUUGAGUUGUCAUUGCUCAUGUUUUAUCACUGACGUGUUACAACGCCUUCUUGCUCGGCUGGCAUAUCCAAAGAAACACUUAGUCAGAUUGCCCCCACUGCGAACGUCAAAGUUUAAUCCACUGGGACAUAAAAUUUGUACCAUCAAUCUCCCACCGUAAACUAAGGGUAGAAGGAUAUGGCUUUUUCUCGAUCCUCUACUAUCACAAUUCAAGGAUACAGAAUGUGAAACUCUUUGAUCUCCUACACCAUUCCCAAGGUGUCAUACCAAAUGUUUAUGUACAAAUGCAAAAUUUCCUUCUCCGAGAAAACCUUUUCUUAUUACUUGGUGAACAUCGCUUGUUUGUUCAUUGAAGCUUUGCCACCAACACGACAUCUUGUCAAUGUUUGGACAACAAAAUUUGAAAGGAUAGUCCCGACUUGGACUCUUCCUUUUUGGACACUUUGAAUUUGGUGUGCUCUAAACAACAGUCCUGUUUCAGGCUCCUUCAUUAUUUAGAAAUUUCUAGAGUAAUAUGCAAAACUCCAAUUGCUUGAACAUUCAGUUUAUUAAUAGUUAUUCUAAAUGUUUUUCGAGAAGGUUACCACAACGAACAAACAAAUGUUAUUAAGAACAAAUCUCGAGAUGAAUGAGUUAAUCGAGAUAGCAAAUUUUGCUAAGGUAAAAAAUGAAAUAAGACAAUAGACAAGAAUGAAAUUUUAUUGGGGAGCAAAGCUUGAACUGAAUACAAUAAUCAAGACAACAAGUUUUGCCAAGAUUCAAAGUAUAAGAUGACAACAGGUGCCCCAGAUAUCACAGCACGAGCUUCCCUGCACAAGUUUUCUAAAGACCAUUUAAUAUGUGUUUGGAAUCUACAGUAUUUUGUCGAUACCCCAAGAUGUCACCUACUCCUUCUUGCGAUUCAGGUGUAGUAAGACCACCACAUGCCUCAGAUCCUGCUCAAAAAUUCGAGCCGUACCUCACGCUUCAAAAUUCGAGCCGCCUUUUUCAGGUUUUCAACUCAAAUCCCCUUUGGUCUCAAGGUGCCUUUUGCGGGUUUUCACCUUGGCCUCUCCCAUUUUUUUUUUUUUUAAGAAUGCCCCCUUUUUAAGUGAAAUACUUCUUGACUGAGUCUGAAUUUACAGGAUUUGACAGGCUUUUACCAUCCAUUUCGCUCAGGAUUAAAGCUCCUCUUGAAAAGGCCUUUUUUACCACAUAAGGACCUUCCCAAUUUGGCAUCCACUUUCCUCUAAAAUCCUUUUGUAGAGGAAGAAUCUUUUUCAGCACCAGGUCCCCCUCGUAAAAUUCUCUGGGACAAACUUUUUUGUUGUAAGCUCGCAUCAUUCGUUUCUGAUACAUCUGACCAUGACGAAUAUCUUUUAACCUCUUUUCUUCUACCAAGUUUAACUGGUCAUAUCUGGAUUGAAUCCAUUCAGCCUCAUCCAACUUUAGUUCAGUUAAUACUCGGAGAGAAGGAAUUUCAACUUCUAUGGGUAAAACUGCUUCCAUCCCAUAGACUAAAGAAAAUGGUGUUGCCCCGGUAGAGGUUCUAACAGAAGUACGAUAUGCCAGGAGAGCAAAAGGUAAUUUCUCGUGCCAAUCUUUGUAGGUUUCAGUCAUUUUUCCUAUAAUUUUCUUGAUGUUUUUGUUAGCUGCUUCCACGGCACCAUUCAUUUUUGGACGGUACGGUGACGAAUUGUGGUGUCUGAUCUUGAACUGACUACAAACUUCCGCUAUUGAGUUGUUGUUUAAGUUCAGCGCAUUAUCGGAUAUGAUCCUUUCAGGCAUCCCGUAUCGACAUAUGAUCUCUUUUUUCAGAAACUUGCUAACUGCCGACUUCGUGACAUUUGCAUAUGAAGCCGCCUCCACCCAUUUAGUGAAGUAAUCAAUAACCACAAAGAUAAAACGAUGCCCAUUGGAAGCUUUUGGAGAUAUUGGCCCGAUAACGUCCAUUCCCCACAUGGAGAAAGGCCAUGGAGAAACCAUAACAUGAAGGGGUGAAGGUGGUGCGUGCAUUUUGUCACCAUAAAUUUGACAUUUAUGGCACCUCUUGGCAUAAUUAAUGUAAUCCCCUUCCAUGGUGGACCAAUAGUACCCAAAUCUCAUAAUUUGUCUGGUCAUCGUGAAGCCAUUGGCAUGCGUUCCGCAGAUACCUUCAUGCACUUCUUCCAAAAUUUCCUUUGCCUCAACAGCAUCCACACACCUUAACAGUACUUGAUCUUUUCCUUUUUUAUACAAAAUUUCCCCAUCAAGGACAUAGUCAAUGGCUAAUCUCCUUAAUGUCUUCUUAUCAUUUUCUAUCGCAUGGUCAGGGUACUCGCGACUCUUCACAUAUCGCAAUAUGUCAUGGUACCAAGGGUGAUCAUCCUUUCCCUCUUCAUUGUCAAUGUGCAACAAUGGGCUGGAACCUCAUAGAUGCUGAUCUGGAUAGGCUUCAUAUAUUCUAAUUUGUUCACUUUAAACAUGGAGGCUAAAGUGGCCAAAGCAUCUGCCAUCUGAUUUUCAUCUCGUGGGAGGUAACUAAAGGUGACACUAUCAAAUUCCUCGAUCAAUUCCAUAACCAAUUUUCGAUAGCGAACCAACUUCGGGUCUCUUGUUUCCCAUUCCCCCUUGAGCUGGUAAAUUACUAAUGCAGAGUCCCCGUAUACCUCUAGCACCUUAAUUUUCCGCUUUAUGGCUGCCCGAAUGCCCAUAAUGCAAGCUUCAUACUCAGCCAUAUUAUUUGUGCAGUCAAAGUCCAAUUUGCUAGUGAAAGGAUAAUAAUCUCCACUAGGGGACACGAGUACUGCCCCAAUUCCGUUGCCUAUAGCAUUUGAAGCUCCGUCAAAACUCAACUUCCAAGGACCACCUUCUUGGAAAUCUUUCUUUACGGUUGCGGCAUACAUCAAAUCCUCAUUUGGGAAAUCGAAGUUCAAUGGCUCAUAAUCAUCGAGAGCCCUACUUGCUAGGAAUUCCGCUAUUGCACUCCCUUUGACCGCCUUCUGGUUCACAUAGACUACGUCAAAUUUAGAUAGAAGAAUUUUCCAUCGAGCCAUUCUUCCAUUCAGAGCGGCUGACUCCAUCAAGUAUUUCAGAGGGUCUAAUUUGGAGAUUAACCAGGUCGUAUAGUACAACAUGUACUGUCUCAGUCUCCGAGUUGUCCAAAUUAAAGCACAACAUAAUUUCUCGAUUGGCGAAUAUCUUAUUUCGCAUUCGGUGAACUUCUUACUGAGAUAGUAGAUCGCUCUUUCCUUUCGUCCUGAUUCGUCAUGUUGACCAAGCACGCAUCCCAUGGAAUUUUCAAAUACUGCCAAAUACAGUAUGAGCGGUUUGUCUGGGCAGGGUGGCAUCAGUACUGGGGCGUUGGAUAAGUAAUGUUUGACUUUUUCAAAAGUUUUUUGACAUUCCUCAUCCCAUACACCUGGAUUAUGUUUCUUGAGGAGGCGAAAUAUGGGGUCGCAUUUCUCAGUUAGCUGUGAGAUGAACCGAGCAAUAUAGUUCAGCCUUCCUAGAAAACCUCGAACCUCCUUUUGAGUACGCGGCGGGGGUAAUUCUUGUAUUGCUCUUACUUUGUCAGGAUCAAUCUCAAUUCCUCUUUCACUGACCACGAAUCCAAGUAAUUUUCCUGAUCUGACCCCGAAUGUGCAUUUUGCUGGAUUUAGCUUUAGCUGAAAUUUCCUCAAUCUCGUAAAUAAUUUCUUAAGGACCUGCACAUGUUCCUUUUCUGUUUUAGAUUUUGCAAUCAUGUCAUCAACAUAGACUUCUAACUCCUUAUGCAUCAUGUCAUGGAACAGUGUUCCAUGGCCCUCUGAUACGUUGCCCCUGCAUUUUUCAACCAAAAUGGCAUCACCUUAUAACAAAAAGUUCCCCAUAGGGUUAUGAACAUAGUUUUCCUCAUAUCCUCGGGAUGCAUCUUAAUUUGGUUAUAUCCCGAGAAGCCAUCCAUGAAAGAAAACAGUGAAUGUCCUGCUGUAUUGUCUACCAAGGCGUCGAUAUGCGGCAAGGGAAAGUUAUCUUUUGGGAUAGCCUUAUUUAGAUCUCUAUAAUCCACACACAUUCGUACCUUCCCAUCUUUCUUAGGGACAGGAACAAUGUUAGCUACCCACUCGGAGUAUUUGACCACCUUCAGGAACCCAGCGUCAAAUUGCUUUUGCACCUCUUCUUUUAUUUUUAACACGAUAUCAGGCCUUAUUCUUCGGAGUUUUUGCUGAACUGGUUUGCAAUCCUCCUUUAUAGGAAGUCGGUGAACCACGAUGUCAAUACUUAACCCCGGCAUAUCUUGGUAUGACCAUGCGAAGACAUCUUUGAACUCUCGCAGCAAUUCAAUGAGGUAUUGUUUUACUUCUUCAGCUAUGCGGAUACCAAUCUUUAACACCUUUCCCUCUUCCAAGAUCACUGUCUCUAUCGUCUCUUCGUGGGGUAGAAUCUGUUUCUCUUCCUGCUCUACCAUUCUCAACAAGUCCGGAGAUAGGUUGCAAUCUGUGUUAUCUUCAAAAUCUUGAGAUUCCUCUGGACACAUAUCUCGUUCAAAAAGAUUUUCUAAGUCCAUAGUAGAGUCACUCAUAUCAUUGAUAUCUUGGGACCUGUUAUAGGUAUCAAAGAAUGUACAGGGAAUGUAUGAAUUUAAGGAUUCUUAUUUAGUAUGACCAUGAAUGUAUGAAAAAAAGAAUUUGAAAAGAAUAUAUACUCAAAAUGCGAAGAUAUAUUUCAUUGAAAUCACAAUGUCCACAUAUAAGCCUAUUUCAGUUCACAAAAGUUUUCAUUUUCUCUAGGCUUAGAAUAAUUAAUGUUUUGAAUAUUACUCUGGAAAAGCUCUAAAAACUUCAGGCAUUUCUUCCGCAGUCCAAUUGUUUAAAACACUCCCAGGUUCAACGGGAUAGAUGCCUGACGUACUUCCUCCUUCAAAUUCUUCUUCACAUAUGGCAUUGAUGCUUAAGUUUCUUAACAUUUCCUCUGCGGUCUUCUUUCUUGGAGCCCUCAGUUCAGAAUACAUAGUUCCUCCCGACAUGAAUGUCCUGGAUAUGUGGGGGAAAGCCAUAGGUUCCCAGUCGACUUCUUUUCCGUUCAAACGCGCCUUCCUUCUAUCUUGUCUCUUUUCUAACUCUUUCCUUCUCUGUUUGGUAUUUGGUUUAAAUCCUAAACCAAAACGAUCUUGUUUGUAUUUCACUACUGGUGCCCCCAUCCUUCCCUGAAGGCAUCUUCCAAGUCCUCUUCCAGGCACAGCUCCUUUCCCAACUGUCGCUUGUAAUCCCAUCCUUGUGGCUUUAGACAUGCUGGGCGUCGGAAUCUUCUUUCCCCCUAUGACAAAGGUUGCAUUUACGAACUCCAAAGAUCGAAAAGAACAUUCAACUGCCUCGUCGUCUAUUCCCAAAUAUGGUGUAUCAUUGGUUACCAAUGCAAUGAUAUCUUCCUCGGCGUCAAUUGUAAUUAACCGGCCUUCUAUUACCAAUUUUAACUUCUGGUGCAAUGAUGAAGGCACCGCCCCUGCCGAAUGAAUCCAGGGUCUUCCUAAUAAGCAAUUAUAUGACGGCUUGAUAUCCAUCACUAGGAAGUCCACAUCGUAUGUAUUUGGGCCAAUUAAAAGAGGUACUUCUAUUCUUCCUAUCACCUUUCUUUCGGUACCAUCAAAUGCUCUCACUAUAUUUUGGCAUGAUCUCAUGUGAGAGUUAUCCACCGGUAACCUACUUAAGGUAGAUAGGGGUAAAACAUUCAAGGCUGAUCCAUUGUCAAUUAGCACUCCAGCUAACAUAUACUCCCCGCAACGAGCAGUGAUGUGUAAUGCUUUGGUAGAUCCUCUUCCCCCUGGCGGUAUUUCAUCAUCAUUAAAAAAGAUGAAAUUAUUGGCAUUGAUAUUAUUAACCAAGCGGUCUAACUUAUUCACCGAGAUAUCUUUAGUGACAUAAGUUUCAUUUAGCACCUUAAUCAACGCAUUACGAUGUAUCUCUGAACUUAUAAGCAACUCAAGUACGGAGAUACGAGCCGGUUGCUUAUGUAAUUGUUCUACCACGCUGUACUCGCUAUGUUUCAAGAAUUUUAGAAAUUCAUUGGCUUGAUUUUCAGUUACCGGCUGAUUGACACUCGAUUCAAUUUCGUCUGUUUUUGUUUUUCCUAGCUCAACUGCUAAAGCUUUUUCUUUUCCAGAUUCCACUAUCGCGUCUGCCGGAUCAUAGCGCUUUCCACUUCGUGUAUAGAAUCCUUCCUUCUUUUUUGAAGCAUUUACCGAGCUCUCUUUUCCUGGAAUCGUCACAUUGCAAUCGUAACUCCAAGGAACCUUUUUGUUACCCUUGUAAGGAAAGGAUACAGGUUUUUGGAUUAUAACUUUUGGCCCUAUUUGUAUUCCAGAUUCUUUGUUCAUUGGCUUUGAAAUGAUAACCACUGGAUGACAAAGCUCUUGGGUUCUCCUUGCAGAUCCUUCUCCUGUAGCACAAACUUCUUCCUCUUUUAACCCUUUGAUUUCUUCAUAAAACUCCAUUUCUUUGCUAUCCAUAAAGUUUUGCACCACGAUUCUGAACUCGGUGCAUUCCUGGAUGUCAUGAUCUUCUUCUGCGUGGAACUUACAAAAUCUCUUUGCUUGUUCAGGCCUUUCUAUCGAAUCUUGCUUGAUAAGACCUCUUUUUACCAUUUGUUUCCAAACCCAUCCAAGAGGGGUUUUUAUCUCUGCCACGUUGGCUUUGACUCUUCUUCCUUCAUUCUCACUUAUCGCGUUUACCCUAUUAUCGUCAUGAUUGGGCAACGGAUUUUCUGCUACAUUUGGCCCUGAUGAGUCGCCAAUCUUUACGAUCCCCAUAUUGAUAAGUUUCUCCACUAACUUCUUGAAUGCAGUGCAGUUCUCAAUCGAGUGCCCCUUAAUCCCCGCGUGGUACUCGCAUUGGGAGUUUAUGUCAUACCAUUUGGGGUACGGAGGUUGCAUGGGUUUUAGGUAAAAUGGAGAUACCACAUGUGCAUCAAAUAAAUUCUGAUACAAUUCUUUAUACGUCACCGGGAUGGGUGUGAAUUGAGGUCUUUCUAUAUUUGGCCUUGAAUUGGACUCCCGUCUCGAAGAACCUUGCUGAUUAGUGGUUGUUGCUCUGGCUUGUCCCACCGUGAUUGAUCUAGAAUGGUCCUUGUUAAACAUGUUUGUGUUGUUUAUCUCAUGCUCCUUCUUUCUCAGUGCUGACCUUUUAGCACUUUCUCCUGCUUCUAUCUUGCCACUCCUUAUGGCAUUUUCUAUCAUUUCUCCAGACAUCACUAUGUCUGAAAAGCUUUUGGUGGCACUACCCAGCAUGUGAUUGAGAAAUGGAGCUUUCAAAGUAUUGAUAAAAAGCAUGGUUAUCUCUUUUUCUAAAAGUGGUGGUUGAACUUGUGCUGCUACCUCCCUCCAUCUUCGAGCAUACUGGCGAAAGCUCUCAUUAGUUUUCUUUUCCAUAUUUUGCAAUACAAUUCGAUCGGGUGCUAUGUCCAUCACAUGUCUGUAGUGUUUUAUAAAGGCCUGCGCCAAAUCUUUCCAAGAGUGGAUUUCAGCUCGACUCAAUUGAUUGUACCAUCUAACAGCUGACCCGAUCAAACUAUCCUGAAAACAGUGAACCAACAGCUGCUCAUUGUUGAUGUACCCGGUCAUUCUUCGGCAAAACAUAGUGAUAUGAGCAUCGGGACAACUUGUCCCGUCAUAUUUUUCAAACUCCGGCAUUUUAAACUUAGGAGGGAGGAUUAAAUCAGGCACCAAGCUCAGAUCUUUAGCAUCCAUUCCUCGGUGGUAAUCAGCACUUUCCAUGGCCUUAAACUUUUCCUCCAGCCAUUUACAUCGGUCUUCCAAUUGCUUUGAUAGAUCCACUUUCGUAUUUUCCACUUCUGCCACGUCAUCGAGGUCAGGGACUAUGAGAUUGGUGGGAUUCUCUCCGGAAUUGUUACUUAUUCCGAUUGGAGGACUCGUUUGGAAUUGUUGGGGUCUAAUUGUAACAGAGGGUCUUUGUUGAUACAUUUCAGCUUGAGUAUGCGCGUGCAGAGGGGUAAAGCCUGGAGGGUAAAGGGGUUCAUCACUAUUUCCAUCUUCAACAUUAACAAUAGGGUCCUUUCCCUUGUCUUUUCCUCCUUUCAACAGUUGCGUUAACUUUGCCAUCAUGUCGUCUUGGGAUUCUCGCAUCUCUCGCUGAAUCUUUUCCAACCGCUCUUCUAUCUGAUCUUGCAUAUCUCUUUGGAGCUGCUCAAGUUUUUCUAGUCUUUGAUCCAUGUUUCUUGACUUCGCUCGAGUUCCGUAAGAGUGACGGUUUUCCAGGUUAACUGAAAUAAUUUUAUUUAGUUAGGGUCUUUUAAUGGUCAUUAAUGCAUAUAAUGCAAUGCAUGAAAUGAAUGCAAAAGGCGUUAAUUCUAGUUCAAUUUCAUUAUGAAAACUUUACUAGAAAAUAAACUUUUUUACAUAAGGUGGAUUACAUAUACGACUUAGCCCUAAAACUCAAAAUUCUAAUCCUCCUAAGCAACGAGUCUAGCUCCUGUCCUCGACUCGACUCUAAUUCGUACUUCACGCUUAACACAUCAGCUUGUACUGCUAACGUCUGCAAGUGAUCAGCCACCUCUCGGAUUUGAAGCACGGCUUCUCCCAUGAUUUGAUCUCUAUCUCUUACUUGGUUCUGAAAGUAGUGCAACUGCUCGGUUUGACGAUCUUCAUUAGAUCUCAUGUGCUCAAUCCGCAUCUCGCAACUUCCCAAUGCUGCUUCUAACUCUUCAAUUCUUCGUUUCAUCUCUUCAAUUCUACUUAGGCUUACUUUUAAUUCCAUCACAGAAUUUCGAUUUCGAUGCCGAUAGAGAGAUUCUUCUAACUCGGACACUCUAUUUUCUAGUUCCCCUUUUUCUUUCUGAUUCUCUGACAGACUCUUCUUUAAAGUCUCGUUCUGGGUUUGAACUUCUUGAAACCUUGUUUCCCAUCUAUCAGCUUUGUUCUUUUCUUCUUGAACUUCCUUGCGCCAUUGUUCAGAAGUCUUUCCCAACCCGGCGGUUCUCAUUGAUGAUCGCAACUUCUUGUAAUCUGUUUUCAGACUGUUCAGAUCUUCUUCAGCCCUAGCUUUUCCUUUUCUUAAUCGCUCCAUCUCGAGCUUCUGGACAUCUACAUCCAACCUUAAGUUUGUUUUUUCUUCCUCCAUUUGCUCUAUCUGUUUUUCCAACUCUGCAUUUCUUCUUUCAAAAUCUUGCUUCAAAAUUUCUAGUUCAGAAAGGAUGACCCGUAAGUGCUCCUCUAUCGAAUGACUGCCUUCGAGGCUUGAUUUGGGGACAUUGUCAUUGAUUCUUCUGACCCUCCAUUCUUUAUAUUCGGGGGUUGUCAUUGGUCCUACAGCUAAUCGCUUCAUUUGGCGAGUCUGAUUCCACGCAUUGGAUAUCUCUCGAAUCCUCUUUUUGUAGCCAUCACCCCCAUACGAGAAUUCACACUCGGCCAGCCCCUGGGUUGCGGGUAUAAACUGUCUUGAUCUGUACUGUCUGAGCACUAAUAACGGGGCAUAGCCAAUAGCUCCCCAGAUUCCAAGCAAAGGGACCCAAUCAAAACUACCACAUCGGUACAAAAUUUCGUCUGGAAGUAACCACGGAGCUCUCCAUUCAAUGUCUUCUUCAUGCAAGUUUUGAAGAAUUGCCAUCCAUUUUUCCAUUGAAAUGUCGUCCCUUCUCGGUGUAGCUAUCGUCUCCUUUAGCGGCGAAUAGUUUUCAGAGAAGACCCGAUAUGACACCUUAUCCACUUUCCAAAAAUGACUGUGGAACCACGCAAGUAGCAACUGUGCACAUCCAAUGAACCUGCCUUCGCCCGCUCGCCGACAGGUACUCAAUGAUCUGAAUGUCUCCGCUAAAAUUGCUGGAAUCAGGGUAACUCCUUUAUCAAGGCGGUCGAACAAAUCAGUAACCGCCUCAUCAAUAUGCCCCAAAGCUCUAGGAAAGAUAACUAAGCCAUAUAUGCUUAGGGCGAAGAUAUCUACCCUAUUUUUUAUAUCCGGGUGCACCAAAGCCACAUCUUUCAAACUCCUCCAAGAAAUGCACUUGUUAUCCCCUUUUUGUUUAAUUCGGGCCGUAACCCACUGCUCACUCAUGCCUGUUAUGUUCAUUAACCUUCUCAAAAAGGGUACAUUUGCGGCUCUUGAGUAGAUUCUGUCGACUUGACUCUUUGAACACCGAAGUAAAGCCAUAUAUUCUUCUAUCGUAGGCACCAAGUCAACUUUCCCGAACGAAAAACAACUAUAGGCGGGAUUCCAAAAUUGUGCGAGAGCCCGGAAUAGGUGCUUAUCUACCUUCAUAUCUAGCAGGUACGGCAAGUCCCCGUAAUGGGAAUAAAACAACUGUCUGGCCUCCUCGUCCCAAUGGUCCCAAAUUCCUUUCAACUCUUGUAAAUCGUUCUGGGUUAUGCUAAUGCGGGUAAAGUCCCAUAGCUCUGAUAUAUAUCCUUCAGCCAAACUAUCCCCUUUCUCUUGUUGUGUCGUUUCCGACCAAAUUCGGACUGCCGCAUUAUCUUCCACCUUAUCAAGAAACCUUCUUUCCAUGAUAAGCUUUCUUUCUAGAAACCGAAUAUGAACCAACGCCUUGAAAUAAUGAAAUGCCAUGCAGUUGAAAUGUCAUGCAUCCAAAGUAAAACAACAAAUAUCAGUACCAGAUAUAAACAUAUAAUCCAAGAUAAUUCAAAAAGAAUAAAAGCACAUCAGGGUAUUUACUAGGGUUUGGUGUAGUUCUACUUAAGGUGAGUUCCUAAGGUUUACUACAUGGGGUUUGGUUCUAAAGCAAAGGUACCCGAACCAGCAGAUUCCUCGAUCUUCACCCAUUAUAGUCUCAUAUAGACCGAGUUCGGUUUAGGGGAAUACAUUUCCCUAUGGCUGCACGGAGAUGAAAAUCUCACGAAGACAUAGGUACGGAUGUAUCCCGAAAGCGAUCCACUAUCCUGCACGGAGGUGAAAACCUCACGAAGGAGUAGCUUCUCACUCCCACUUAAAAGGUGUGACCAACGGUCAUGCAAUGCAAUGCAAAGAUAUAAAAGUUUAAAAUACGAAACAUGAUGAAAACUAUAGCUCAAAACAAAUGAAAUGCAAUGAGAAGAUCGUAUAUUUAAAUCAAAUUUUCAACUUUCGACAAAAAGACAAAAAAUAAUCAACUCGUGGCUUGACUCACUUAUUUUGAAAAAGUCCCCAGUGGAGUCGCCAAGCUGUUGACACCAUUUUUUGGAUGAAAACGGGGUCGACUUGGAUUUUGGAAAAAAAAGAAUAAAAACGGGAGUCGCCACCAAUCCUUUUUUGAUGAGGUGUGAUUGGGUCACCUCAAAAGGUGGUUGUUUUUAAUAAAUGAUUUAAUUUUAUUAAAACAACGAUUUUGGUCUACGAAAUUCAGAAAAAUGAGUUCGGGAGUCGGUUACGCACGAGGAAGGAUUAGCACCCUCGAUACGCCCAAAAUUGGUACCUAGUUGAUUAAUUAGUGUCUUAGUGUCGAAAAUUUGAAAACUUGAAAGAAUUUAAAAUACGAUCCCUCUUUGUAAAGAAAAUGCUCAAAUGUUAAGGACCUUCUCGUCUCACAAUAUAAAAUGUCACAUCCAGUAAGUUAGGACACGACAUCUUGAAUUUUCGAGAACGAGCUUGCCUUUUAUAUAAAAAUUCGUGUAUUUCAAAAGGUUAUUCAGUUAGUUAAGGUGAACGAGGAAAAUCGAAACCCAGUAAGUUAGGGCACGUUUCCUCGAAUUCCCAAACACCGAAUAUUGCCUUUACUUGCAAAAAUCUUAUUUCGAGGUAACGAAAUGCCAUACCCAGUAAGUUAGGGAACAACACCUCGUAUCUCCGAGAAUAAGCAUUUUUCAAAACUCAUGUCACGAUUUAAAAGAGUAUUCCGUUAUUUAGGUUAAAGGAGAAAAAUCGAAACCCAAUAAGUUAGGGCACGAUUGUCUCGAAUUACCAAAUACGGAAUAUUACUUUUAUGAAAGAAUUAUUAUUGGGUUGGAUAUAAUGAUAAUAAGAAUAAUAUUAAAGUAAAGUAAACAAUAAUACUAUAUAUAAAUGUAUAUAUAUAUAUGUAUAUAAUAGAAAUACACACUACUAUAUAAUAAUAAUAAAUAUAGAAAUACAAAAAGCAAAUAUAAUAAAAAUAUUAAAUUAAAGUAAUAAAAAAUAAUACUAUAUAUAAAAUAUAUAUAUACAUAAAAAUAUACACUAAUAUAUAAUAGUAAUAGUGAUAGCAAAAAUAAUAAAAAUAUAAGUAAUAUUAAUAAUAUAUUAGAAUACAAAAGUAAAGUAAUAACAAUAGGGGUGAUAAUAAUAAUAAUACAAACAAUAAUACAUAUAUAUAAUAAUAGUAGUUAGAAAUAAAAAAUAAUAAAAGUAACAAUAAUGAUAGUAAUAAUAUAAAUAAAUAUGGAGAGGGCAUAUAUAAUAUAAUAAUAUAAAAAAAAUAAUAUAUACAUGAGAAAUAAUAAUAAUAAUAUAAAUAAUAGUAAAAAUAAUAAAAUAAUAAAACAAAGCUCUCAACUCUCUUUCUCCCUCUUUUCUAAAUCCGGCCGUUGGUCCGGCUUUGCUUCGGUCAUGGACCCCCACGGGCCGCCAUCGGCGCCACCGUACACGGCGGCCGGACCUCAAAAAAACCUUUUUCGAUAAUGAAAAUAUAGGUAAGCUUCUUACUUUUAUUUUUACUUUCGUAUAAAAAAACAAAAUAAAAUUGAAAGGAAAACAAUAAACAAACAAAGAACUAAAGAUAAGAAUAGACAAAAGAAACCUCUUUUGCUUUGAUCUUUGAUUAAUCUCCAAAAACUAGCCUUUCCAAGAAACAAAAAUAACCUUUUUUACAAAAAAACACCUCCAAAAAACAAAAAAAAACCUCCUCCAAAACAAAGAAUAAUCCUUCUCCAAAAAACCAAAAACCCACCCCUAAAAACAAAGUCUUGAAUGGCUUUUAUAGCCAAAUUUUACAAGUGGAGUGGUUGGGGUGGUUUAGGUGGCCAAGGGUGGUGGAGUUGGUGGCUAAGGUGGGUGGCCAACAAAGGUGGUGGAGUAGGUGGCCAAGGUUUUUAUUUAUUUAUUUAUUUAUUUUUUGUGUUUGGGUUGGGAUUAGGUUGGGCCAAAUUGGGUUUGGUUAGGGUUGGUUUAAGUUGGGCCAAAAUUGGGCCUUUACACCUGGCCCGGCCCAUUUUUUUAAUAAAUACCAUAAAUUUAUUUUAAAAAUAAUAAAAAAGUAUUUUAAAAAUAUUUUAAAAUUAAAAAAUAAAUAUAUUUAUUAUAUCGGGCCAAGCCGGGCAGGACCCGGGCCAAAAAAGUGGUGCCCGAGGCCCGGCCCGUUUUUUAAACGGGCCUCGUUUUUUUAUCCAAGCCCAUAUUUCGAGCCUAUAUUUUUACCCAAACCCUCCCAUAUUUCGGGCGGGCCGGCCCGGCCCAUGAGCACCUCUAGGAAGAUUGAAGGACUUGGGUUUUUUUCUUUGCUUUUUGUUUAAAAGUUUUUUGUUUUUUAGGUUUUUCAUUUUAGUGCUUUAAGUUUUCUCAGCCUUUUUAGGGAUACCCGAGGCACCACCCAUUAGCAGCAAUAGGCUUCUGCCAGCUAGCUAGUGGGCUGAAACAUUGCAGGGUUUAGGAUUGUGUUCCAUCCUUUAAUCUUCAAUUUUAAUGAUUUUACUUCAAGUUUUUUUUAAGUAAAUCCCUUCCCAUAUAUAUAUUAUGCAUAUAUUAAAGUUAGUUUCUAAAGGGAAAGAGUUAAUAUUCCAUUUGGUAUGUAGGGUUUUUUUUUAAAAUUUAAUAUAUGAGUUUUACUUCAAUUUGGUAUCCAUACCAAACAAAUGUGCUUAAUGAAUACUUGGCACGUAUGUUCUAGUAAAAAAAUAUAAUUACCCACAAAACGAUCUGAUAAAAUUGUCACCCUGAAUUACCUGACAACGAUGACUCAAGUAUGAAAUUACCACCCAGAUUUCCGAGCAACGAUGGUUUCCAAAUAAUAACCUGACCCUAUGUACGCCAACUAACUCGGUCCGACAAAUAAUAGGGUAACCAAAUUUCAAUUUCAAUAUACAACCUGAUUCAUGUUUAUUCAUUUUGAUUUUCAUCAUCAGUUUACCAAUUCAAUACAUAACUUAUAUAUAUAUCAACCGAAUUUCACAUAUCAAGUAAGUCAUAAAAUUUUCUAUUCUAUUCAAUUUAGUCCUUGCUUCGAUAUUCAAUUCAAAUCAUAUCAAUUUAGCUCAAAAAAUUAUCAAUAACUAACCUCCAAUUCCAUAUAAUGUAGAAUGAUAUAAAUAUGCAACAACUAAAUGGUUCCCAAAUCAUAGAAUUACAAACCAAAAAUUUUGAUCUAAUUAAUAGCUUUGGAUUUUCCUUUUCCUCUCGAUGAAUCUAGGUCGACGUUAGUUAUGGAUUAACAUAAACACAUAACACUAUCAAUAAACAACCAAUUCACAAUCAAUUGUCAAUUUAUACAAAAAUUUCAAUUUAUUCAAUUUAGUCCCUAAAACUGAGACUAACAUAACUUUCAAUUUAAAACUCCAAAUUAAAAUUUGAUUUCACUAUGGUCCAUUAGAGACCUCCUAUUUCUUAUUUAUAUAAUCAAUUUUACAUUUAAUUCAGUUUAGUCCUUAUAAUCUUGUGUUUGCGAGUAAUUUUAGGGUUGCUUUUGUCGUUGUGCCCUCUAGUUUGGUGGAUGCUCAGUUCUUUUGUCGAUUUAUGCUCACUGUUUUGGACCAUCCGGGGUUGAUUUCCUUAUUGUAUUAAGUGCUUGCAAUCACUCCUUAUGUUGUGCUUAAGUUGUGACAGAGUCGAUUGUCAACGUGCCAUAAUGUUCUAUUGAUGUUGAAGCUAAAGCUUUUGUUAUGUUGAUGGAGCUUGUACUUUAGCGCGUUCAAUGGGUGUUUGUUACUUUUUUCCCCUGAAUUGUAUGGUCUUAUUUAUUGAAUGAAUUAAUAAAUUUCUCUUUAAAAAAAGAAAUAAUUUAUAAUAAAUAAUUAAAUGUAUUAUUUAAAACUAUUUAAUAAUAGCGCAUUAAAUAUGUAUGCUAUUAAAAUGAAAAAAAAAACAAAUUAAAUUGUUUAUCAUAAUAUUGACACUUUUCAUCAAUCUUGAGUCAAUAUCGAGUUAACUUGUGACACCAACUCAGCUAAAUAUAUUAUUAAUAUAUACAAUGAUGGGGCUAAUAAAGUGUGCACAAAAAAAUUAAAAUGUAUAAAAAUAUCAAAAUAAAACUUUAGUUGAGUAGUAAAUAUAAAUUUUAUUAAUGCAAUUAGCAAGAGUUCGAAUCUCACCAUAUACAUAUUUUAUUGGCUUUUUUUAAGUUAAAAGAUUAGAAUAUCCUUGAAUAAUAUUGUUUAGUUUAAUUACAAAAUGACAUUUUCUUAACUUUUUAAUCGAGUUGGUAACCCGAUUAAAGGUGACAUUAACUCAAUCAAGAACUUAGAUAAAUAUUAAUAUAAAAUAUAAGUUUUUGCUAUAAAAUAAAAGGACAGAAAGUAAAGAACAAAGAAAAUGAGAAAGCAAAGAGAGAGCGUAUUUUAUUGAUCAAUUGAAAUAUUUACAAAGUUUCUCCAAAAUUUCUAUUUAUAGACAUAAGAAGUAUAAAUGAAGUAUAGACCUACUUCUAAUGGCUAUAAGAAUUUAAAGUACAUCAAAAAUUAUCUUGAUCUUGAUGGACAUCCACUUAAUAAGAUAUUCAUAACACCCCCUUGGAUGUCCAUUGGUAGAUAAUGUGCCUCGUUAAAACUUUACUAAGAUAAAGAUCUUGUGGGAAAAAAUCCUAGUGAAGGAAAAAAGUAAACAUAUCUAAAUGCGUAUAUUAUGCUGCACCAUUAAAAACUUUACCAGAAAAACCCAAUGGGAUAAAACCUCGGUUAAGGGAAAAAUAGUACAAUGCAUAGUUACUCCCCUUCAUAAAAACAUCAUAUACUUUCUCAUAUUCUAUUGAAUUGAAUACUAGUUUUCAAAUGACUAUAUUAAUGAAUUUGCUAAGCAUUUAUAUCACCGUUCUUUUGGAAGUCAUGAGUGGGGAAAUUUUAGGGGAAAUAUAUUUUGAUCUCUUGAAGAGUCUCAACAAUUUUCAUAACAAACUUUAAUCAUAAUUCCUCUAUAAAAACACAAAUAGGUAUUUUGGAUCAUUUUAUAAUCCUCCUUCAACUACUAUUCGCUGAGUCAAAUUUACCACAUAUGUUCCAAUUAUUUCAAUUCAUAUAAAUGAACAAUUUCCCGACAAUUUCGAUAUGCUUCUAUCAUCCUAAAUCCUUCAAGGAUUUGAAUAUAAAUUUUACUAUAUAGUGGUUCAUAAAAAGGUUGUAACAACAACCAUUAGACAUAAGUUAAAUCUUCUAUGAAUUGUCAAAAUAAUAUAUCUAAAAAUUAUUGCAUCCACCACAAAAAAAAUAUUAUUUCUUUUCAUAAUAAAUGCCAGGACUUAGCAAAAAACUUCAUAUUAUAAUUUUGCUUUUGCAAAACUACUUCAUUUGCACCCUCACUGGCUUUAUACCUUGAGAUAUUUGGACUACUGGUCCAAAAACUCCACAAAUUUAAUUGUACUUGAAUUGCAUCUUUCUAUUUUGAUUAAUUUAUUCUAUAUCUAUAUUUCUCAAUAGAUUUAUUAAAGAUCCUCCUUUUGUUUCAUUAUAUCAAUAAUAACAUUGCAUGCAAAAUUAUUGUCAACCACUUUUAUUAUUUGGUUUCACAUUUUCUCGAAUUGGCAUAACUUAUUAAGAUCUAUUAUUUUAAUCUUCAAUUUCAGGUACCUGAAUCUCUUCUGGAGUUUUACUUAUUAGUUAUGUCUUGGGUCUCUUUUGGAGCACUUGUCUCCACUAUUUGACCAUCUAGAAGAAUUUUCAUCUUUGGAAUCGAUCAAUCUAUUAUUUAUUCUAACUGAUUGUCCUGCCGGGACUUUGAUUCAAAUUAAAAUAUUAGAUGUUAUAUAAUAUUUGGUUAUUCUUAUUAAGUUUUUAAAUACAUCUGACAGUUAACUUGUAAUGAGUUUUCCUCGUUGAGCUACUAGUUCAAAUUACGUUCCCCCUAACUCAUUACAAGUUGUUAUUUCUCUCCCCCUCAUGUUGGGAAAACUAUCGAAUCAAAAUAGUAAUCACAAAUCAUGUCAUAAUUGAAUCUCCAAUACAUACAAAGAGACUUGUAAUUAAUAUAUAUUCCCAACUCUAUUUGAGGAUUGACUCAUCUUUUUGCGUUGUGUCGGAGUAAUUGGAAUAUAUACACACAUACAAAAAUUCAAAGAUGAGAAAUAUUUAGCUCUUAAUAAAAAACUUAUCAUAAUGGGAAGUAUUUAUAACUUAUUGGUUUGAUGCGUACAACACGUAAAUCAACAUAAUCUCAUGUUGAAAUAGGAAGUUUAGUUUUCAUAAGUAAUGGUUUAGGCAUUAAUCAGAGGCAUUUAAAAAAUAAUUUCUCUAAACUAUUAUGUGCAUAAAUAACAAACUUUUACAAAAGUUUUUCAAACUUCAUCAAUAAAAUACUAAGAUAUAAAUUCAUCAGUAUUAGCAAGAUGAAUUAUCUUAAUUGCAUGAUCUGGAAUUAAUUAUUUAAAUAAACAAUCUUGCAAACGAUAGGUUGCAAGUUGAUAACACAUACGUGAUUAUUUUGUAGAUGCAUCUACCAAAAUCAUAUAAUAUCAAAAUCAUUCACAUAAUGGAUGAAUGGGCCCAUAUUCAUUUCAAAAAUGUAAGACAUUAAAUCUCAACUUUAGCUAGUGAGUUUCUAACAAUCAAUUUUCAUUGAGAACAAGCAUCAAAUGAGAAUUCUUUAAAUUAAAGAAUAUUAUGGUUCUUUAAUAAUAUCAUAUGAAUUCUCAAUUAAUUUUCACAUCAUAUUUGAUCUAGGAUGGUUUAACUAGUCACGCCAAGUAGUACUUGCAUUUGUAUUAGUAAACUUUUAGUUUACUUUAACAUACGUUUCAAUUGUACUAAAUUGUAACAAAUUGAUAAUUUUACUAUCAUUCAUUUUACUUUGUAUCUACAUAUAGGUACUAUCGUGACAUUUACUACUGUAAAUGUCUAAAUCAAUGUGAAGUCUAUAAUGUCACUAAGUCAAUAAAUAUAAUUUUCAAAUAAUUAUAUGCAAUAUUUGCUUCAGUGAAUAUGCCAAAAUCUUGAAAUGAAGGGCAUUUGGUCUAGUGGUAUGAUUCUCGCUUCAAAUGCUAAAAUUCUUGAGUUUGAUUCAAAAUACUUUUAAAACCCUUUUAACAAAAUUUUUGCAUAAUCAGUUAACUACCAAAAAUAACUACCCAGGUCAUGUAUAAAAACAAGUCUAUACUAAAUAUAUCAAUAAACAUCACAUCUCAAGCAUAAAAAUAUGACAUAAUGAAAAACUAGCAAUUUUUUUCAUAAUCAUCAUCAUAAACAUGCAUGGAAUUUAAAUCAAAAUCCAACCAUUCAAGCUCAUAGAACUUUUCAUUUACAAUUGCUCAUGUUAUUUCCCUAAAUAAUUAGCAAAUGAAAUAAUAUAAAACGUAUGAACUACUACCUUUAACAAUUCUUUGAACUAAACCAAAUCUGAAUAACCAUAAAAUUCAUUGGUUUGUUAACAUAAAUUUGCAUACUAGAUAUGUUUUAAUCAAAUAUAUUAUUUAAUUAUAAAACCUACUAUAACGAUAUAAAUAAAUCAAUUAAUUUUCAUUUUCAUAAACAAAUGAGAUGCUUAAAACAAUAUGUAACACAUUUAAUCAAAACUUAAAAAGAAUUACAGUUAUUAUUGUUUGUCCCCAUCCUCGUUGUUUGGUUUCCAAGUUGUGACCCAAAGUCGAGAUUGAUUUGGUUGUUUGGUUUCUAAGUUGUGACCCAAAAUCAAGAUUGCUUUUGAAUUUUUGGUCUGUCUCCAUUGUAAAGCACAUCAAACAAAGAUACAAAUUGAUACAACUAUUCUCAAGUUCAAAUAAAGCAUUAUCUUGUUAGGUAGAGUGAAUAAAAUCACUAAGUUAUUUUUUAUGUCAAUUAAAUUUAUGGUUUUUUUCAAUUAGUUGGAUUGAUUAAAUAUUAAUAAUUUAUAAACACAUUCAUUUAAAUUAAUUUUACACUGUAAUAAAAAGUAAGAUGUUGUUUAAUAAAUCAAAAAAAAUUAAGUGAAAAAUAAAAAAAGGUGUUAUUUAAUAAUUCAUAAAUUGUACGAGAGUGAAGUGUUAGAUAUUUUUGGAUAUGUUUAAUGUGCUUGGGUUAGGAUAGAAAUUUCAAAAUCCGAGAAAAUAUAAAUAGUCAAACAUAUAAAUCAAAUCCAACUAAAAAUGCUAGAAAUUUGAUUUAUCAUACUCCUAUUAGAAAAAGAUAGAAAUGACGUGAAAUCACAAUUUCAUACAACCCUUUCUCCUCACAGUGAUUAUUGUUUGUCCCCAUCCUCAUUGUUUAAUUUCCAAGUUGUGACCCAAAAUCAAGAUUGACUUUGAAUUUUUGGCCUUCUGUCUCCAUUGUAAAGCACAUCAAACAAAGAUACAAAUUAAUACAACUAUUCUCAAGUUCAAAUAAAGUAAUAUCUUAUUAGGUAGAGUGAAUAAAACCACUAAGUUAUUUUUUAAGUCAAUUAGAUUUAUGAUUUUUUAUUCAAUUAGUUGGAUUGAUUAAUUUGAUAAAAAAUAAAUAUAAUUUUAAUUUUAAAUAAGUAUUAAAAAUAUUAAUAAUUUAUAAACACAUUCAUUUAAAUUAAUUUUACACUGUAAUAAAAAGUAAGAUGUUGUUUAAUAAAUCAAAAAAAUUAAGUGAAAAAUUAAAAAAAAUGUUUAAUAAUUAAUAAAUUGUACGAGAGUGAAGCGUUAGAUUUUUUUGGAUAUGCUAAUAAUUAAAAAUAUUGUACGAUGCUUGAAAGUUAUCUGAUACACAUUGUACCAAAUUUCAAUACCACAUAUAUGUUAUAAAAUCUUAUGAUGCUCUAAUCAACUAUUUAUAAAUUCAAUUUAAAAGAUAUUAUACAAUAAUUUCAAGCAUAUUUAAUAACAAUAAUUUAAUCAUAAAAACUUUUAAUCAUCCAAAUAUCAUACAUACUAUAAUUUAAUAAAAGAAUCUUAGUUUAAAAGAAACUAUAAAUUAAUAAUAUUUUUUUACCAAAAAUCAAUCAACAAAGGAGAAAAACAUACCACUUAAGGAUUAUAUAAUUUUUUCUGUAUAAUAAUUACCCAUAAUGUGCAGGCCCCAAUUGAAGACUGAAAUAACAGUAGCUCUAGAAGGCAAUUGGCAACAGCUUGAGUAGCAAAUUUGAGUGACCGACUAUUGCAUUGGUUGUUGCUUGAAAGGGGUAAGGCUUUGUGAAAGGGAAAAAAAAUUGUGACUUAUGGAGAAAAACAAUUAAAAGAAAACUGUGCUAAUAAGGUGUUAUAAAAUAAAAGGACAGAAAGUAAAUAACAAAUAAAAUGAGAAAGCAAAGAGAGCAUAUUUUAUUGAUCAAUCGAAAUAUUUACAAAGUUUCUUUAAAGUCUCUAUUUAUAGGCAUAAGAAGUAUAAAUAAAGUAGAGAUCCACUUCUAAUGACUAUAAGAAUUUAAAGUACAUCAAAACUUAUCUUAAUCUUAAUGGACAUCCACUUAAUAAGAUAUUCAUAACAAAUUUAUUAUUUUAUUAUUUUAUAAACAAUAAUAUAAGCUUUUUGGACAAAUUGAGUCGAGUUUAAACUUAACCUAAAUUUUUAAAAAAAAAGAGUCUAGGCCCAAUUUAGCUCAUGAAUAUCUUUAAUGGUUAAUUAAUUAUUUAUUUUAAUGAGUUUAUCUAAAUGUAUUUUAGUUUAUUAAUUUGAGUUUAGUGAUUCAAUGUAAUUUUUUUUAUAACUUUUAAUACAACUAUAAGAUGUAACUUAAAAAAAAUAUUUAUAAUUAUAAAUAUAAUUAUCAUCAAUUAGUUACUAAUAUGUUAUUUUGUUGUUCAUUAUUUACCAUUAAUUUUUUCAUAAUUUAAUAGUGUUUUCUAUUUAAAUAUUUUUAAAAAAUAUUUAUUAUAAUAUGCUUUUUGGAAAGUUAUCUUAUAGAAUAUGUUUUUUUUACCUCAACACCUAUAGAUCGAGUUUAGUGAUGUUUAUUGUACCACCAAGUUUUUGUGUCAUUGAAAUUAGAAUAAUUAUUUUGAAAUUAUUACAACACAUUAACACCCAGAAUCUUAAACCGUAAUAAUAUGAUUUAAUUUUCUAAUAGCUUUGGAUAAUAUUUAAACAAAACUCGGACAUUUAUGGAUGUUGAAUUUUUUUGUAAAAUUAAAAAAAACAUAUAUAGUAAUUCGUAACCAUUAAUUAAAUUUUUUGUAAAAUUAAAAAAAACAUAUAUAGUAAUUCGUAACCAUUAAUUAAAAAGGAGACACAAAAAUUAAUUGAUCUCGCUGCCCACGAGAAUAUUUAAAAAAAUACUAAUAAAACUCUAAUUUUUAUAGGUUUUAAAAUGAUUUUAAUUUUCAUAAAAAAUAUAUAAUUUAAUUAUGACUUUUCAAAAAACAAAUUCUUACAUCACCCUCAUUCCAACUAAAAAAAUUACCCGAAUAUAAAAAAACAAAAAAGGAUAAUCAAAGGAGGAAAGUUGUAUAAAAUGUAUGUGGUAGCGGGGAAGAUAAUGGUGGUGACGUUGAGGGAUUAUAUAUUUAUAAUUUUAAUUUAUGUUUUACUAUUUAAUUUUUUAUUUUACAUUUCGUUAAUUAAAUGAAUUAAAUAAGAUCAUUUUUUCUAUUAAUUUUCAGUUUUUUUUUAAAUUCAAAUCUAAUUAAAAAUACUAAAAAUCUGAUUUAUCAUCCUCCUAUUAAAAAUAAAUAGUGAUGAUGUGAAAUCACAAUUUCAUACCAUCUUUUUUCCUUACAGUUAUUGUUGUUUGUCCCCAUCCUCGUUGUUUGGUUUCCAAGUUGUGACCCAAAGUCAAGAUUGAUUUGGUUGUUUGGUUUUCAAGUUGUGACCCAAAGUCAAGAUUGAUUUUAAAAUUUUGGUUUGUCUCCAUUGUAAAGCACAUCAAACAAAGAUAGAAAUUGAUACAACUAUUCUCAAGUUAAAAUAAAGCAUUAUCUUGUUAGGUAGAGUGAAUAAAAUCACUAAGUUAUUCGGUUAACUGAAUUAACCGAAAAUUAUAUGUUUUUUUAUUUUUGGUUAAAAAUUAAUCGAAUUAACCGAAUUAACCGAAUUACCCAAAUUAACCAAAUUAUCCGAAUUAUCCGAAUUAUCCGAAUUAAUCGAAUUAACCGAAUUGAAUCACUACAUAAUUAAAUUAUUUUUAGACUUUUAGACUUUAGUUUUAAUUUUAGUUUUAGAAUUUUAUUUUUAUUUAUUAAAUUAUUUGUAAUUUUUAUGAUUGGGUUGGGUUGGGUAAUUGUGUUGGGUUGAAUACUUGGGUUUGGAUUGGGUUUAGGUGAAUAGUGGGCCUAUUUAUAUAUUAUAAUUUUAUUUAUUAAUUUUUUCGGUUAAACCGAAAAAAUUUGGUUAACCGACUAGUUUUGAACCAAAUUAACCGUUAACCGAAAAAUCAAAAAAUAAUUAAUCGACCCCUGACCAAAAAAAUUCGGUUAACCGAUCGAUUAACCGAAUUCGAUCAGUUAACCGAAUUUUUUUGGUUUUAUCCAAAUUUUGCACACCCUUAGGUUAAUGUACUUGUGUUGUUGUUUCGACACCAUAAUCAAUUCAGUUUUGCUUCAUCCAUAAUAAUUGUGCACAACUCUCAAGUACAAAACUUAAACCGUGGAUUAUGAGAUAGAAUUUUAUCUUUGUUUUUUGUGGGCAAAUAACCAAUAAAAGCCCCUUUAUUUUUAAAUUUAUCGAAAUGGGCUAGGUUCUGAAUUAAUUACCGAAAUGGACCAUUUCUCCCAAAAACGCGUCCAUGUCAGCGCGUUGUCAGGGGAUCAAGCAAGAAAACGCUUCCUCAAGGAAAAAAAUUAGAUUUAGGGUUUUUGCAAUUAGAUUUAGGGUUUUACGGUUUUUGAGUUUUUAGAUUUUAGGGUUUUAAGGAAAAAAUUAAAUAAAUAAGGGUUUAGGGUUUCUUAAUUAAAUUAAUUAUAAAUUUAAAAAAAAUUAGAUUAGGGUUUAGUGUUUAUGGUUUUUAAGGAAAAAUUAAAUAAAUUAGGGUUUAGGGUUACUUGAGUAAAUUAAUUAUAAAUUUUAAAAAAAUUAGAUUAUGGUUUAGUGUUUAGGGUUUUUAAGGAAAAAAUCAAAUAAAUUAGGGUUUAGGAUUACUUGAGUAAAUUAAUUAUAAAUUUAAAAAAUUAGAUUGGGGUUUAGUAUUUAGGGUUUUUAAGGAAAAAUCAAAUAAAACUAGUUGUUAUUCGUUAUAUAUUUUAAACUCUGGCCCAUUUCGGAACCUGACCCAUUUCGGUAAUUUUAAAAAUAAAGGGGCUUUUAUUGGUUAUUUGCCCAAAAAAUAAACUAAUAAAAUUAAAUGUUUUUAGUAAAAAUUAAAUUUAUUAAAAGAAUUUUUUAAUAAUAAAUUAAAAAUAAAAUAUAUAAUGAAUUUUUGUAUUUUCAAAUUUUAAAAUAAAAAAGAGUUUUUUUUAUAAAAACAUAAAAAGAGUUAAAAGUUUAUAUAUAUAUUAAAUUUAUCUUUUGCUGUAAUUUUAAAUUUAUAAUAAAUUAAAAAUAUUAAUAUAAUAUAAUAUGCAAAAAAAUACUUGAAAUUUAAUAUAAUACAAUCAUAUUAAUAAUAGAAUAUUUUAGGGAUAAUAAUUCCUUAAUUAAGGUCUUAAGAUCAUGGGUAAAUAUUUUAUUGAUUGUUAGUGAAUGAUUUACAAAAAAGUAUUAUUAAUUUUAUUUAAUGGAAUUUAACAUAAAUUUUAAUAUUUUAAUAUUUAAUAUAUAUAUUAAAUUGUAGAAGUUUAAAUUUAAAAUUCGAGAAAAAAUAUAAUAAUUGUAAUUAAUAUUUAACUAUAUUUAAACAAAGUUAGACUUAAUAAAUAAUUUUUAAAUAAUUUUUAAUUUUUUUAAAAUUUAUAAUUAAUUUAAUUAAGAAACCCUAAACCUUAAAAUCUUAUUUAUUUAGUUUUUUUCCUUAAAACCCUAAAAUCUAAAAACUCAAAAAUCCCAAAACCCUAACUCUAAUUGCAAAAAACCCUAAAUCCUAAAAAACAAGGAAAGCGCUUCCUUGAGGAAGCGUUUUUUGUCCACGUGGACAAAGCGCUUCCUUGAGGAAGUGUUUUCCUGCUUUAUCCUCUGACAACGCGCUGACGUGGACGAGUUUUUGGGGAAAAUGGUCCAUUUUGGUAAUUAAUUCAGAACCUGGCCCAUUUCGGUAAUUUUAAAAAUAAAGGGGCUUUUAUUGGUUAUUUGCCCAUUUUUUGUAGUGCUAUGAAAUUUAGCUUAAUAGAUAAUAGCAAAUUUGUGGAAAUACAAAAACUUAGCUUAACAUAUUUAAUAACUAGUGAUUGGGUUAGGAUAGAAAUUUCAAAAUUUGAGAAAAUAUAAAUAAUCAAACAUAUAAAUCAAAUCAUGCAUUCUAAGGCAUAAAUAAUAAACAAGUUCUCGAUGAUGUGGUAUUUAAUAUCUAUCAAUUUUGUACGAGAGUAAAGCAAGUAUAAAGACUUAAAAAUGAUUAAAUUAAAGUAAAAAAAUAAUUCUACAACUUGUACCAACGGAAGAUUUUUUGAUUAGGUGAGGGAUACAGUUGGAUCCGUUAUCUAGUGGCUGUCCAUGGUGUGAUAGAGUUAUAGAAAAUGUUAAUCAUUUGUAUUUUCUAUGUCCUUUUAUUAAUAUAUAGUUUUUGGUCUCGCAUUUCUAAUUGGUAGAGUUUUGAUUGGAAGAAUGUGGUGAAUUUUGAAGAAUUCUUUACUUUGUACUGGAACAUGCCCCUGAUAGGUCUGCAAAAAAGCUUUCGAUUAGUGGCGAUUGCGGGAUCUUGUUGGAUAGAAGAUAUCAGAUCUUGUCUUCCUGUAUUGGCAGUGAAGUAGAUCGAAGAUAGCAGAUCUUGUCUUCCUGUAUUGGUAGCAAAGUAGAUCGAAUAUAGCAAAUCUUGUCUUCCUGUAUUGGCAGGGAAGUAGAUCGAAGAUAGCAGAUCUUGUCUUCCUAUAUUGGCAGGGAAGUAGAUCGAAGAUAGCAGAUCUUGUCUUCCUGUAUUGGUAGGGAAGUAGACCGAAGAUAGCAGAUCUUGUCUUCCUGUAUUAGCAGCGAAGUAGAUUGAAGAUAGCAGAUCUUGUCUUCCUGUAUUGGCAGCAAAGUAGAUUGAAGAUUAUAGAUCUUGUCUCCCUAAGCAGUAGUGGAGCAGAUCGAAGAUGAUAAAUAUUAUCUUCCCAAGGUAGUAGGGAACCAGAUUUAAGCCACCAGUCCUAUCUCCUUGAGUAGCGGUGGAGUAGGUUGAAGAUCGUAGAUCCUGUCUCCCUAAGCAGUAGUGGAGCAGAUCGAAGGCAGCAAAUCCUAUCUUCCCAAGGUAGUAGGGAAGCAGAUUUAAGUCACCAAUCCCUUCUCUCUGAGUAGCAGUGGAGUAGGUCGAAGAUUGUAGAUCAUGUAUCCUUAAGCAAUAGUAGAGCAGAUCGAAGGCAGCGAAUCUUAUCUCCUUGGCGUUACAGUAGAACAGAUUAAAGCUCAAGGUAGCGAAUCUUGUUUCCAUAGCAUUGCAGCGGAGCAGAUCAAGACUGAAGAUAACCAACCUUAUCUCCCUGAAGUUACAGUGGAGCCGGUUGAAGAUAUCAAUCUUAUCUCCCUGAAGUUGCAGUGGAGUAGGUUAAACGAAGUGAGCCUUAUCUCCCCGAAGCUACAGUGGGUCAGGAAGAGGCUACUUGAAGAAGAAGCAUACCAAUGUCCAACACAACCGGACAAAAUUGGCCUUCUAAUUUAGUCUUUGCUUCAUUUUCAUUACACGACAAUGAGCAAAGAGGGGCAGCUGUAAUAGGCCAAUUUAGCCCGGGCUCACAAAAAAAAUAAUAAACUCAAAAUAAUAAAACAAAGUCCAAGUCCAGUCCAAAAUUGUAUCAUUUGGCCCGAUCGGAAUGACCCAUUACUUGAAAAAGGAUAUGCAAUCUUAGAUAUAAUAUGCAAUCUUAGAAGAUAAGAUUUUGUAAUCUUAGAUAUUUAAUUUGUAGAUACCAUUUAAAUCUUAGCCGUUGAUGUAAUUGAUCUAUACCGUUGGAUUUAGGGAGGCUCAACUAUAAAUAGAGACCUCUCCCUUCAUUGUAAAACACUGGAGUUGGGAGCAAUAAUAAUUCUUAAGAGCAUUCACUCAAAUUUCUCCUUCUCUUGUGUUCUUAUUUUCUGUGGCCUGUUCUUAUUUUGUUUUUUGUUCAUCUUUGUUUCAUUUUAAGUUGCUUUCAUUUGAGUUGGAUUUUGGUGGAAGAAUUUCGUUGAAUCUUCAUAUUGUGGGAGUAAGGCUGACUUAAGUGUUUUUUUUAACCUUUUUUAUUUAUCCAUUUAAUUGUUUAAUUAUUAAUUAUUCUUUUACUUUUAUUCGUUUAUUUAUCCAUCAACUUUCUUAUUUACAUAUCGUUCAUUCAUUUAACCAUUCUUAUCAUUCUUUUAUUUUUUCCAUUAAUUAUAUACUUUAUUUGUUUUUAAUAUUAUGUCACACAUGUUAUUUAUUUUUUAAAAACUCGUGUUAUAAAUCAUCUAUUUUAAAUUAUUUGAUUAUUUGCUUUAAAUUUUUUUCCAUAUAUUAUCAAUUGCAAUUUAUUUUUUAUACUAUCUAUUUUUUCCAUAUUUUGGCCCUCAGUUUUGUUUUAUUCUCAUUUUUUCCUUUUAAUUCUGUUUUAAAAUCAAUUUAAUCCUCACUAGUUUGAUUUAAUUUGCUUGUGUUUUAUUUAUUUAAGUAUUGAUUAUUAUGAUUUUUAAAAUUUUAAAUAUGAUAUUAUUUGAAUGUUUAUACUUAUUAUUAUUAAAUUAAUCAUUAAUAUUAUCUAAGUGUAUUGUAUAUUAUUAUUUUAGAUUUAUCAUGUUUUGUUAUUUGUAAUUUAUCAAUAUUAUUAUUUUAAAUUCAUUGAUAACAUUACUUUAAAUUUAUCAUGUAUAUCUAUUUCAAAUUUAUCAUUAAUAUUUUUAAAUUUAUUAUAUACUAUUAUUUUGGAUUUAUCACGUAUGAUUAUCCUAGAAUUAUCAUCAAAAUUUUUAAAUUUUACAUGUAUUAUUAUUUCAAAUUUAUUAUAUAUUAUUUAUUGUAAAUUAUCCAAUUCAUUUCAAAUUGUAGAUAUUGUUUGUUUUAAUUCAUGUAUUGUUUUAAACUUCAUCCAUAUACAUACUAUUUAUUUUGGAUUAUACAUAUUACUUAUUUUCUAAAUUAUUUUUAUUAUUUUUCUAUAUAAUGUAUAUUCUAAUUUUUCUUCAUAUUUCAUUUGCUUAAAUAUUUUUGUAUAUUGUGUUUUAUUAGUUGUUUUAAACAAUUUAUUAAAUGAUUUAUUUCAAUUCAUUUCAUGUAUUCAUUUUAUCUUAAUUAAUUGAUUUACAUAAUAGAUUUUUUAGCAUAUUACUUACUUCAUGUUGUUUCAUUUAUGUACCAUUUCUUUGGAAUUAAGUUUGUUUUAUAUAUUAUUUCGAGUUCGAUAAUUAUUAUGUGUGUUUGGGGUUUAUACGCGCAUAUUAUUUAGUAUUCUGCCCAUGUAUAUUAUUCCAUGUUCAUACAUUUACUUUUCAGUUCCGAACAUUACAUCAUGGUUAAUUUGAUUAUUUCAUUUCUUUUCAUUUCGAAUAAAUCAAAUUUAUAUCAUUGUUAAUAUUGCAUUAAACCUUCGCUUUAAUCCAAUUUCGUAAAAAAAGGGAAAAAGAAGUUUGCAAUAUGUCGUCUUUGGAACGAUGAGAAAUCGUGCUCUAACUUACAGGGUUUCGAUCUUUCUCAUCGAACUAAAAUGGCUAAAUAUCUUAGUUGUCAAAUAUACAAAGUUUCAAUAAAGAUUUUUUAGCUUACGCUCGGGAAUUGAAAUGUUGCAUCCUAACUUACGGGAUACGAUAUUUUGUCGUCUCGGGAUGAGAAGGCUUUUUUACAUUCGUUUAAAUUUAUCCAAGUACUAUUUUAAGAUAUGUUAUUAAUAAAGGGGGAUUGUUUUUAAUCUUUUCAACUUUACGACAUUCGACUAUAAGACAUUAAUAAUCAAUUAGGUAGCAAUUUUGGGCGUUACGAGGGUGCUAACCCUUUCACGUGCGUAACCGACUCCCGAACCUAUUUUCUCAAAAUUCGUAGGCCUAAAAUCGUUUUCAAGGUGAUCCAAUCACACCUCAAUAAAAGAUCGGUGGCGACUCCAUUUUUUCGUUUUAAAAGUCGACCCCAUUUUUUCAAAAUAAAAAAUGGUUUCGACAAGUAGUAUUUUGAUUAUGUUUUUAUAGAUGUAAUUUAGUAUUACUUUAUUCUUUAGCCAAAAAAGAUUUUUUUUAUAAUUUAAUUAAAAUUUACUAUUAUGAUUCAAUUUGAUGUAGCUUCUAGAGAUGACAAUAAAGUCGGGUGAGAGCAGAUAUUGCUAAACCUAUUACCACUCCAUCAUUUGCAUGUUGUAUACAUCCAUCUAAUCCCAUCCCAUCCCAUCCCACCCUGCAUUAUCAUAACUGCUUCGUACCUAUUACCCAAAAGAAAAAAUCCACCCCGUUCAGCCCUGCAUCCACUUUUCAAAAAAAAAAUCUAUUUCAAGCGAAGCAAUUCAAAAUGUAUUGGACAAUUUGAGUUGUCAUACCUAAUAACUUUAAUCUGAGUUCAUAAUUGAAUACUGAGUUUAGAUGGUAAUUUGUUUUCCAAACUUUUUGAUGUCGUGUUCUUCGACAUGCCUAUGAACCGUUUCAUCAUUUGCCUCUUAGAAAAUUAAAAAUAAGUUGUUUAUACUAUGUGAUGUAGUUUUAAAACCGUUUCUUUUUUUUUUAUUUAUCCGUUAUUUAUUUGGUGUAGGCGAAAAAUAUUUUAUGGGUUUGUGUUUUUAAAAAAAGAGUCAAAUUUUAUUUUUUAAUCACCAUUAUCAAAUGUGUUUAUUAAUUUAGCGUAAAUAUUUUUCAUAUUUAUCAUUAAAUAUUAUUAUAAUUGUUUCAUGUUACUUUACUUAUUUUUCAUAUUUUUCAACUUAAUAUUAUAAUUUACUAUAGGUAACAAUAAUUAAAAAUACAUUAUUUAAAAUUAAUUAAAAAUUAAAUACGUAAAAUCAUAGGCAUGUGACAUUAGAAAUUACUUUAAAAAUAUAUAUCAAACAAAUUUUAUAAUUUAAAUUAAAUAUUUAAUUUUUUUAACACUUACUCUCUUUUUUUUUUAAUUUAUCAACCAAUUUUUAAGUCUAACCUAAUUCAAACCAAGGAAACUUACUUGGAUUUUAUGUUGGGAAUUAAAUAAAAAAGAGAAAUAUUUUUCACUUCAAACUUAUUCAGUUUAAUUACCAAAACUCCAAAAUAUUUUUUUGAAGACACCCAAAAAAACCCCUCUAUAAAAAAUAAGGAUAAUUUGUGAUAUUUUUCCUCUUAAAUGAUGUUAUUUAUAUUUUUAAUUAUAUUAUUUAUAUUUUAUUUUAUUUAUUAUUGAUUUAGAGAAUAAUUAGAGAUAAAAAAAAGCUUAAAGUUUAUUUUUGACAAGUUUUGCGGGUUGGACUUUCAACAUUUACAAUAUAGUUUCAGUAUUUUGGCAAUAACUUAAGCUACAAAUUUUAGUUUUGGGCUCAUAAUAUAUAGAUUUGAAGAAAAUUGACAUAACUAACUAAAGUUGUCUUGUAGAUGAAGCCCAAAAACAUCAAGAAGACAUCAAAAAAUGUCCUAGAAGUUUGACGGAAAAAUUGCCAAAAUAUCUUGAAAACUUUUGCUUUAUAUAAUUAAUGGCACUUUUGUACUUUCUCUAUUAUAUUAUUUUUCCCCUAUAGAUAGACAUUAUUAGGUUAAUACGAGGGGAGACCUAAACCUAGCCAUUCUUAGUUUUAUUUUGUUUUCUUUAUUUUGUGGCUUUUUAAACUCUCCAUCUAGUCAAAGGUUUUAUCAAAAUUUGAUUUAAUAAAUUUGCGAGACUUAAUUUUUGCUUUAAUUUUUCUUUGUUCUUUAGUAUUCAUGCAUUUUUUGUUUUAAUUACAACUUUUCAGGUUUAUUGAAUGUUCAGUCGGUAUUUGAUAGCCUAGAAUGAUUGUUUUGUCAAUUAGAAUUGUUAAACCCAUAAUUGUAUAAUUCAUUCUAAUACUAGUGACAAACUGCAUAAUUCGUUUAAGUGUAGUUCAUGUUUAUGUGGUGUGAAUGUGUGAUAUAGCUAAAAUGAAUCUCACUAGGAUGAGUUUGUUGGUUAGAAUUUGGACUCUCUCGUUCUUAAUACUGGCGGUAAGUUAAAUCUGGGGCGUUGAGUUACAGGGUUAUUUAUCGAUUAGGAAAUAAUUUCAAAUGAGUUUUCUCUUGGCUAUCGAACAAUGAGAGAUUGGUUGUCCGACACUGAGUCAAUAACUAGAACUAAUUUAUUAAAGGUAUUGAAGUUAUUUUUGCAUUGAUGAUCAAAUCUUUGAAUCAAACGAAGAUUUUAGUACUUCUAGAGUUUCUCCUCAUUAAUUUUCUUUUCUUUUGUUUUAUAAUUUAUUUUUACUUUGUUUUAAUUUUAAUUUUUAAUUUUAAACUCUUUUUAUAUUUUUCAUGUAAAUUUUUGUUUUUAUAAAUCGCUGCAUCCUUGCAUUACUUCAAUACAACACCAGAAGAACAAAAUGUCAAACACUGACGCUUAUAGAUAAAAAUCUUGCAAAAGAGGCCGUUUUAUUUUAUCAUAAAAUUAUUCAUGAAAUAGCCAUACAUGGCAAUUACAUAAGCUUGAAGGCCUUAAAACACAGAGACAUACGAUAGAAAUACGCAAACACACACACAAACGAUAGUAAUAAGCAAACACACACAGACGCAGUAAUGAAGGCUAACUUCAACUUCGUAGUAGUGCACACCGAUGGAGCACAUUAUUAUUUAGUUUACAGUUUCGACCUCUAGUGAUCGAAAACCCUGGCUCAAAGCCGGCAGCUUACGCACCCGUAGUGGUGUUGGGUUGGUUGCCAAGAAAAGCUGCAUCAGCAUUCUCAUCAGUGCAAUAAAGGCAAGGGUGCUGCUGUCCACAUCCUAGCUUUAUUAUUUCAUUCCUGACCUUCACCACAAGUUGUCUAUUGCUUAAUGCCCCAUUGCUCUCCCUGAUGACCUUCAGAACUGUAUAGGUAAAGGCCCCAAACCCCAUUCCUCCGGUUUUGUCACUCGCUCCCAUAUCACUCGAUUCCUCAUUGGCUUGGCACCCACUUAACAGAAUUCCCUCAUCCUCCGUCAGUGACCUCAAAUUCACAAUAUCACGUUCAUCAUGGGGUAGGAAUUUGAGACUCACAUUGUUCCCAAAGAUUGUGGUCAAAAUAGAGCCAAUACCCUCCAUAUUAUCUGUUCCAGUGUUGAUGGCAUUCCCAAGUGCUCUUGUGGGAAAUAAGCCUUGUGUCGCGAUUAUGACGUUGGCUACUGUUUGUAGGCACUGGUAUAAGGUUCCUAAGGAAAUGCCCCUAGUCUUGUAAUCAACAGGUAGUGCUAUACCCCUUAGAGUACUAUGGGGUCCAAUUUGUUCUUUACUUUUAUCAAUCAGACCACCACUGUGGCAGGAAUCCGAAACCAUUGUGAAGCUUGAUCCACUUGGUAGUUGCUUAAUCAAUUGCCCCAAGUCCACGUCUGCACAACCAUCGCAACCACAAUAUGAUAUAAAUUACAGUUUGCUUAGAUUGAGAGAAUUUUAAUAAUUUAAUUUACCGAGUUGAUUACGUACCAAAAAUGGGAUUGAAAUCACAAGGCACAAUUGCUUCACCCUUGUUGGAAGGCUGGUGGGGGUCAAUGCGGUCCACAAUUCCAUGUCCACUAAAGUGGAAAAGCAGGACAUCUCCUUCUUUAGCCGCGUCCACCAUCUUCUUGAGUGCAGCCAUAAUGUUUGCCCGUGUAGGCUUAUACUUGGACUCUGGUUCAUCAGUUAGGAGCUCAACAUUUUCGGAAUCAAAGCCAAACCUGCUCAAGAUCAUAUCUCUCAUGGCUUUCGCAUCGUUUACGCAUCCACUCAACUCUUUGAAGGUGUUGGGGUAGUUGCAUCCGACCAGAACGGCUCUCUUCUUACAUUCGGUGGGCAUCUUGCUUCUAUUUUGGGUCGCUU
rnacentral:lncRNA from 1 species